UCGAUGGCCUGCGUGUUGUUGUCUAUGUUUAUGAACUAAUUGAUGGAGAGGUAAAAGUUGAUAAGAUCGAUUUCAAGAAAACAACAGCAUCUGCAAACUCGGCUCACUGAUGACAUGAUGCUGCUGUUUUGGACUACAUAAAUUUGUUCAAGCUUAGCGGUCCAUUUGCUUGUGUGUAUGUUUGAGCUUUAUCUUUACUUCAAUGUGGAUUUUCGUGCGUGCCCGCUUCCUUUUUCUUACCUUUUUUUUAUACCUUAGUUCGUCCGAUGAUAUUUUGAGAGGCUGUAAUUAGAUGAUAAAAGGAAUGAGGCUUUAUUGGAUGGUUUAUUCAUUCAUUUAUGAUCCUUUAUGACGCUAACUCCCCAUUCUAUCUUCAUGAGCUUUCUUUACUUUGUACCAAGUAUAUCUCAGUGUAACCAGCUACUGCUGCUUCCCUCACCGCCUUAGCCUUGCGCCGCAAAAUGCCAUCAUCCUCCUAUGUUUCCAGGGAUCCUUUUUAACUCAGGCACUGUAUGACAAUCUCCUGCAUUUGCUAAUGCUGCUCGAAUGAAAGGUCGUAAUAUAAUAGGAUAUGGCACUUCUUUUUCUGGUUCUUUGGAGGGGCCAAAGGCCCUGAUCUACGAUUAUAUCCCGGGAAAGCUACCCUGAUGUCUGCCCCCUGCAGUUAUCUAGCUUCGUUAGGUGAAUCUCUCAGAAUCAUUGCCCCACAAGGAUCAUUGUAAGGGCUGGUUUUUACCAGGACAUCUUCACAACAGUUCCCUUCCCCCCCCCCCCCCAAGCCCCAGCAGUUUUCUAACUUCAUUAGGUGAUUCUCUCAGAAUCAUCACCCCAGGAUCAUUGUCAAGGCUAGUUAUCAGCAGGAUAUCUGCACAACUGUUGCCUUCCCUCCAAAUGAGCUCCAAAUAUGGCGCUCAUUUGCCACCACAGAAUCAGUUUCCUGUUUCCGGUAUCACCUUCCUAACUCUCAAAUUCCAUGCCAGCCACAGCCCGUACGUUAUAGCCCAUAACUCAGUAGCUAUAUUACUAACAAGUAGCAAUUCUAAAGCUUAGGGCAAUUUGCAGAAGUCAAUUGCCUAGGCUGUGAAUUUGUUCAUAUUUGCAUUGUGCAAGCGUAGCAAAUAAACUUAUCACUGCUUUCUUCGUUAAACUUAUGUGGUUAGAUAUUAACGUUUAAGUCAUGUGCUACUAUGGAUUAAACACUAGGCACAAAACUAUCUAGGAAAAAUUAUUUAAAAUGUCCCUCAUAGUUCGCCAACUAAAUUUUUUUUACCUUUGCUUUUAAAAUAUUAAUUUUACGCUCCUUAUAAAUUCAAGUUAGCAAAGUUUAAUCCUAACCUAAGUUUCUAACUGUUUUUUAGCCUGAAUUCACUAUAUGACUUACAUGCAGUCAUUUUUUAUAGUAUACAGAAAGAUCACAUUUUAUUUUUUGUUUUUAGUGGCAAAAUUGAAUAUGGAUUGAUCAGAUCCCACUUUUUUAGAGAAAAAAAUUAUUAGAGUUCGUGUUAGAUCUUACUUUUUAAAAGACAAAAAUAAAUAUGGAUAGCGUCAUUUGUUUAGCUACAAAUGCAAUCUAACCUUUUUGUCCCUUAAAGAAAAAAAGACUAUAUAUGGGUCAUAUGAUGAAUUCAGAAUAAAAUGUGAUCGAAAACUUAGAUUAGAAUCAAAUUUUAUCGACUUGAUAUUAUAAGGGACAUAAAGUUACCAUUUUAAAAGUGAAGAAUGAAAAAAAUUCAUUUUUCGAAAUAUUAGGAAUCUUUUGAACGAUUUUUCCAACUAUCUAUAUGGAAAUGAAUGUAGUUCUGAUUUUCAUACAUUUAUUUAUGGUCAUUCAAACGAACCAAAACUUCCUUUAUUUCUCCUGCUUUGAGACAGAUAUCGUUCCCAUGAUUACAAGCUAUUUUCUUCUAAACGAUACUUUUAAUCCUGAGCUCUAGAUAUUUUUGAAAUCAACCAGCAGAAAUAGGCACAAUGAAUCAUCUUUUAAUUAUCAUAUCAGUGCUUAAAUAUAAACAAGCAAUGCAAGGGCACGAUUAUGCAAAAAUAAAAUUUGCAUGGAGAAAAAUUUGUUAAUUAUGAGUACAUACACACCAACUAAUAAGAAACAAUUCGUCUAACGGUACCAAUAGGGCACUCGUUAAGAUAUAUUUCAGGUGUUAUAUUUUUUAAAAUCUAAAAUUUAUUAGAAAAAGUAAAUAAAUAUAAGGGAGAGUAAGUAAGAUUAAAUAGGAAAAGUAUAUAAAUACAAAAGAUGAUAAUAAUUAUUAGUGUAUACAUACAUAUACAUAUAUAUAUAUAUAUAUAUAUAUAUAUAUAGUAGGUUAGGUGAAUAUUAGGUAUGUUAAUGAGUGCCCUAAGGGCAUCCAUUAGAAAAAUCCGAUAAAAAAUAAUGAUAAUAAAAAUUUGUUAUUAAUAAGACCAGGGACAAAACUAUCUACGAGGAAAUGAACCUAGUGCAAAAAUGAGCUUUGCAUGGAGAAAAAUUGGUUAAUUAUGAGUACAUAUAGAGCAACUAAUAAUAAAGAUUUGGUACCUUACUAGAGGUUCUUCAUCAAAUAAAAAUCUAUUGGUCUCCUAUGACAUGAUUAAUUUUUUUUCUGUAAGAAGAAUCUAAUUUUCCAAAAUAGCCCUUUUCCAAAAGGCAAACAAACACAAAUAUGAGAUGCGUGCAUUUUCGAUGCCCUUUACCGGGAACAAGUCAAGAUUAAAAUUCUGUGAAUAUAUCUCCAAAUAUUUCUAGGCAAAUACAAGGUGGUACAAACACCAUGUGCUUAAGAAGAAAACCUUGAUCAUUUGAUGGCAACAAAUUUAUGUAUGUAUAUUUUCUUGAUGUUCCCACAAAAUUUUAUAGAGAGUAAUUCUUAAUUGCAGCAUUGUUUAGUUGGCAAGCUCAUCAAUGAGACAUAUAUGUACCCAAAUAGUUCCAGCAGAUAAUAAGUACCUGAGGUCGGUUUUAGUUGCCACAUUGCUCAUUUCUUUUCAAAAUUCUCACAAUCCCAACUUUCCUAAAAACUGCCAUUUAAUUACUCAAUUAAUACACAAAAUCUUGAUAAUAAUUAAUCAAAUCUCUGGACUUGCCUAGGAUGUUUAUAUAUAUGAAGAACUGAAUUGGGCAUUCUUCAGAAACCAUUCUCGAAAUUCUUGUGUACCAAAAAAAAAAAAGUCAUUAUUUUCUAGGAUUUUUUUCUUUCAAACUUUAGAGAAUGGAGCAUGAAGCUGAUACACCAUCUGAUGAUUUUUGUGAUGCCUGGCAGGGUGAUCAUCUUGAAAUACCCAAAACUGAUCAACCUGCACCAUCUGAUGAUGGUGAUGAUGAUACUCAACAAUUCUUCAUCAAAUUUAAGGUGGAGUUCAUCUAUCCGCCAGACAUCACAUUGGAAGAUGAUGAAGAUUAUGUGCUAGUUGAAUUUGGUUUGGAAAGCAGCACCUCAAUUCACCAAUUUUGGGCUCCUUGCAAAAGAUCAGACAGUGAAAACUUGUCAUGGGAUGAAAUCUCUACCAUGCUAACAAGAAUCAAUGUUCCAUUGCAUAAGCAGCCAUCCAUGUUACACCGAAUUUCAACCUGUGCUAAUCAUAUAGCCAAUGCAGAUCAUAACAGGUCUAAAAAAGUAUUGCCUAUGAUGGUUUCGAUAAGUAUUCUUGUCGAUUACUCCUGCUACAAGCAAGAAGAUGCUAGCACUUAUGUGCUGAGGAACAACGCAGAUGUUGCCAAAUUGAUGCCUGUUCCUGCUAGUAAUGAAUCAGUUGAGGGACUGAAGAAGGAGAUUCUUGAAGAUCAGGGCAAUGUUUCUGUUAAACAAUGCAUGAUUUGCCUGGAAAACCUUCAAGCUGGAUCCGAAAUCAUGGGCAUGCCUUGCUCUCAUCUCUAUCAUCAAAUAUGCAUUUUGCAUUGGCUUAAGAUUAGCAACUUUUGUCCCAUUUGUCGCUUCCAGUUGUCUGCUUGAGUUUCUUGGAAUUUCAUGAUGUCUAGGGAGUUGGGAUCAGGUUCUACUAAGGCCCUUUUCUGGCCUUUAGCCUCUAUUUUCUAUAGUUCAUCUGAUGGAAGUUGGGUCCUUUAAAAAUGGUGAAGUUUAUUUGCUUUGUGACAUCAAUUUAUUUAAUGCCUUGGGGGCAAGGAUCGAAUUAGUUGCUGAAUACAAGUACAACUAGACACAUGAAUAUGAAUAUUACUAAAUAAAAAUACUUUUUUUAAUUUAAAUUUUCUUUUUAGCCGGGGAUCCUUUCUCAUUUUUUCAAUCCCACUCCUCUCUCCUGUCAAAAAAUAAAAAAUAAAGUACUUUAAUUCUCCUCAUAUCACUAUUUUUUUCCCUCAAUCUUGAACCCUCACCCUAGAUAAAAACUUGCACGAGUAACGCAUCAAAAGAUAUAUCAAUUGUACCCUUUGGUUAUACUUCUUGCAUUCGAACUGCAAUUCAGGAACAUUAUGGCUUAGAAACCAUAACGACGAAUAACAAAAUUAUAUUCAAAUUCCGAAGUUAUUUUGUUCUUGGUGUGAACGAUAUGGAUCGAUCCAUGCAGCAUAGAGCAAGUGAGACAUAGAUUUAUUUCAAAGCCAUAUACAUAAGAGGGAACAAAAUAUAGGUUUUUUCUCCCCUCUCUCCUACAGAAAACCUAUAUUCUAUGUAUAUAGGACAGGUUACAAUUUGAUCGCCAAUAACCUAUUUUUGUUAAUAUGUAUAGUAUAGGUUAUCAUUUGGUCACCAAUAACCUAUUUUUGUUAUUAGAAAGUUUUUACGUUCCUAGUAUAUUUGCUUCAAGUUGUGUUGCUAGUUAGGACGUUAAAAAAUGUAAGUCAAAUCGAAAAUUAUUAUUUUAAAAUCAUUCAAAAGUUUAUAUUUUUUAGUUUUCAUAAAAUAAAACAUGGUUUCAAGAUAGCUCUUCACAUAUAGAACACUGCAUUUAUGAGUCACUAAUAAUAACAGUUAACAAAGCAAACAUCAAAUUAAGGAGGACAAAGGCUAAGUGCUAGUAUAAAUAGGCACUCUUGUGUCUAGCAAUGCAAAGGAAAGAAAAAUACAAUCCCUAAUGAUGAGCUGUGAACCUAUAAACCAUAACAUGGAGGUAAUUUUCUCCAGGGUUAACAAUCUGAGAAGGGAAAUUUGGAUGAUUGACUGAAUCAGGAAAACCUUGUGUCUCCAAGGCAAGUCCCCCAUACCUAUGGUAGGUAGCACCAUCUUUCCCUAGUGUAUCAUUCAACAUAUUACUUGUGUAAAACUGUACGCCUGGUUUAUUGCUCCACAGCUCCAUCUUCCUACCUGAUUUAGGUUCUUGCACAACUGCAACUUUGUGUACGUGCCCAUUGGGUACAUAAUCGACCACAUAGUUUAUAUCAUAUCCAGAAGGAAGCUCAUUGAACUUGCUACCAAUACUUCUGGAUUGAAGGAAAUCAUAGGGGGUUCCUUGUACAGGAACGAUUUGCCCGGUUGGGAUCAGCUUGUCAUCGACUGGGGUGAUCUUCGACGCGAAAAGCUGUAUGUCGUGCGAAAAAAUAUCACCACUGCCAUGGCCAGCAAGAUUCCAGUAGCUGUGGGAUGCCAGAUUAAUCGGUGUGGAUUUGUCAAGUGGGGUGGCUUCCAUCUUCAGGCCUAGCCUGUUUCCUCCAAUAAUCAUGUACGUCACAUACACAUCGACUGCACCAGGGAAUCCUGCCAUCAUGCUAAAAAUUGUCAGUCUCUACCAUAACAUGCGGGAAACAAAAAAAAAAAAAGCGAAACAGGGAAUGGGACAGAAUAUCUGUUGAACGCCGGUAAAUACUGAAGGGUUUUUAUAAGAAACAAAGACUCAAUAUAUAAGUUACAAAUGCGAUGCAAUAAUAGGAAACAAUUAUGAUUUAUACCUUGUUCACCAUCAUAGCUGUGAUAGUGGAGGGAGACAUGGGAGUUCUUUUCGUAGCUUGUCACCUCCCAUAUAACAUCACUAAAGCCUCUGGUACCACCUGAAGUGGAAGUAGUUAUGUCAAGAAUGACUAGAAUUCCAGGGUAGACUUAAUAUGUGUUUUGAUAAGAAUGCAGAAUUGAGAAUACCAUGAAGUGUGUUUCCAUGAUCAUUUGCAGGUAAAUUAUACUCUACACCAUUCAGAGUAAAUUUUGCCCCUCCAAUUCUGUUUGCUACGCGGCCAAUAAGACCACCAAAAUACGUUGAAUCAUUCUGCAAGAUGGGAACAAUAAGUGCUUAUAAGUACAGCUAACCCCAUUCCUAGAAUACGAAAUUCAGUCGCCCAAAAUUUCAAGAACACAUGAAGAAGAAUGGAAAACGACUUAGAUCUUCUUAUCCAACCAUUGGAUGGGAUUAAUUCCAUUCUCUGGUAACUAAAACAAAUCAACUGCAAAAAGAGUGAGGCCUGGAAAACCAAAAGAGAAUAAAAAAAAAAUCUAUAUAAUGUAAUUGAAGUCUAGUUCAAGUUCUUUGUCCCUUAUAUAUUGAGAAUUGAUUACUUCCACUCUCUUAAUCCUUUUACAAAAUUGAUUCGUCAUCUUUUUUGAGUAGUAAGGCAUUUAUUUAAACCCCAGCAUAAAAUUCAUCUGUCUAGCCCAAAACAUAAAUUCAAGUGUGUCAUUAUGGUAAAAUGCAGAUGGCAAGUUCAUUAUACCAUUAGUUUGCCUUUAGUCAUCUCUGCUUAUAAUGUCAGAAAUGCUUCUUCCCUCUUAUUCAUGUAGUUAAAAACCAUUAAUCAGGUUACACUCGUCUAUUGUAUUAAAAAGUGUUAAUUGAACUACACUUCAUAUAUAGUAGUGGGUGAAAAUACCAAUUUGGAAAAAAAUUGAAAAACCCCUAUCAUGAAAUUAUAUCAUAAAGUGAAUUUGUCAACAAAAAAGAAGAGAAGGGAGGCAAAAUUAUAUCAUAAAAGACCAAAAUGAACAUUUUUAUCGUCCAAGAAAGUUAGGCAUGAAACUCAUUCAACUGAUACUGAUACAACAAAAAGACAGACUUGUUUACUGUGGUGUUGAUGCUAACCUUAUAUCCAUCAAUGGUUGGAUAGCCAAGAACAACAUCGUCCAAUUUUCCUGAAUCAGAAAAACCCACAAAAAAAAAUCAAUAGUUAGAAUAAGAAACAACAUAAAUAAGUAUCAAAUCAGCAAAUUCUCACCAUGAAUUACACGAAAAGAAAAAAUGAAGAAGAGGAAGGCUAUAGUGAACAAACCAUUUCUAUCAGGAACGGUGACAGAAAGGAGCGUAGCACCAUAGUUAGUGACCUUGAUAGAGAUCUUUCCAUUUGUCAACUCAUACACAUUGAUGUAAUUAUCGUAAUCAGUUGCAUAAACGUUGUUGCUAAACAACAAAGUUAAACCAAUCAGAACAAAGAAAUACACCAUAGAUGAUGCCUUGGACGCCAUACUAGACUAGAAUAGAACGCGGAGAAUAUCCUAGACGACAGCAACAAAUGUUUUUUUGUCUGCUUGCCUAGCAUAGAUUACUAUUAUGUUAUAUACUUGGUUGCAAUCGAAAGGAUAUUGAUGGAUGAGGGGUGGAGAGAAGAAACGGGAUUUGUCUCAAUCCAGAUAAUAACCCAUCUGUAAAAUCCAUAACAGCAGUAUAUUGGAUAAGGACGAUUGAGGAUUGAGCAGGUGUGAACGUUGGAGGGAAAUCAGGGAAGAGAUUAUGUUGUCUUUCCAUCUAGAGUUGGCUGGCGAAAUCAUUGACUCUUCCCAUAAAUGCAUGCACAAAAUUCGCGCUAAACGUCGUUUUCCAUACCUGGAAUGUGUUCCUGAUAAUUGUCAUAUUAAAUAUUGAAUGCUUUUGUGCCUUAAAGAUAUCUGAAUUUGAAUGCCACUGGUCAGAAAAAUCCAUACUAGUAUACAGUCAAAUCUCUAUUAAGAUGUUGCUCAGAUAUUUAAUGUCUGAAUAAGUAAAAUUAAUUAAAAGAAGUGUAUAAUACAUGGAACAUAAAACUUCGAUGUGAAAAUAGUUCAAUGAACUCUAUUUUCUUGAAAAUCUUGUCUUCUUAAAUGAUUAUAUAUAUUAUGAGAGAAUAUUAAUUUGUACUCCCUCCCUUUUUUUAUAACUGACGUUUAAGAAAUUUGCUCUAGUGUACUUUUAUCUGUCGUUUUAUUAUCCCCAUACAAUAUUAAUUAUUUUUUCACAAUUUUACCCUUUUAUCUCUCUUCUCCAAUACAGCGUUCUUAAUUACAACUCCUAGUAAUUAUUGCUUCUCUCUCUGUAACAACCCUAGUAAUUAUCUGCCCCUCCGUAUUCUAGUGAGGAAAAACAUGGGUGAAUUGGACAAUUAAUGAGGGUACAAAAGAAAAGUAGUGUACAGAUUUAAACAAUGAAAAACUUUUCUUAAUUGGUGUGCAAAACCUUAAACGUGAGUUAUAAAAAAAGGGAGGGAGUAUAUCACUAAAAGAUGACUGAUUAAUUGAUGUGACAAGGAUUGAAUAUUCUUACGCAAUGGUCCAUCCACUAAGUUGUCGUCGAAUUCAAACAAUUAACUAUCUAUUAGAGUCGUACUAUUACUUAAGCAGUGGGAAAGAAGAAUAUUCCUCAAAGAAAAUAUGAGAAAGAAGGGAAAAUGGGAACAAUUAGUUUGAAAAAUUUGUCUGAUUGCUUUGUCUUUUCUAUUGCCCGGCCUGGCAAACUUCUUGAAAUGGAUAUUUUUGGAUGCAAGUGACGACUCAAGACUAAAGAGAAACCCCUCAUCAAAUUUUGUCCACCCAGAAAAAUCAAGUCAUGACUGCAAUAUGAUUUAGACCCCGUUUGGGUUGCGGUGUUUUUAAUGAAAAUGCACUUUUAAAUGUUAAAAGUACUUUUAAAAUAUCUAGUAAACAUCAUCUCAUAAAAUUAGGAACAGAGUUUUUGAUAUAAAAAUUACUUUUAACAAAACGGUAGCUUUUAUCAAGUUAACUUUUUUUUUUUUUUUUAUUGUUCUUGCAUUUGGCAGCAUACCGAUUACCUCCGUGAUGACUAUGUUUUUUUCAUUUUGGGAGUAAGUUGAAAAUCUAGACUGCAAUUUAUACUAGAAUUUUGGUGAAAUAAAAAAUAAAGAAUUUAUUACUUUCAGUUUCAACAGCUAUUGUCAGCUUAGCUACUAUGUCUACAAAUCUGGAGCAGUCAUAACAGAUUUCUGAUGCUAUGAACAACAAUCAAUCGUACAGGAUGCUGAUCACCAAAAUGAAGUGUGAUCGGUUAAUGAAUAAAUGUAGCAGAUAUCAGAAAUGAUUUCAUGAGAGAACGUUGAAUGCUUGAGCUCCACGAGCAACCUUGAUAAACACAUCUUCCAAAGUGGUAUCAGCAAGACCCCAAGCGUGAACUGUGAAUCUGCUUUUGGCAUUCUCAACUGCUUGGAAAACAUCAGAAAUCUUGAUUUCAUGCUUUGGCAACUCAAACUUUUGAGUGCCAGAUAAAUGGUAUGUCCUGUUGGCAUUUGGGGACAGAUGUCUCACCAAGUUCUCCACUUCAGCCUCAUGAUCAGCCGAUGUUGUCAUCGUAAACACGUAAAAGCCCCCAUAUCUAGCCUUCAACUGAAACGCAAUAUAUCCAAAUGAGACCGAUAAGGCUCCUCUUUCAGAUUUCAGAUUUCACAUUUAAGUCGGUCAAUAAAAAGCUCGAUUCUUAAAAAAGAAAUGCAGCUUGUGAAUGAAACCCGUUGCACGGUCCAUUUAGAGGUGGCAGGGAACUUAAUUAGUAGAAGUCUAAAAGCAACACAGUUAUCAAUCAAUCUUAUAGCACAGACAGUGAUAAUGCAUUUUCCCAGUGAAGAAAGGUUCCAAAGUCAUUACCUCUUUGGGGUUACCUAUACACUGCAAACUGCCAUCAACAAAAAUUCCCAAUCUAUCACACAAAUGCUCUGCCUCUUCCAUCGAAUGUGCUGAAAUAAUUCCACAAGACAAGCGAGUAUAAGUCACUCAAAUAUGUCACCAAUAACAAGAUUCAAGCCACUGUAACCAACAGAAUGAUUUUAGGUGAUAAAUGUCUGGGAAUUUGUUAGGUUUGUGCCCUCAGGAGGCUGCUUGCAUUUAUGGGAGAAAGAGUGCGGUCUUAGGAGCAGAUUUCAUUGUGUAUUUGAUUUUCCCAGUCUAAAACUAGCAGAGAUCCCCACUGAUUAUGCUUCAAAUGUCCUAUACUCGGUAAACAUAAGCAAAGGGUUUCAGCCACCAGUAUAGGUAUGGAGUCUGAAUUAUAACAACAGGUAAGCACAAUUGUCUCAUUUUGGUACAGACUACUGCAAGGAAAACAAUAUUGCUAUAUAGGAAACAAGGUUCUUUUCUAAUUUUCAUGAGAGAGAGAGACAGAAAGAGAGAUGGAGAGAGAGAGGUAGAUAUUACUAGUGAGGAUUAUUGCUCUGUCUUGCUUUGCCCUCUUCACAACAUUCCAUAAGUUAUUUCUCGAAGCUGGAUCCAGUCCUGUACUGGGCUCAUCCAUAUACACAACCUAGCAAAUUAUCCUAAGAAGCUAUGUUAAAAGGUGAGCUGCUUUAAUUAUCUUAGUAAUAAAUGGAAGAGGAUGUAGGCCUACUUUGGGAUCUCCAAUCAGUGAAAUUGCAACGCUAAGCCUCCUCUUCAUACCUCCACUAUAUUUCCCAGCUUGCUUGUCAGCAAUGCCUCCAUGAAAUAGGUUUACGCUCUUAAGAGAUUCUUCCACUGCCUGCAACGGCUCAUUACCAAAUUCAGAAAUCGUCAAACGUGACAAAAAUCCCAAGACAAUUUUCAUUUCAUACAUGUGUUACUCUCCCACUCUCUGUAGCAUCUUUAACAUAAUUUGAAUCAGUAUGCAGCAAGCCAUGACAAAGAAAGUACGAGUAAAAUGCAGAAUAAACACUUGCUAUCCAUCUAGAUAGUGUUCUCCUUUGUUUGGACUCUGAUGUCGUUGCUAACCAUUAUGAAGCUGCAAAUUCUUGAUAUAACAACUGUGAUUAGAUUCUGCUGAUUUAAAGUCUAUGACUUCAUGCAAUAGUUUUAAGAUUUACUAAUACAACUCUCCCAGCACUCUUCUCACGAAUUAGGGCAAAAAUGAUUGCCACAGGAUAUCAACUUAGUCAUUUAAACAUCCACCAAUUACUGUCAUCAGAUUUAACAGCAAAAUAUUCCCACAGUCAUUCCUUUUAGAAGCACCAAUCCCAAAUUGCUAAGGUACAUUAUGUUGCCAGAUCAAAAACAACAUUGCUUACCUGUGUUAAAGCAGCACCUUUUAGGUUCUUAAGUCUUCCAUAAAAGAGCAGGUGCUCUCUCCCAGUUAGCGUUUCCCACAGAAGACUGUAUACAUUUAACAUAGUAAAUGGAAGACAUGUAGGGGAUAAACUGAUAAACAGAAAUAGACGAAAUUGUUUAUAGUAAAUUAAAAUAAUAAAUAACAUCAAUGCAUACUCAUGUUGUGGGCAGACACCCAUGCUGGUAUAAAUGCUAUCCAUCUGGCUCCAAAUAUCAAGCCCUUGAACAUAUGCAGUACCAGAGCUUGGCUUUAUAAGUCCGAUCAUCUGUUAACAAAAAUACAAGCAUAGAAACAAAUCUUUCAGUGUCUGGCCAAGAUAGGAAACUAAACCCAGAAGCUGAUCUCAAUAAAAGUUCAUGGAGAAUAUUGAAAGUUAUAUUCAAAUACGUUAAACAAGAAACAUAUGCAAAAGCCAACAAAAUAAAAUGUUUGCUUUUUGUUACAGCUUGGAUGGUUACUACUUCAGUAAUAUAUAAAUGAAGCAAGAACAUUGAACUGACCAUAUUUAUAAAGGAAGUUUUGCCUGCACCAUUAGGCCCAAGCAUACCAAAGCAUUCCCCACGGGGCAAAGCCAGUGACAGUCCUCUCACUGCAAAUUUCUCUGGGUUUCCAUCCCUUCCUGGAUACACCUUUUUUAGAUUGUCACAGAUGAUGGCAUGACCUGUGCUGGGCUCGAGCAUCAAUUGUUCAACCUUCUCUCUCUGAGGAUGAAAGAUGGAAUAACAAUUAAAAAUGCAGACAUACAGAGGAGUUAAUCAUGCAGUAGCCUAUCUUUUCACAGCAAUAUUGAUUACAUAACUGAUGGGUCAUUCCGAAUAAAAGAAAAAGAUGCUUGUUAAACAAACUAAAAUUUUAUAUGCAACAGUCCCAUUUGUGAGGCAAAGGUGAAUUUUAGUGCCUAUUCAAAAAGUGAAGAUAACUAUAGUUACUUAACAAAUACAGUUCAUAAUCACGGAACUUCAAGUGCUGAAACACUGGUCAGCACUCUCAAUUCAAAUAAAGGGCAACAUUUUUUCUUUUUUAAAAUUUUUUUUCCUGACCCCCGAGCUUAUGAUCAACUAAAAAGGAAUUAAUGAAAUUACCUCUUGGAGAACAUCAGGUUUCUCCAUGCCAACAAAAACUUUAGAUCCCUGCCUUUGCAAACUAGGCUUUCGGAAGGAUGAUAAGGGCUUCUUUCGGAAGUUUUGCAAGAAAAAAGUAGGACUUUUUCCUGAUGAUUUAACUUGAUCAACAUAAAACGCGAUGAGAAGAACCACCCACCAUUCAAUAAACAUAAUGACUAAGACUUCUUUCAUCCCAUUCUUGCUAUCAUUUAGAUCUUUCCAUCGCAUCCCAUCUGUCCCCAUAUAGUUUCCCGCAAAUGCAUAUUGUGCAAACUCAUACAAGCCCCGAUAAAGGGAAAAUCCUGGAUAUAAUUCCAUGACUAUGAUCCAGCCUCCUGAACAAUUUUCAGAUCAUUCUUAGUAUGAUGAAACAAGACAACAAUGAACACCGAAAAAAUUGUAGAAACAAAACCAUACAAAUUGAAAAUAGGCAGAUAAGAAGGUCAUGAAUUGCAAAACGCAAAGGAAGUUAAAAAAAAAUGAUCUGGAGUCCAUGUUUUAAAGUUAACAGUAUUUGAAAUCCAUUCAAACAAUCCUGAUAAUAACAUCAAUGAAUUUCAUAUGAGAAACUGUCUAAUGUUGUGAGUUGACCUCCAACCCUCGAACUACAGAGAACCAACAUGACAGCGGAAUGAUUAUUGAUGUUCUAUCAUCUUUGGGGUUACAAUUAUGCUUGGAAAUCACUUUUGCAGAUGUCAUUUUCCCUAAGUAAGGUACAUGUUACAUUACCUAAUUUCUAUAAAGUGUAGACAAUAUCCCAGCUUUUGUUUUAUCCUUUUCCAAUGCGGGCGGGAUUCCAACAAUGACCACAUGCUAAAAAUGGGAUUUGUCACCAUGAAACAAAUGAUCUCAAAGUGUCUUCAAAUUUAAAUUACUAUCAACAACAAAUUGAACAUAGUUCAGGACACACACAAUUGCUUGACUCGCACUGACACAAUCAAAAGCUUAUACUAUGCUACUUGGGGCCUAUGGAUAAUAGAACUCCAACAGACAAGAGUGUUGGUUGCUAUUUUAUCCAUGAGCCUUCUGAAAAGACUUCUCCUUUAGUGUAACGGAAUAAUAAUCUGGCAUAUAACACGAGACAAUGGCACAGUUAAGGCUUUUCACUUACUCGGGAAUGACGAAUCUUCCAGAAAGAACUGGAAAAGAAAACCACCCAAGAGACCACUUCCAAAGACCAAUAUGUACCCUAGAACUGUGACAAUUAUAUAAAAACAUGACUUUGUGAGCAUUAUAGUAUGUUUGCCCUGUUAAAGAAAUGAUAUCUACUAGCUGAAACUACACCUGUAGCAGUCUUGACAUUUGAGAAUAAUGCAGCAACAAGAAAAGCCAAUGAUACUUGCAAGUUUAUGUAGAAAAAGUAAAAUAUCAGCUGGAUAGUGUAAUCAUUAAGUGUGAAGAACUUCAAUCCUGCAAGAACAAAAAUACUAUAUAAUUUUAGUUAAUCAAAUAAAAGAUCAAAAUAAAAGAAGUGAUCUGUUGCUUGUGGUGUUACCUAUCACUGAUCCAAAAAUGACAAAAACUAGCAUGUAUACAGAAGACAAUACAACAAAAUAAGCGUAGGAAAUCAUCCAAUAGGGACCAUCGCCAACCCCAUGCAUUUUCAUCAUGAUUCUUAGCCUUUGUUGCUUCUCAUAAACCAGAGAGCCUAGUACAACCUAUCCAAAGAGGAGAAUUGAUCAAAGAGCAGAAUAAUUAACUUAAUGCAUGUAUCAUGAGGCAGGACAAUAAUAAAUUCAAGCAUUAUAACAAGCAUAACAACAUUCUUGAACAAUUUCAACCAUGACAUUGCUUAUACUAAGGCUACACAAUGUAAGCUUUUUUUUUUUUUUUUUUUGAAGAUGCAACUUAUGUUAAACAAAUCAAUAACUAGAGAAGCUUAAUGAUGGAAUCUGAGAAAAUUAGCACAAACUUCUCUCAUGUUUCAGUUUUCCAAGCUAAGAUGAGACUUGUGUUGGAAAAAUUUUUACCAAAGUGAUGUUUCAUCUACCCAAUUCUAAAUCUUACUAGUGUUAGAAGCAAAGUAGUUAAAUAACUAAUUGCAUUCAACUACUUAAAUACAAAACACUUGAAAGCUCCACUGAGCUACUAUAUCUGAUCAAUAUCUUUCAACAGUCACUACAAUUGGGAGAGAAGAUCAUGAUUUCAUCAAGAAGAAAAACAUCUUAACUGGAUAUACUCAGGUUAUGUUUUCCAUUUACAGAUACAAUAUAUCAAGAUGGAAGCUUGAGUAGUAGAGUGAAACAAUUCCAUAUGAGAUGAUACACUUAAUUUACUCACAGGGAAUAGUUUUAUAAUAACCCAUGUAAAGAAUAGUGGUCCAAGCAGAGAAGAGAAAUCCAGCCUGAGUUUUGUUUCUGGCUUUGGCAUUUCUUUGACAAAUUCAAACAGCAUUUUAGUACCAGGUCCAAGUAAAAACUGGAGAUAAGCAUUUGAUGCCUGCAAAUGUAGCGGCCAAAUGUUAACCCAACAUAUAUGACCUCUUUGGGUUUAUGUAAUACAGAUUUCAGUUUGACAAAGUCCGAUGUGCAUUCAAGCACAUUUCAGUAGCUACAACUGUGAACAAUGACAAAGCCUCACUAAUCAAUAAUGACGAGAUGCCAGUGACUGAGACAUAUUAAGGAAUGUUGAUAAUAAAAACAAAGUUUCAGCGGCUACUCAAAGAGUUCUUAAGAUAGACACUACAAAUUCUGCAAAUAUUGGUAUGCUUAGCAUGAGAACAAACUCCUAGAUGGUCCUACCAAAGAUUUAUUAGGACAGGCAACAAAUGGAGCAAAAAUUAAGGAACACAUAGAAGAACCUCUGACACCUUACAGCAGUUAAUUGUCCAUGAAAGGUUACCUGGUUACAUCAACAUCAAAUAUGCUUCAGAGGCAUAUUAGAUAACUCCAAUCACACAUUGAAAGGUCCUAUAAAUCUAUGUAUCAUCCAAAAAAUACAUUUUUUAUUAAACAAGAAUGUAACUCUUCAGAGGACAAACUGAAGAUGGUGCCCUGACUUUUGCAAUAUCUUCGUAGAGAAUGAACAAUUAUUUCACCUUCUUUAUUGUCAAAUAAACAGAAGUACAACUCUUAGCAGAGGAAACUCAGGUGAAUUGACCUUCCCAUUAACAUUUAAAAAAUCACAGUCCAUUAUCAAAAAAGAAAGCCUUGAUAUUUGACUCAAACUUUUUCUUGCAAGGAAUUUUAUAGAGAAAAGCAGAAUUGAAUGAGGAAGCGACUAAAAAGCUUUAACAGAAACAAAGGACCAUUCAGAAAAUCACAUAAUCAUGCUUGAAAAGUAAAUUUCCACAGGAUGUUUUCUUCUCCAGCAAUGUUAUUUGUGACAAUGGUAAAAAGAAAAGGCUCUGAUAAGCUGCAUGAGCUCAAUCAUGAAAGGGGUCAUAUUUUUUGGCAUUUUCUUCGUUACAGGGUCAACCUAUAGAAAAAUUACGAAAAGAGUUCUAUUUCCUAAUUAUAGAAAAAGGAUGCUGUGACUUAAUUGAGAACGUUGGAACAAUUAUAAUGUAAUUCAGUUUACCUUUCAUGUUUGGAAAAUUAAGUUGAUAAUGAGAUGGAAAAAAUUUGCUGCUCUUUGACUCAGGAAUCUCAGUUCUCACGUUGAAAUUUACGGCAUCGAUGGGGAUGGAAACAACUAUAAUCUAUUGCUUUAAUUAGCUUGAAUCGUAUCCCAAAAUCUAGUUUUGCUUCCCACUUAUAAUUCAGAAGACAUAUGCACGGAUGUAACAGUUGUAAGUUAUUAAUCCACAGAAAAUGAGGUAAACAGAUGGUGCUAACUAUAACGCAAUCUGAAGCCAAAUGUGCGCAACUUAUAAAUCAAAGUAAUUAUCAGGAUAGCAUGCAAUUGCUCAUACAACUACAGAUAUAUCUUCAUUUCUUCACCUCAUCAUUCCAGUGGCUGGAGAUACUAUUAUUUGAAGCAGCACAACAGAUAGAAGAUAGAAGUACCUAACAAAGAUUUGUUGCAUCUGUGCAAUUUACCUCAUUUUCUUACUUUUUUGCAAUCUUUUUACCAGUACAUAGCUAAAGUAUGAAUUUCCAAAAGCACAUUAAACUAAUAAAGAAAAGAAAAAGAAAAAAAUGAAGAUGAAACCUCCAUAAUUUGACUGCCACAAAUUUGUAUAAACAGUAAUAAGGUGAGGCAGUCCUAUUCAACUUUGUUGUGUAUUUUAAUUUUAAUGAUUCUCACAAAAGCAUAAACGCCUAUUCUCAGGCAGAGUAUCACAUUUAAAGUAAAGUUCAUUAUUGAAGUUUGCAAACAGGUUUCAGGUUCAUUCUCUUUGCAUAGCCUUGUCCUUUCAUGUAAUGUAAAAUACGCAAUGGAUGCCUUGUGUUCUCAAUCAAAUACAUGAAAUUGCAAAUGUCAAAAAUGUCAAACAGGUAUUAAACAUAACCUAGUUCAGAAAAUGUUGGCCUAAAUAGUACAGAUAAAAAACAACCAGAUAGUGCAUACCAAGUUGAUUGAACGAGGCACCCGUGUUAAUGCAAGAGGACUGUUGCCUGAGUCAUUCUUAUAGGUAGAGUUGUACCAUAUACUCACAUUAAAAUUUGUCAGGUCUGUAUUUAAGAAAUCAUAGCCUGUGAAAGAGAAUGAGACCAGAAGUUAAAUAAACAAAGUAAUAUAAAUUACUGCAGGUUAGAGAUUCAUGAAACAUGGCUAACAAACCUGCUGUUAUCUCAUUUAUCUUCCUUUGUUGAUUGCCCUUCCUGUAACCUUUAUACAGCUCAUCAUUGAUCUCAGAAGAACUGUUUCGCCACAAAUGGAAACCUUGAACACAACUUAUCUCUGCAUUUGAAACAGAACAUAUUGAUAGUCCAGAAAAUGGAUUUCUGUCUAGUAAAUGUGAGAGAGUAUUCAUACCAAUGAAGGAAUAACUAAGAGACAUGCAGAAUUCCUUCUUUUGAAUGCAUAGAACAGAUUCGCCUUCCUCUAAAGGACAAAAGUAAAUAGAAAACCAUCUCUGUUUAAGUUUCUAUAAUGGUUGACAUAAGAAUAGUACCUUGUUUACUUGAGGCAGAACCUACUGGGAAGGAAACUGAAAACGUGACGUUUGAACUACAUUGAGGUUGGAGAUAAUAGACAGGCAGAUUAGAAAAGAAAGCUGGGUCGAGGAAGUUGGAUAAUUGAGGCUUUGAUGCAGAACCCUGAAUUCCAGAAUAUUGCACAAGCAACAACAUAACACCAGAAGCAUUAAGCAGUAAUAACAGUACAAAGUAACUACUCUUGAAUUAACUACCAAUAGGAAAUGGCAAAACUUAAGCAAAAUAAACAAAGGCUCACCAAGACAUCAUUAGCUAAGCUGUAUAACACCUCUGAAGCAUUUAAAGUUAAUGAACUUGGGAACAUGCUUGCACCCAGACCUACAGAGUUGUAGAUGAAGCACAAAUGCAUCAAUUUAGAUAAUCCCAUGUUCAGCAGGGCAAAAAAUCAAUUACAAAGAAGUAUAUCAUGACCAAGAACAAGAGCUGCAUACUCUGUCCAAGAGUACGAUUACUUCCAGUCAGAAGUAUAGCCACGGGACAAGAACCAGUGCUCUUGCAUGACUCAUUCGGCAAGUCAGCAUGUGAAAUAAAAUCUGUUAGCACUGCACGAUACUCAGGGGCUGGUACUUGUAACAAUGGAGGCCACUCUGGUGGGCUAGGAAUUGCACAAGUUGCCACUUGAUCCAGUGUAGAAUAUUCAAUUCCACACACUCUCUCGCAUUUUCCAUCCCCAUUAGUGUCAACACAAGUGCAGCCACAUUUAUUUUUGGGUUUAUCCAAUUCUGAGUUGACUAAAACUUGGAUAAUAACCAGCAACAAGCACAACAAAAAUGGGAAUAUGACAAGCCGAACAUUUGAUCUGAUAUUCCUUUUCUGAAAAACCAAAAAAAAGGGGCAAAAGAAAAGAAACUACCAUCAACCAUUUACCUUGAAAUACAAAAUCUGCAAACAAAAUGUUUAACUUUAUCAGUUUAGAUGCAUGAAACAAAACCAAGAAAUCCGAGGAUCGAAAUAGUAAGGAUUAAUCUUUCGUAAACUGACAGUGCAUACAUACACUAGUAGUUCUAGAUUGCUUAAUGUCACAAAUAAGGUGGAGUUAAGAUUAAUGAAAGAUAAGUCUUGACAAUGAGAAGGAGUCAGCUGUUUUGAGACAAGAAGGAAGCAAUUAGAUACUUGUUCUUUUAUAAAUGCUAAACCAACUCAAGUUUUGUUACCAGUUAUGCAGCACCUAACUUUUAUACCUGGAGAAAAGCUUGAGGAUCUAUUUUAUGGUAUAAUAAAAAGUUCUAGAAUACUAUAAUCUUAGUAGAAAAUACUUCUUAUACGUUGGAAUAAUUAUCUCUGCAAAUUCAAUUCUUUACUGACACCACAUGACUAAUAGUAUGCCCAACUUUUGUAAAUGGCAAUGUUCAAUUAACAAGGUUCCAAAUGUGAAUGAAACUAAAUUACUGUACAAAACCCAAAAAAAAAAAGAAAAAAGAAUUUCAUGUCAAGCUCAACAAUUUGAAAACAAUUUGAAGGCUGCAACCAAUCUUACCUCUUUUUUUUUUUUCGUUUUUAUUCCCUUUCCAGUAAAAUCCAUCAAGAAGCCAUCAGUAAAGUAACAUACCUUAGAAGGCAAAGAAUUCUAAAUCUUUUAUCAACAAUAUAUAACUUUCUUCACCUAAAGUACACUAAUAUCCUGCCUUAUCAUUUCCAGCAUAGAACAUAGGGAUCAUGAAGAUAACUUAUUAUUGAUCAAGAAAACAAUUAGUCCACCAACAAACAGCUAAACACACCUAAAAGCAAAAACCCAAGAUAUACUACAUUAACAUAACAAGAUUAAAAAAAGGGUCAGAAAAUCCAUGACCAAUAAGCUAAAAGGAUACACAGAACAGAGACAAAUUCGAUAAACUGUGACAACUGAUUACCUGAAAAGUCAAAUUCUUCCUAAGCAAAGCAUUGGCCUGAGUCCAGAAACUUGCAGGGCCAUGUGAAGAAGAAGAAGAAGAAGGAGUUGUAUCUGGCAUUUUCUGUUGUCUGAACUAGUUUCUGACCGUUAAAAUUGAAGUUUGCGCCCAGGAGGUGGUGGUGUUUGAGAUCCUCGUCCCUUGCUUCCUGUUCCAGUUCUUAAAUUGGGUCGUUAUUUAUACAUGUUUCUUUAAUUUCUUUUUACGAAAUUGCCCUUUUUACUUCCCUCGAGGCCGCUAGACGGAACUAUAUUUGAAAUGACCACAGUGACCCUCUUACGUAUAUAUAAUUAUAAUAUAUUUGUAGAUAUAUUUUUCUAUUUGUUGGACCACAAAGAAAAAAUGACAACUAACAACGACGCUGUAUCUAUCUACGCGCAAUAGACAAGACUCCCCCGAUCCCUCUCAUUUCGCGUAUGCUACUUUUUUGUUUUUCAGUUCAUAUCAACGCAUACAAAAUUAGUUUUUUUUUGUAUUUUUUUUAUAAGUAAAACGGCUCGAAUUUAAAAUUUUCUACUUAUAAUCCUUCUCAAUUUAUCAAAUUAUAUGACCAAUGAAAAAGAUUGACUGAUAUUUGUAACAUUUAUUAGAUGUGAAACGGUGUCAAAAUCUUUUUGUUUUCACUUUACCAAACAAAUUCGUAUUAAUCUAGGCUAUAUACUAGUUAGGCUAUGAUCUCACUAGCUAGUUCUGGUUUUUGUUAAAGGUGACUAAAGAAAUCAAUGUUAAAACGUUCAAAGAAUUGAAGUCCUAAUUUCUAGUCAAAAAGUAAUUCUUAGAAUGAUAGCUUGAAUAUAUUCCAAAAACACAAAAGCUUUUUCCACCUCAAAAUAAGUAAUUAACAGAGAUAAAAAAAAAAGUUAAAAUCAGGCCUUGCAGAUAAAAUAGGAGAUUAAUUUUUCAACUCAUUAGCGUGUUUUGGGAGAGGGUUAGGUUGGAUGGUACGAAAGUAGGGAGUGUAAAUAAGAGAUUUUAAAUUCUUCUAAAAUCUCGCGCUUACACUAAAAAAAAAUUUAUUAUGAAACAAGGAAAGAAUAAUAAAGAAGUACACACGACAUCUUAAGAAACAAAAACCAAGAAUUUGAGGGACAUCCAGUGAAGUAUUAAUUAAGAUCCAUUAGGUCAUGCUAAGGUGUUUAAAAAACUCAAGAUUGACUAAUCAGUUUAUCUCCUAGAGAUUCUAUCUGCCCUUUGUUCACUUCUUCUUGGUCGUAUGUAUAAAAACUUUCCUCAAUUUCAUCACAAGUUCGCAAACACGGAUUCUUAGCAGAGAAGAAGGGGUUAUAAAAUAAUAUCUCUAAACUUUAACUACUCGUUUAUGGAUAGUACAGUUUUGACCAUCUUCCCUCCCGUCAUCAAUACCUGUAGUUUCAAUAUUAUUAAUGUCUAGGUAUGAAGAUUUUCGUAGAUUACACUCAUUUUCGUAGAUUACACUUACUCUUAGCAAUUUUUGUUUAUAGUCGUGACCGUAUGACGUGAAAUUUUUGUACAAAAAUAUAUAAUAGUACCAAUUUGAUGUUUAUAAGAUAAAAAGAUAAUUGAAAAAUAUGUUCAUAAAAAAAAUUUUCUAUAAAAAAAAAAUCAAAAUUCAAACAAGGUAAUGGCUCAGUCUAGUUGACAAAACUAGACGGGUUCAUUUCAAAUUGCCCAGAAAAUUCUAGAUGGAACCUUAAAGUGUCAUGAAUCAUGACGAAUACCUAGAAAAAAAAAUAAAGAAAAAAGGUUAGUUGAUGGGGUUGGUAAUUUGCUCAAUGGGGGGAUUUGUGCUCAGAAAAAAAUUAAUCAAAAAAAGGGAAAAAAAAAAAAAAACUAAUUAAGAAGACUCUCAAUUUAAGUAAGUUGUAAAGUUUUAUUGGCAACUUGCAGGAGUCCACAGAUUGACCAGACCGAAGUAGGCUGUAAAGUGCCAUGGGCAGUUAAUUAUCUCAAAAAAUGACUAAUUACUUGUAUCUCCUAUUAGUUGACCAUAAAGGAUUGAUUCUCCCUGUGAUUUGCUUGGUCGUACAAAUAACUGCUUGACUCAAAUUUCAGCACAAACUUCGCAAUCAUGUAUGGAUUCUUAGCAGAGAAGAAAGAUUAUGCAACAAAACAUCUUCAAACUUCAAAUAAUUUUAACUAUCUUCACAAUCUAUGUGUACGUUGUUGGUUAUGAACAAUUUGACAGACAACAAUUAUCUUAUGCAUAUAUAAAUUGGUCAAUGCUCACAAGAUAAGGUUGCAUUUGACUCGUCCCAAUUUGCCUUUCAGCUUUCUGAAAAAGUCUAGCGAUGACAUGAUGAUAAUCCCCUAGUUAAAUCUCUUUCUCAGUUUCUAAUAACAAAGAACAUCUCUGGAUUAAAGCCUUUAAAAUCAUGACGAAUAAGUUAGUCAAUUGGCCUUAUGUAAACCGUUGGCUAUUCCGCCGAUAACUACACUGUCAGUGCAUAAAAAAAUAAUCUUAUAUAUAUAUCAAAAGAAAAAAAAAAUCAGCAAAAAGUAUAAUGAAUGUAUAGUCUCAUUGUCAGUAAGUGUUGAAUUUUGUUUGGUGGUGAAUAUUCUUUAUUAAGGUGAUUAGUUAGAGCCUAGAGGUGUUCAAAAGUUGACUAGCCUGACAUUUAAUUGUCUCUACAUUGGGUGUUUAGUUAAAAGUGUACGCAAGCAGGUUAGACUAUAUAUCAUACAAAUUAACAUCAUAGUCUUAUUAGGAGUGAUAAGGACUUGUAUGUUUUAUAUUGCUUGAUCUCAUUCUUGCUCAAAAAAAAAAAAAAAAAAUUUUUUUUGGGGUGUGCUCAAUGAGUUAGCAAACUGAAUUAGGUCAAGGUAACAUGUAAAGUGACCAAAAUCACACAAGUAAUAAAUGAAAAAAUUAUUUUCAUUGGCACAAUUUGGAUUUUGGAAUUGUGGAUGAUGGUAUCGGAUGCUACAUUUACACAUCAACAAUUGUUUUUUUUAGGGUAAAAACCUAGCUCCUAAAUAAUUAUUUCAACAAAAAAAGGGCGCUAUUUAGGAAAUUUUUGGGACCUGUUGAGGAGCUACAACUUACUUUGUGAUGUUGGAUAGUACUCUUAAUGUAUAAUAUGUGGUUUUUGAGCUGUCUUUUGCUUAAUUAUAUCAGGACAUUUUGGUCAUUUCAUCAAUUUCCGUUAAAUUUAAUGGAUUCCGUCACAUUUACAAUUUAGUUCGAGGUGUCGUAUUGUAUAUUUUGAAAUCAUAGGGGGUUUUUUUGUAUAUUAGACUUGACACAAGAGACUUUUUUGUUUUUUACCUUGUUAUAAAAACAAGUGAUGAUGCAUACACAACUUCACAAAUGAACAAAGGGAAUUAAUAUCUGCAAUCCCUAAUUAGCCUCUAGUACUUGUUGGAUAUUAUAUUUUUGGUGAAUGAAUUGAAAUGCAAGGAAACUAAAAAAGGGGUUUUCUAUAAAAAAAAAACUCUCUACACUUUCCGUGAACAUAUUUCCCAAUCACCUUCUCACCUCAUAUAUAUCAAAUCGUUACAAUACAUUUUAUAAAAAAAAAACUCUAAAAAAUUGUAAUUCAAACGCAACCUAAACGAGGAGUACUGCAAAUAUCAAUUCCCUCAGCAAAAUACGAAGAUUUUGUGGGACAUCUAGGGAAGUACUACUAAAUAUCCAUUCUUAAUUUAUUCCCUUAUUAGUGUAGAAACAGUCAACAGACCCCAGAUGUACUCAUUUCUUUUAUAGAUAGAAAUGUUGACCAUAAAGGUGUUCAUAGAUGAGUUUCUUGUAGAGAAAUUUCUCCACAAGUUCGCGCCGCGGUCAUGGUUUCUUUCUUAGUAGGGAAGGUACAUAAAAAACGCGGCUAGCCAAGUUGCUUAGAUGAACUGAAUUAAUUAAGACUAUGAAAAACAAAUGUUUAAACAUUAUUAUUUGCUUGCUGAUGAAAUAGUACUAUAAUUAAUUGUCAUUCUAGCUAGGAAAUUACUUGCUCAUGGGAUCUUCUUCCGCUGAACUCAGCUUCUAAAGUGUCGGCAGUAAAUAUUGAUUUAAGUAAAAAAAAAAAAAUGUAGCCUUCUAGCAUUUAUUGACUUCUUGGAUUUGAAAAGCUACUAUUGUAUACAAAAAAUUAGUAUGGUAUAUUAACUUCAUUUAGAAUUAAAUAAAAAAAAAGUUGGAAGAAAGGCAGAAAUUGCUUUGAAUCGAUGUAAGAUUUGGUCCGAAUUGCUACGCAUUUAUUACAGUUUCGAUUGUAAGUUAUUUGGGAUUAUUUAAGAUAUUUUUACUGUAGCAUUUUUUGUGAUGUGAUGUAUGUGAGAUAAAAAGAUAUUGGGAAGAUAAAAAGGUGUAUUGGAAAUUGUAAAGAUGAUGUAAGCAAAUAAAAUUGGGAAAAUAUGAAGCAAUCCAAACAAACCCUGAGUUUUGAUUAAUCUUUUUUAUUAUUUACGUAAACUUUUGACAUUUGAAGUCUAUCCAGAAUAAUGAAAAGACUAUUAUUUGCAUUUUCUUUUACCAUCUCAAUAAAAAUACAUAUCUUCCGGAAAUUUACUAUUCAAAGAGCCCAAUUCUCCUUCCUGAAAAUUGAUUAAUUGAUCAUUCAAGAACAAGAAGUCACACUCAACUAAAUUAAUUAAAAAGAGAUUAUCAUAAUACUACUCUUUGAUAUAGUUUAACUUAACGUGUGUAAACUCAAUUAAGUUAUUUAUUACUAAGGUCAAUCAUGUCAUGAUAAGGUGUAUGUUAAAAAAAUUAUUUAGAUAAUUAUGCAACGCAUUAUUAUGACAUUUCAAGGGGCUGAGCGUUAAAUAAUUCAGGAAAAUGGCCGCAAUUCCAAAAUCUACAGUCCAAAGGGCCAGUCAAUUGCUUGCUAAUAUAUUUAUAAUCUCUAUUCAAAUAAAAAAAAAUGCCCAAACAAAUCGAUGCACGUGGAUUUAUAUACAUCACACAAGAUUUGACCUUAAGACCAUGAUCAAAUGAUGUGUUUGGAUUGUACGUUACCUUUUCCGUGGACAUAUUUUUUAAUUAUUUUUUUAUCUCACAUAUAUUAAAUUAUUACAAUAAUUUUUUUACAAAAAGACCAGAAAAAUACAAUUCAAACAAAGCCGAAGUAAUUUUCAUUUAUUAAAUGCCUCCUAAAAAUGUUGUCACCGAGUGCGUUCAGUCCCCUCCAAGUUAUCUUUGGAUCUCUUCAGGUCCCUGCCUCCCCUUAGUAUAGAAUAGUAUAGAUCUAUCGUGUCAGACAAAAAAGGAAAAAAAAAUGCCAUAUAUAAAGUUUGAUUCUUUUGUUCUUGAUGAAUAGUUCUUGAUUUUGGUUUUUGAUUCUCAAAGGCCACAAGUGUUUCGUUCUCAGAUUGGUAUGAUAAAUAAUAAUAUUUCCAAAGUUAUUGAAUUUUUAUUCUAUUUUGACAGCAGAACAAUUAGUGAGGAGCACCAAUCAUGUAGUCAAGACUUCAAAACACAAUAAACCUAAUGAAGGGAAGGAAAAAAAACAGACUGGGAAGCAUCCAUAACCAUCAUAUUAUUUGGGAGCAUAUCACGUUAAGUGAUACAUGAAUAGUUUAUUACUUAUUUUUUGAAACAAAUUCAGUAUCACUUAAUUAAUUCAAAUAUUAUACUAUUUUUUUGUUAUCAAAUGUAUCUUAACAUAUUAAAAUUUAAAAUCGUAAACUUUAAGUGAUGAAUUGAAUUAUCAAAUAUGAUAUUAGUUGUAUAUAAAUUCCUUACGUCUCAAUGAAUAUGUGUUUAAAAAAAAAAAAUGAUGAGCUAUACGGCCAACGCGUUAUUGUGACAUAUGAAGCUCGACCGAGCGCUAUUAUGCUUUAGGAAAAUGGUCACCACCUUCGUUCCAAAAUCUACAGUCUAAGGGGGUCAAAGUGCCGGAGCUACUCAGAAAGAUUUUACUUGUGGUAUAUGCUUUUCUUUGAAAUUUCCCCAUGUAGGAACUUUCCUAGUAUCUUAUUAUUGUUGACCGUACGUCCGUACCAUUAUAGAAAACGAAAUAAGUACAAAGAAUGAUUACUAAAUUAUAUAUUUCGGAAGUCUUUAAAUUUUUUUGUUCUAUUUGGUCAGCAGAAAAAAUGAUGUUCUAAACCAAGGCUUUCUCGAAGGACUAAAAAUAGAUAAGAAUGUCCAUUACACACAGAUCAAAGAAAGGUGAAUUGAUGAGGAGCACCAUGCACCAAUAUAGUAGUCCAGAAGACAAUAAUUCAGGCAAUCUAAUUGGGAAAAUAAAGACUAAGAAGCAUAAAAAGUUUCAGAAGUAAAACCCUUUUCAAACAAAUGUAAGUCACGCCUUGUAUAUUUGCUUGAAUGUGUAAACAAACAACUUAGGCCCUCUUUGAUAAUACAAUUCAAUACCUAAAUUUAAUGAAUUUAGAUCUUAAUAUAUUCAGACGUGUUUGAUAAUAAAAAAUUAAACAUCUGAAUUAAUUAAGUGGUACUGAAUUUUCUACGCAAAACUUGCUUCAAAAAAUAAGUGAUAAGCUAUUCACUUAUCAUUUAAUGUGAUAUACACUUAAAUGUAUUUGAUUUAAUAUUUAAUAAUUUAAUGGAUUCAUAUUUCAGAUUUCAUUUUUCAACUUCAGUUUUAUCAAAUGCAUUGUCUAACUCAUAUAUUUUCUAAACUAUUUACUUGAUUGUCUAACCUGUAUAGGUCCUAUACUAAAAUGAUUCUAAUCGUUUGAUUAUUUUUUUUGGGGGGGGGGGGGGAUAAUUUUUUUCAAAACCUGCAAGCUUUUAGCUUUUUUUUUUUUUGAAGGAAAAAAAGCUAACAAUAGCAGAGAUUUUGAGUUAUUUAACACACUUUCCUUGUACAUGCUGUCCAUUUGCGCUUACAUGCACAUACAUCCAUUGGCCAUAAGCAUUAACCUGCCAGGCUUUGAAAAAAAAAAAUUGAUAGACAAGUAUAAAAACCUCCUACUCAACCAAAGAAGAAUGCUAAAAACCCAAGCCAAGAUAAAAAAUGGUCAAAGGUGAAAGAAACCCUAUUUAGACUUUUAGUAACCGAAAAAGUCCGUAAAGGACCCUAUUUAUUUGUGGCCAUAAAUAAUCCAAGAAUUGCUGGAAUUUCUUAUCUAAUGUCCAAAGCGGCUCACCUUGUUUGGAUUGUGUUUUUGGUGGAAAUUUUUUUUAGUUUUCGACGAGAAUAUUUCUAAGCAUAUUUUUCAACUACCUUUUUUUUUUACUUCAAAUCGAUCAUGUCUUAAACAAGUGCUGUACAGUAUAUUUCUCCUAUCAAACGCUUCUAUACAAUAACAAUCCAAAAUGGGUUAACAUAUUUGUGUGUGUAUGCCGCACCAUCACAUACAUGACAAGCAAAGCGUUGGUGUUCUAUAUAUAUUGCUAUGUAUUUUUUUUCCUCUGUAUAUAUAUGUGUGUGUAUAUUACCUUUUCAUCCUUUCUCGUAUCCUUCUCAUCCCUAACUAUCAUACACAAAUCAAAAUCUCAACUAUCAAUCAUCCUUUCUCACAUCCUUCUCAUCCCUAACUAUCAGACACAAGAUCAGAACCUCAAAUAUCAAGGAAGACUCUUAGGGAAUAGUCUUCCCUAACCACUAGGCGCUCAUAGACAACUUGAGGUGCAUUAUCAUAAAAACAAAAGAAGAGAUUGAAGUGGGAAAACUUUGGCUGUAAGUUUCCCGAAUCCGGUAAAUUGGUGGUUGACUUUUUUAGUAUCAUUUUUUUUUCCUUUUUCAAUUGAAUGACUAGGGACUUCAUAUACUUUCCUCUUUCCAAUCUGGACAAAACGACCAAUGUUGUAGCAUUAAACAAAACAAGGACCACCAUCAUCAUUUUCCUACAAGUUUCCUUGAAAUUCCUCAAGUUGGAAAGUAGAACCAUUUUCAUUUCUAAAGGAGUUUAUUCACACCAGGGUCCACGUUAAUUUCGGUCCAAAUUGCAUCUCACAAAUUUGAAUUCAAAAGAUUUCUUGACUUAAUAAAAAGAUUUCUUUUUUCAAAGAGUUUAUACUUUUCUUUUCUUUUUUUUUUUUGGUUAAUAUGAUAGAUUAUCCUAUCUUAGAGGGAGGAGGAGAACCUGAAUAGAUCUAAGAGUAAUUCGAAGGGGACUGAACCAUCACCGAAUCAAACGGAUAUACUAUGCAUCCGCCUGAAUUUUUUAAAUAAAGCCACUUAAUGUGGCAAAUUGAUGAGAGGCAAGGAUUCAAGUUUUAAUGCAUUGGUGGUGGUCAUCAGUCUAAUGGCUCAUGGUUUAUAUAUAUAUUUUUGCAGUAGGUGAGAAAAAAUUGCAGGGGGCAUAUCUGGUAAUUCAAUGCAAAACCAGGGGCAUUUCUAAUCCAUCAACUGUCAACUUCCUAUCCCCAAGCUCAACCCGCGCUUAUUCUUUACUUUACGUUUUCCCACAUUCCUUCCUUCCUUCAUGAAUUUCAACGCUUGCUUCUUCUUCUUCAUCUUCUUCUUCUUCUUCUCAUAUAUAAAUACCUCCGCUUUUGAACUCCAAAAAACACAGAAAAAAACACAGAGUAAAUAAACACCCAGAACACACUACUGAUUUCACUGAAAAGAAAUGGAACUUCAAAGUGGCUUUCCAUUACUGAUUCAACAGUUCAAAGCCCUCUUCAAGAAAAACUUCCUACUUUCUUGGAGGAGCAAGAGGUCCACAUUUGUUUCCUUAUUUUCAUCCCUCUUCUUCAUUUUCCUUCUCUUCUGCAUCCAAAAGGCCAUUGAUGCUCGGUAUUCGGGCAACACGAGUUUCAAGAACGUUUUCGAUCCCAAGCCUUUAGCAGGGCUUGCAAUUCCACCCUGUGAGGACAAGUUUUAUGCCAAACUACCCUGUUAUGAUUUUCUCUGGAGUGGAAAUGAUAGUCAAAGGAUCGCUGGCAUUGUUCAGAAGAUUAUGGAUAACAAUCCUGGACGACCAAUCCCUUCAACCAAGGUAUGCAUUUGUUUGAAAUUUACUUUGCCUUGAUUUGUAUUAUCUUCUUCUUCUUCUUCUUCUUUUUUGGUGGAAAAAUUCACCGAUUUAGUCAUUCAACUGUUUACUAAAGCAGAUUUAGUCCCUAAACUUAUAUUUAGUUCGUAAACUUUUGAUUUUCUAAGCUAGUUAGUCGUUUUUUGACCAUAGUCCAGCAUCAUGGAAAAUUUUUUUUAUUUUUAUUACGGACAGUAGCAAAGGGGCAAUUUCGUAAAAAAGCCACGUCUCUUGGCAUAUGUCAAACCAUUAUGGCCAUUCAUUCAACAAUUGGAUCAUUUCCAAUGACUAACUAAUACAAAGGGAUUAAGGAUACACCAGUAAUUAUUGGUCUAAUCUCUAAAGACUUCACUUCUUAAAUUAAAGCUAGUAUAUCCUAGUAUAUCAAUGCUGGAGAAAAACUGCAUAUGCAAACAAAAAUAAAAUAAAUAAAUAAAAAUGUAUAGCUUUUUCUUUGAGCUUGUGCACAUUUAAAUGAGUACGUACGCACAUAAAAACACUCGAUUUUGACGUUUGAUGUUUGUGUAGUUGGGACACUUGUUGAUUAGAUAUUAAAGUUGCCAAAUUAUAUACUGCUAACGCAUGAUAUUAAUCCCCAGAUUAAUUAAGUGAGCUUUUAGAAUCUGGACAAAGUAGAUAGGAUGAUUAGCUCUAGGAUUUGAUUCAUGAAAGCAUGCAUGGGAGUUCAAGAAAGUCUAGUGCAACUGCUGAAUAAUAUUAUAUGUCCUACAGGUAGAAUUAAUGCAGAUUACAUGAAGGGAUUUUAAUAGACAAAGUUCCUGCAUCCCAAUCGAACACUACAAUCUUGCAUGUUUAAAUGCCAGAAAUACUCUCUCUAAUGCUCACCUUCUCAUACUAGACAUGUUAAAGUUUGAUCUAAUCCACUGAAAACUAGAGGCCAUUCGUUUUGUAAUGCUUCUGAUAGAUGACAAAGGGAAAGUAACUGCAACAUCUCAUGCACAUACGCCUUUUUGUUUCUGUGAUCAUUUACUGCAUCAAGUGCAAUUAUCAAAAGUUGGGAUCCGGGGGAACAAUCUUGCUCUCAGCUUUCUGUAACUUUGUGAAGGUUCAAUCAUUUAAGACAAGAAGUGAAGUUGAUGAAUGGCUACUCAAUCACCCCAUGCAUUGUUCUGGAGCUCUGCAUUUUAUGGAAAUAAAUUCUAGCGUUAUCAGUUAUGGUAUACAAACAAACUCCACUCCAUUAGCUAAGCGAGGAAAUUACGAGGAUCCUACUUUCAAGUUCCAAAUUCCAUUUCAAAUUGCUGUGGAGCGUGAAAUAGCUCGUUCUCUAGUUGGAGGUAUAGCACUCAAAAUAGCAGUUCUUCUUGAAAUUUCAAUCCUGUCUUGUUACAGAUGAUGAAUUUUUUUUACUUAUUUCUUAUCUCGCCUAAAUGCAUCUUCUAAUUACAUCCUUUGAAUGUGUUCAGAUCAAAAAUUCAGUUGGCAGGUCAGUUUUAAGGAAUAUGCACACCCUGCAAUUACAAUUUUCUCCGCAUUAGGUACAGCAGGGCCAACUUUUUUCUUUGCUAUUGCCAUGUUUGGCUUUGUGUUUCAAGUCAAUGCAUUGGUGACAGAGAAAGAACUCAAGCUUCGCCAGGUGUGAGCUUGUUUGAGCUUUAAUAUUAAAAAGAGUAUCUGCCAUUUCACGAUAUUGUUCUCAUUUUUUACCUUGUCACAUUUGAAUGGCAGACCAUGACAAUGAUGGGACUCUAUGACACUGCCUACUGGUUGUCUUGGGUUGCUUGGGAGGGUAUCAUCACUCUGCUUUCAUCACUACUGACAGUUCUUUUUGGAAUGAUGUUUCAAUUUGACUUUUUCCUCAACAACAGCUUUGGGGUUGUGUUCCUUCUCUUUUUCCUCUUCCAAUUCAAUAUGGUAAGAUCUUCCUCUUAUUCUGGCCAAGAAUUUUGCCAUUUUCUGUGAUUAUAUAAACGUCUUGUAAUAAAGAACCAAGUGAGUUUAUUUAUUUAUCUCAAACUGACAUGUGUUUGGUAUCUUGUAUUGCCAGAUUGGUUUUGCCUUUCUAUUGUCUGCGUUCAUUAGCAAGACAUCUUCAUCCACAACUUACGCAUACUAUAUUUUCGUUGUUGGUACAAUAACUCAGGCAGGUUUUCUAUCUUCAAAAGUUAGUGAAUGAAGCAGCAAAUGAAUUAAACAUAACUCAUAUCUGUUCAUUGUUUCAGGUAGUUACAGUGUUUGGAUUUCCAUACAGUCAUAACUACCAGAAUUAUUUUCGAAUCAUUUGGUCUUUCUUUCCACCAAAUCUUCUAUCUGAGGGCCUUCAACUGCUCUCUGAUGCUACUGCAACUCCACAAGACCCUGGAAUUAGCUGGAGUGGAAGGUCAAAAUGUGCACCAAAUGACACAGAAUGCGUGAUAUCAAUUGUAAGUUAAAAAUUUGCUGCCUGAGACCGAGUAUUUGACCAUUAGUGAUGCAGAGAGUGUAUACUGUUGUUGUAAGUUUCGAAUGCUUUAAGGUUGCACAAAGCGGUUAGUUGAUUUGCUUAUACCUUUUCUUCUGACAGAAUGAUAUUUACAUAUGGCUUAUAGCAACAUUCUUCCUGUGGCUCAUAGCUGCAAUCUACUUCGACAACAUUAUGCCCAAUUUAAAUGGGGUGAGAAAAGCAUCGUUUUACUUCUUGAGUCCUUGGUACUGGACGGGAAAAGGUGGAAACAGAGUGGAAGGUACUGAGAUUUAAAACUAAAUCUGUCUCCUUUUAUUGGACCUUGGUUUCUCGUGUUGAUGACUCAUAAUUUUAGCCAAAAUUGCACUCAUGAUAUAGAGGGUGGCGUUUGUAGCUGCACACGGUCAAAUCUUCCCGCAGAGAAUAUAAUACCAGAUGACCAAGAUGUCCUGGAAGAGGAAAACCUUGUUAAACAGCAGGCAGCAGAAGGUUUGCUUGAUUCAAAUGUUGCAGUUCAGCUACGUGGUUUGGCGAAGACAUUUCCUGGUGUGAGAAGAAACAUCUGUUGUUGUAAUUGCAAGAGCUCUUCUGCUUACCAUGCUCUCAAGGUAAGAAUACCACUUGGUCAUACAUAACAAACCAUCUUCUUUGGUUGUCAAGGAGAUUUUUACAGUCAAACGAGUUUCUUAGCUUUUAUAAUGACACGAAUAUGGUGUUCUUACAUCAGAAGUACUCGGCCACAUUACAAUCUUAGCUAUGGCAAUGUGUGUACUACACAGAUCAUGCAAGGCAUUGUUAUGGUAAAACAUAUAUAACCACAUGGUUCUUCUCCAUUUUAUGAAGCAGAAGGAACUAUACUUUAACAAAACACUGACACGCUAUAACAAUCAGAGUGAAUUUUUGUGCCUUAGCAGUCUCAUUCGCUAUGAUCAAUCAUUUCUUUGCAUAUGUGCUUGCAACUUUCUUCCUCUUUUUUGCCAAGUCUCCAAAAUACAUGCGGUACCUAAAAGGUGAAGCUUUUUGUCAGGGUUUGUGGCUGAACUUUCCAAAAGAUCAGUUAUUUUGUCUGCUUGGACCGAAUGGAGCAGGAAAAACUACUGCUAUCAAUUGCUUGACUGGUAUUACCCCAGUUACCAGUGGAGAUGGUAAUGUUUCUUACACUUUCCUUGCCUAGUGUUGGAAUGUACAUGACAAAAGCAAUCGCUUCAAGUGGAUAGAAAACCUCUUUUUCAGCAUUGGUGUACGAAAAUUCCAUCCGAAGUUCCACAGGCAUGUCAAACAUUCGAAAGAUGAUAGGAGUUUGUCCUCAGGUGACUCUUCCUUGAAACUUUUUUUUUUUUUCUAAAUUAUUGGCUAAUGUUUGACUUUAGCUCAAUUUGAAAAUUAAAGUUUCUGUUACCCAGUUAGAGAGAUGAGAUUCAUUCACUUACCUCUCUGCAGUUUGACAUUCUUUGGGAUGCAUUGUCCGGCAAAGAGCAUCUCCACCUUUUUGCAACUAUCAAAGGCCUGACCCCUUCCUCAAUCAAGUCUGUGAGUGCUAAACAAACUUAACUCAAGUUCUCGCUUCCAGUUCUUUUUCUUUUACCUGUAGAAGUGCUAUGUUGUUUUAUGCAAAGUUCAAUUUAGACGAGAUGAAGUCACAGGGUUCAUUGUUUUUAGCCUGAAUGUUGAUUCUAAAAACAGGUUGUGGAAAGAUCAUUAGCAGAAGUUAAACUUACUGAGGCAGCCAGAAUGAGAGCUAGCAGCUAUAGUGGCGGAAUGAAACGGCGUCUUAGCGUUGCCAUAGCCCUUAUUGGUGAACCAAAAUUGGUUGUAUUAGAUGAACCGGUUAGUAGAUCAGAAACAUUUACUCUACCUAAUUGUCUCCUUGAUAUGAAACAUAAUAGAUGUGCAUGUUGUUUCACUUCUAGACAACUGGUAUGGAUCCUGUAACUCGAAGAUAUGUCUGGGACAUAAUUGAAGAUGCAAAAAGAGGUCGUGCAAUCAUUCUGACUACUCAUUCAAUGGAAGAAGCUGAUAUCUUGAGCGAUCGAAUAGGAAUUAUGGCAAAAGGAAGGCUUCGCUGCAUCGGGACUUCAAUAAGGUUAAAAUCAAAGUUUGGAACUGGCUUUGUUGCUAGCAUAAGUUUUUCAGGGGCCACUUAUGGAACUCCAAACAACAGAGAAGAUAAUGUUACUGCGACAGAAGUUGAAGCAGUGAAACAGUUCUUUAAAGACGUAAGUCUGACAACCUUCUUGUUUUAGUCUUGAAGAAAUUAGGGUACUGCAUAUCUGACAGAACCUUGUUCACUUUUCCAUCAGCAUUUAGAUGUGGUACCUAAAGAGGAGAGCAGGUCUUUCCUGACCUUUGUAAUUCAGCAUGACAAGGAAAAGCUCCUGAAGGUAAUCACUCUUACUUCAUAUGUUUUGUUUGAUGAGAUAUGAUUUGGGGUUUCAAGAAAGGUUUUUUCUGAGGUGAAAAGAUAGACUCAGCAAAUAAGCACAUUUGCAUAUGGACCAUAGUUACUCAGGAUAUAAUCUCAUUCAAUCUGGUCUUCAAUUUUCUCAAAGCAUGAUUCUACAAAGAAGAAGCAAGCACUAAUUAAGCCAAGUUGAUAUGGAUGAAACAAGUUCGUUGGUGUCACUCAAUCAACAAAGAACAUCAAUCAUCAGAAUGCCAUUAUUUCACACGAUGUUUAUCCUUCUGAGAUGUUGGUUUUUGAAGCUUUUGUAACAUGCAGAGGUUCUUGUUCUUUAAAGUUCCUAAAUUCGUUAUUCUUCCGAGGAAACAUUCCACUCUUUUUCAUUUAGUGCAUUUGCAAGCAUAGACGCCUUUGUUCUCGUACACUUUCUCUUGAGUUCUAAGAUGUUGGGAUUUACGUAUAUCCAGAUAGGAUCAGAUUCGAACCUAUUCUCUUUUAGCUCCUUAAAAUUGCAAAACAUUUUUCAGAAUUUCUUUGCUGAGCUCCAAGAAAGAGAGAGAGAAUUUGGUAUAGCAGACAUCCAACUUGGUCUUACAACUCUUGAAGAAGUAUUUCUGAACAUCGCCAAGCAAGCAGAGCUGGAAACUGCUAUAGCUGAAGAAAGAUACGAAACUCUGACUUUAAACUCUGGCAGAUCUAUCCAAGUAUGUAUUUCCCUUGUAUUCUUUUCUGAUCAUAGAAAACUAGAUCAAUUCUCAAUUUACUAAUGUCCACAUUUCUUUCUGUCUUUGUCAAUGUUAUAGGUACCUGUAGGAGCUAGAUUUGUGGGAAUUCCUGGAACAGAAACUGCAGAAAAUCCUAGAGGUACCAUGGUUGAAGUAUAUUGGAACCAAGAUGACACAGGAGGCCUCUGCAUUUCUGGUCACUCUACUGAAAGUCCAAUACCACCUCAUGUUGAAGCAAGACCAUCAGCAGUCACAUCUCGUAGAAGAAUUUUAGGCCGAUCAGGACAAGUUUAUGGAUUUCUAAUUGAUCCUGAUCAAAUCAAUCAUGUAAACUCUUAGUAAUUCUUUGUCAAAUGCAAAACAUUAUACAUGCUAUAUGCUUGUAUGUGUCUUGAGGUGUGUCAUUUGAGUUGGGAUUUUGUUUCAAUAACUUAUUACAGCUAUAAGAUUCUUUCGCAGAAAUCUUGUUUACAGCCCUUCUCAGGAAUGGAUACAAAACACUUUUAGAAGAAUGAGAUAAUCUUAAUACAAUUCAAUUCAAAUCUUAAUCGAUAAUCUGUUUUGAGAAGAAUGAGAAAGAGGCACAAAUUAAUCACCAAAUUUCCAAAUUUAAGCGUGCGUCCGUAUCAUGCGCUACGUUCUACUCUAAUAAUUCGUUAAACUUGAAAUGUGCAUCACCAAAAUAAAUCAUGCGAUAAGGUGUGGACGAAAAAUAAGCCCAUGCACCAACGGACGUUGGUGCAAGUGGAAGAGGUCUCUGGUUCGAAACCCAUGGGAACGGAAAAAACAACGUUGGUGCAAGUGGAAGAGGUCUCUGGUUCGAAACCCAUGGGAACGGAAAAAACAACGUUGGGAGAGCUACCCCUAUGGGGCUCGACCCGAUUCGAACAGGAUUAGUUGCAGACCGUAAAACGGAUGCGGACACCUGUGGAUUAUACCAAAAAUAAGCCCAUGCGAUCUCUUUGAAACCCUUAAUAAUUAGUGCAGAUUUAAUGAAAGUAUAUAUUUCCAGAAAAAAAAAAAGGCCCUCAACUAGUGCUUUACAUAAUCAUAUGAGAAUUAAUAGCUUAAAACUUAGUUUUAAUCUUCAUUGCUAGGUUUUUUAAAUCACAAGAAAAUGCAUGGUUAACCGUAGCAUCAAAAUAUGUAGCAUUUGCAUUUAGUACACAUAACAAUUAAAACCUAAUAAAAAGGAAAUCAAUGCAUGAAUGCUUUUUUUUUUUUUCAUUAUAGAGAUUAAUAUUAAUGGUAGAUGGAAAAACCCUUAUCUGCCCAACUGUUCUUUUCCACACACUAGAUUUAAACUCUACAUGCUACAUUAGAAAGCUAUGCAUGAAUGCUUAUGGAGGAAAGUUGGCCACGCAAAUCAAUGAAUACUAAUUACAUGAGAAGUAGGUAAUUGCAAAAUCUAAUAGUCCAGUUUCCUCUUUGUUGGCCAAAGUUCUCCUCAUCAUAUAAAACUUUGGAAGGUGAGUUUUCCUCUUAAGUUUUUAGUUCUAUAAUCCAUUUUGACUGAUGGAUUUGCUAGAAAUGUUAAAAGCAGAUCUGACUUUUUUUUAGAACCAUAGUUGGUUAAUUAUCUCUCAUUUCACAUCAAUUAGUACUAGUAUAGAAUUUUGGAUACUUUGCAGUGACUAAUUUGCCCUUCAAAAUUUUUUGUUCAAAUUACCUAGCUCGCUGCCCUUCACAAAUCUACAUAUGUAGAGAAGAAAUUGAUCUAUUUUUCUCUAUUCAAAUAUUUCGCACAAAUUGAAUGCUAUAAUAUUCUCAAAUUAAUAUCAUUCCUGCAUUGUGGGGCGUGAUAAAUUCAGAGAGAUCCAGAUCACAAGAUAUCUUAAAAUAUUUCAACAGAAAUACAGAAUGAUGUAGCUUUAAUUAAUAAGGUUUUGUACAGUAUAUUCAUGAUUCUUUUCCUUAAUUAAUAUUUACACAGUACAUUCAAAAUUUAUAUGCCUACUCCACUUGAGGAUUUGAAGUUGGGUAUAAAUUGGGAUUCCUAUUAGUCUAUGACACAAGAAAGAGAUUUUUUAUUUCAUCAUAACCCUAUAUGCCCUACAUCAUCAACCAUACUUUCCAAAUUCUUUUUAAAGAAUGGAAAAGAAAAAGUGCUAAGUUAUUCAUACAAAUCGUAUGAUACGAUUUAAAUUAUUGUAAGAUCUCAUAUCUUAUUAAUAUCCAAAAACGGCACCAUACAUUAUGAUAGUUGUUUGGUUCGGUUCGGUCCGAAAUAUUAAUCUCAAACUCAAAAUCGAUUCAGUUCUAUCAUGAUAUUUCAUCCACUCGAGUAAUUGUUGUCUAUAUCUUUACCAUCUACACUAUGUAAUGAUAAAAUACAUUUAUCAUCUUUAAACUUUCUUUACCAACUCCCUCUAGAGGAGUUGGCCACCACAUUAAUUGUGAGAUGGGAGGUUAAGGGUUAAAACUUUACCUUCCAUCAAUGUGACUCUAUAUGGGGAUUGGUUUAAAUAUAUACGGGUGCGUAGUGAAUUCGUUUGGUCUAAUAGUGGUUCAGUUUCCGUCAGGUUCUCUUGACUUAGUAGGAGUAAGCUCCCCUCCAGUAGGAAUAGGUUAGACUAGAUUAGAUGUGCCGUUAAAACUAAAAAUAAAAAAAAAACACUUUCUUUUACACUCUUACUAUUACCGUUCCAGCAUAUUUAAAUAAUAAAAAAAAAAACCACCCUCACUUACCAAAAACCCCAUCCAAGCAUACACCAAACAUACUACAACUUUUCAACCGCAUCCAAAAACCCCCCAAAACAAAAGUCCAAAUAUUUGUUAAGGAUUCAACUGAUUUACAGCCUACCCCACACCCAAAAAAAAAAAAUAAUAAAUCUCUAAUGACAGCUUGCAUAACUUGUACAUGCAUAUCAAUGGUUGUACAUUUUUCCCCAUUAUAACCCCCCAACCCCCGCGCCCUUUCUUCUUUUUAACGACCCAACCGUUUUCACAUUUCACCAACCAGAAAACCAGAGACGAAAGCCAUGGAGUUGCAGAGCGGAAUGGCUCUGUUAUCUCAGCAGUUCAAAGCUUUAUUCAUCAAAAACCUCUUGGUUUCAUGGCGGAGCAAGGGAGCCACCUUUGUACAGCUCUUCUCUUCACUCUUCUUCAUGUUCCUGAUUUUCGUCAUCCAGAAGGCAAUUGAAUCUCGCUAUUCUUCCUCCACCAGUUUCACCGACGUUUUCGACCCCACGCCUCUGGUUUUCCCCCCGAUUCCGCCCUGUGAGGAGAAGUAUUUCGUGAAGCUCCCGUGCUUCGAUUUUGUCUGGAGCGGAAAUGAUAGCAGGAGAAUUAGGGAGAUCGUUGAUCGAAUUUUGGUUAAUAAUCCUGGUAGACCCAUCCCUUCAACCAAGGUAAUUACUGUUAAUCUGUCGAUUUUUCUUUUCAAUUUCGUUGGAAUUAUGUUUAAAUUUCGAUGUUCAAAUUUUGAAUUACUUAAAUAGACUCGUUCUACCAGCAUCGUUGGUAUCAUUGUUGAAUUUAGCAACGGUUGGUAAAAGGUAAACCAGGUCUACCUAAAUAUCGUUGUCGAAUUUGCGGGAUAAGGAAGACAAAAAAAAAAGAAGAAAAAUUCAAUACUGGAGCUAAAAUUAUUUGAGUUUUGAAUGUUAUUUUACAUGGAAUGGCAAUGCUGGCUGUAGUGAUUGCAACUGUUACGCUGCAAGACAUGUCAAUAUAAUGAUUUUGCUAUGGAUAACGAGUGCUGGCCUGCCUUCUUUUUUGUCUUAUGUUUUGAGGUUUUUGCUUAAUAUUUAAUUUUUCUUUUUUGAACCAAUCUUACAUAGUAUGCUUGUUUUACAUGAAUAGUAAUAGAUUAAAAAGGGCUGGAAAGAUGUCUGAUUUCCAUCCUAUAUUUAUGAUCCUAAGCCAACAGUUUGUGUUAUCUAAUCUAUGCUUAUGUAGUAAACACCUAAAUCACUCACGUAAAGAAUUUUUCAAUUUGAAAGUGCAAAACUAUUGGUCAAUCAUAUUACUAACAGAAAUCUCGCUGGCCCAAUUUUAGAUCUCAGUGACUUGUCAAAUAUCUGAUUACUUUUUUUUCUUUUUUCUUUUUUCUUGGGGUGAAUAUUUGUUCCCUUGAUUUCAACUGAGCCCAAUUUAAGUAGCAAGUAUUCAAGAAGGCAUUUUAGAGUCUUAAGGGACUAUCUGUUAUGCUAACACUCUAAUUUUUCUUUGGUACACUGUUCAUCUUUGCAAAAUAGCACUAAUAGUUAAUGUAGUAUAUUAGAUAGCAUUUCCAUAGUGGCUUUUUCCUCUGCAAUCUAAUGGAUAUACGUCCUUUGAACCCUCAGUCUAAAAGUACCUACAAAAGUUUAGCACCUAAUUUCAUUUUCUGCAUGCUCAGAUUACAAGCAAAUGUAAUUGUAGUAUUAUCUAGUAUUUUGCUAGUUACAGAAUGAGUACUAAACUUUCUAGAACAAUAUUUUAGUCCCUAAAGUUCCAUUGGCACCCAGAAAUCAGGCCAAUUUUGGUUAAUGGUUAUGCAUGUCUCAUGCAACAUGGCUGUCAUAUUAAUGAGUGUUCUGGCCAUUCAUUUAGCCAUGCAUAGCUAAAUAUGUUUAGCUGUUCUCUUUCUUAGUGACACACCAUCAUUUCUCACAUAAAAUUGUUCUUUCUUUGAACUUUGGUUACUACUUUUAAUUGCAUUUCUGUUGCCUAUGUGUUGUUAUUGUUUAGUGUAUACAUUUAUGUGAUGGUAAAUGUCAAACUUUAUGUGAAUUUUCAAUUUUACAUUUUAACUUCAUCUGAUGCAAUUAUUUGAAAUUGAUCUUGCACUUUGUUUCUUUCCAAAACCAUUUGUUGAAAUUUAGUUCUACUUUUGUUUUUGCUUUAUUACAGAUCCAAUCUUUUAGAACACGAAGUGAAGUGGACAAUUGGCUUUUGAACAAUCCCAUGCAGUGCUCUGGAGCUCUGCAUUUUUGGGAAAGAAAUUCUACCAUGAUUAGUUAUGGUAUACAGACUAAUUCUACUUUCAUUGGUAAGCGAGGAAGUUUUGAAGACCCUACAUUUAAGUUCCAGAUUCCACUUCAACUUGCUGCAGAACGGGAAAUUGGAAGAUCUUUAAUUAGAGGUAAACAAGCAAAGUAUGUCCUAUUAAUUGUGGAUAUCCUUUGUAUUGAUAAAACUGCUACUUAUCAAUCUCCACAGUUCACUAUGGGCUUUCAUUAAUAACACCUCUCACUAUUGCAUAUGCCUUAAAUGAUAAAAUUUUUACUUCUUGAUUGUUGAUCCAUCAUCUGUUUCUGUUACUACACAUAAAAUUUCAGAUCCAAAGUUCAGUUGGACUGUCAGUCUUAAGGAAUUCGCACACCCAGGAAAUAAAAUUUUCGGCGCUGUUAGUACUGCUGGACCAAUCUUCUUCCUUGCAAUUUCCAUGUUUGGUUUUGUCUUUCAAAUAAGUGCUCUAAUUGCAGAAAAAGAACUAAAACUCCGCCAGGUAUAAACUAGAUUGCAUCUGAUUUUGUGAGAGAAUUAAAUCCUUCCACUUUUUCAAACCAUAUUCUCAUUUCUCAUGUUGUGUUUUAUUGACAGGCCAUGACCAUGAUGGGUCUUUAUGAUAGUGCCUAUUGGUUAUCCUGGUUCGCGUGGGAGGGAAUUCUCACACUUCUUUCAGCACUCUUCACAGUUCUUUUUGGAAUGAUGUUUCAGUUUGACUUUUUCUUACUCAACAGCUUUGCAGUGUUGUUUGUUCUUUUCUACCUUUUUCAACUUAACAUGGUGGGGUUCCCCUUUUUGAAGUUCAACUAUGAACCAUUGUUAGUGAUAUAGUUUCUACACUUCUCACUAUCCGUUUUUUCAUCAAGCACUCGUUUAGAUGAAUUCCCGUUGUUUUUAUCAACUUUCAGAUUGGUUUUGCCUUCAUGCUCUCUGCCUUCAUUAGCAAGGCAUCUUCAUCCACAACUGUUGGUUUCUCUGUCUUUACCAUUGGUUUUCUGACUCAGGCAAGCAAUUUUUUUUCAUCCUUCACAUUUCAUUUUCAUAGUCAUUUGAUGGAUAUCUUUCACUUUUCCUCAGAUUGUUACGGUAUUUGGAUUUCCUUACACUAAGAAGUUCUCUAAUACCUUCCGAAUCAUCUGGUCCAUUUUCCCACCAAAUGUAUUUGCUCAAGGUCUGCAGUUGCUUUCUGAUGCAACUUCAACACCACAAGAUCAUGGUGUCAGCUGGAAUAGGAGAGCUAAAUGCACACCAAAUGAUACAGAGUGCUUGAUAACAAUUGUAUGUCUACCGCUCCUGCUGUUUAUCCCUCCUUUCCUCUUGGCAUCUAUGUUUUUUGGAUCUUGGUGCAUAGUGGAGUUGGUCUGAAUCAUUGUUAUUAGAUUCCAGUCAGGUACAAAGGCACCAAGGAUAAAAGAAAAAAAAAAAAAAAAAAGAGAGGAUGUGAAACUUGCAAAUUGCAAACAUGGCUUCUGUGAGUUUGUGUCCCUGUGUCUGUUUGGAGAUAUAUUUCUGUGUAGCUAUGCUUUUCUCAAACCCUAGCAUUCUUCUAUAUUGAUUGUUGCACUUGCUGACAAUAGAAGGAUGUAUUUAUCUGCUUAAUCAAGCAAUCUAGUUGCACUUGUGCUUCUGAUAUGCUUAUAUAUUAUCUUUUCUCGGUCUGACAGAACGACAUAUAUGUAUGGCUUGUAUCCACAUUCUCUGUUUGGCUCAUACUUGCAAUCUACUUUGACAACAUUCUUCCAAAUGUAUCUGGUGUUAGAAAAUCAGUGUUGUAUUUUCUGAUGCCUGGAUAUUGGAUGGGAAGAGGUGGAAACAAAGCUGAAGGUAAUUGUCACUGGUAUGUAGUAAUAUCUCUUUCUUACUUGUUUCUUUUGUUCGGCCGGUAGAAUAAAUUUUUCUUUGGCCUUUGUGAAUAUUGUGUUCAGAGGGAGGCAUUUGUAGCUGCAGAGAUUCAAUUCCACCCUUGGAAAGUUUCACUUUAGACGAUGAGGAUGUCCUUGAGGAGGAAAACAUUGUGAAACAGAAAAUGGACGAAAGUGUGCUUGAUGCAAGUGUCAUGGUGCAAAUAAGAGGUCUGGUCAAGAUAUUUCCUGGAAGAACAAAGAUCAGUUGCUGUAAGUGCGAGAGGACUUCACCUUACCAUGCUCUCAAGGUAAACAUUCUAGCUUAUAUGCCUAUGAGACUUAGGUCAAGUUGGUGGACCAAAAUAGUUUAGGUAUCAAAAACAACAAUUGGAUUCACUAGGUACCAUCUGAGGAUUGUCUUUCUGUUUUCAGGAAAUGCAUAUGUCAAUGUCACAUGACAGACAUGUUUGCACGUGCUUAGGUGUAUAUAAACAAAAACAAAUAAAAACAUUUCUGUUACCCUUAGUUUAGUGUAUAAAUUAAAGCUAAGAAUAUUUUGGUGGCUACUAUUAUGUAGCUACUUAAGAAAAAAACAGAACAAAACCUCUCCUUGAAUAGAAGCUCCAUUCACCAUUAAUUUGAUGGGGACUAAGAGGCUGAGGGAGAAGGAGUUCAACUUGGAUUAAAAUUAUCUUUAUCUGGGGUUAUUGCAAAUCUCCAAACUUUCUUUGUUCCUCUGGCACUUGUUAUGAUCAUACAAACUCAUUUACUUGAUCACAAAAUAUUUGAUCAUUCUAGCAGGGUAUGUGGGUGAACAUUGCAAAAGAUCAGUUAUUUUGUCUUCUUGGACCAAAUGGAGCUGGGAAAACUACUGCUAUUAAUUGCUUGACUGGAAUUACUCCAGUGACCAGUGGUGAUGGUAAUGUCUUUCUCUACAAUUUUAUGAAUUUUAGGGGAUUUGAAAGGAUCAUUUAUGUCUUUCUAGCUAUGUCCUAGAAUUCCUAAAUCUUGUGGAAUUUGAACGCAUUAAGGAUCAAUCUGAGUACAAUAAUUGUCUUUUAUCAGCGCUAAUCUAUGGAUUCUCCAUCCGGAGCUCAACUGGCAUGUCAAACAUCCGAAGGAUGAUAGGAGUUUGUCCCCAGGUAUCUAUUCUUCCUAUAUUUAUUGUAUAUAUAUUUACUUGUUAGAAAUACUUCAUUCUGGAAGCAUAGCUGAAGACCCUUUUCUCUUUUUUGGUUAUAGUUUGAUAUUCUCUGGGAUGCAUUGUCUGGCCAAGAGCACCUUCAUCUUUUUGCCAGUAUUAAAGGUCUACCCCCUGCUUCAAUCAAAUUGGUGCGCACCGUGUAAGCUUAAGUUAUGUCUUAAGUGUUUUUUUUUUGGUCAAGUUGUAGCUAUUUCCUUGUGUUAUUGUGUAAGUUACUAAAGAUGCUGUAAUUAAAUGACUGGUCGUUUAAAUGAGUUCAAAUUUCUGCUAUUUUCUGAGAUGUAUCAAUUCACAGGUUACACAAAAGUCAUUAGCAGAAGUUAAACUUACAGAGGCGGCAAGCAUCAGGGCAAGUAGCUACAGUGGUGGCAUGAAACGGCGUCUUAGUGUUGCUAUUGCCCUAAUUGGUGAACCAAAAUUGGUUAUUUUGGAUGAACCGGUCUGUAGUAUGUGCAGUUUUAUCCUUUUUGUUUUAUUGCUUCUCCUGAUCCAGAUGUUCAUUCUCAUUCUUCAUUUUGUCUUGUAGACUACUGGCAUGGAUCCAAUAAGUAGAAGACACGUUUGGGACAUAAUUGAAGCUGCUAAAAGAGGGCGUGCCAUUGUUUUAACUACACAUUCAAUGGAAGAAGCUGAUAUAUUAAGCGACCGCAUAGGGAUCAUGGCAAAGGGUAGGCUUCGCUGCAUUGGAACUUCUAUAAGGUUGAAGUCAAAGUUUGGAACUGGUUUUAUUGCGACUAUAAGCUUGCUUGGGAGUACUGAUGAGACUUCUGCCGCCAAAGAUAAUUCUACAAUAGCUCAAUAUGAAGUAGUGAAACAGUUCUUCAAACAUGUAGGUGGAUGUAAAGUUGGUUAAUAGUUUUUUACACAAGCUGCAAGGUUCUUGCCUUCACUUGAAAGCUAUUUUGACAGCACUUGGAUGUGCUACCCAAAGAUGAGAAUAAGUCCUUCCUGACGUUUGUUAUUCCUCACGACAAGGAGAGGCUAUUGACGGUAAAGCACCUUACUCAUCUAGUGUAAUUCUUCUAAUUUAGACCAGGUUAAGGUUUCCUAGUUGCUCAAGUUGAAAAUGAUUUCCAUACAUAAAAAAAUGUGCACAGCUGAUACUCAGCUCAUAUGGAGUGCCUAAAUGUCUGAAAAGACUGAAUUAUGAAGAUGAAUCCUUUUCUUUCCUUUUUCUUUUUCCUUUCUUUUUCCUUCUGCUUUCUGCAAAAUAAACACUUCGGCAGGUUUUUGGGAGUGGGGAAAGGGUUGAGAUGUAGAGAAAGUAAUGAUGUAAUUGACAUUGGCUACUUGAUCUGACAUUCUUCUAGAACAUCUAGUCAUUAAUAGGAUAUCUUGGUAAUGUAAAGUUAAUCCGUUAUACAUCCUUCACAUUGUUAGGUCCUUGCAUUAGAAGGAAAAGUUUAUUGGAUUAAUAUUACAGAAACAAAAAACUUAUGAUGUAGUAAAAGAUUUGGGUGGGGGUUGGGGGGGGGGGGGCAGGGAAGAAGCACAUAUCUAUGUAAAACUCUAUAGCAGGAUGAUAAUUAUGUCUUGUUUGGAAAAUGUCUAUUUAACGGAGAUCAAUGUUCCAAAAAUGUUGCUUCCCAAAGUUAACACUUCUUCUGCAAUUCUAUAUUUUCUGGUUUGGUAUGAACAUUAACUUGUGUUCUCUAAUUACGUACUUCUACUGAAGUUUCAUAUAUACGGAGCUGGAACCCAUUUUGUUUCAUUAUAUGUUUUACUUUUUGCUUCUUUAGAUUGAUUGAUGUUCAUGUUCUUGUGAAUUAGUCUUCCCUAGAAUAAUAUACUUUAUGUCCAAGCAUCAUGAUCACUAUUAGACAAGUCUAACUACUCAAUGGAGGAAUAUACUUGUGUAUUUAACGAAUAAAAAAUUACUGGCAAACUUUGUUUCAUUUUUUUGUGACUGUAUUUGGUCUUCACCAGAAUUUCUUUGCGGGACUUGAAGACAGAAAAGAAGAAUUUGGAAUUGCAGACAUUCAGCUUGGACUUGCUACCCUUGAAGAAGUUUUUCUCAACAUUGCGAAAAAGGCAGAGCUAGAAAGUGCUGCUGCUGAGGGAAGCUUUCAAACCGUGACCUUAAAUUCGGGACUGUCUGUUCAAGUAAGUCUAAAUGUCAAAUACUUCUCAACUUUUCCAAACAUUUCUCUUGUAUAAACCUAGGUAGAAAACACUCAAAUUCCGCUAAGAAAACAUUAAACGUAAUCUUAAUUCUGCAGAUACCUAUGGGAGCAAGAUUCAUUGGCAUUCCAGGAACAGAAUCCACAGAAUAUCCAAAUGGCAUAAUGGUAGAAAUAUUCUGGGAACAAGAUGAUUGUGGUGCACUCUGUAUUUCUCAUCAUUCACAAGAGAUGCCUAUACCAUCUCAUGUUCAGCUAAGAGCUUCUUCAACAGCUCUUCGUAGAAACUUUUCUGGUCGACGAAAACAGGUAGAUGGAUUCGUAAUAGAUCCCAUCCAAAUAUUUGACACAGAUACAUAGAAAGAUCAGUUAGUUAAGCUGUAAGGGGGAAGGUAAGUCCUCUAAAGCUCAAAAAGUACUGUAGAUUUAUAGAGCUGUUUAUUGCUCUAGCUUUUUCCCAAGCAAGUCAAUGUAUAUAAUUUAGGAACAUAGUUUUAUAUUUUGACAGGCUUUUGAAAGCAGCUUUGAAAUUAUACAUUCCGAUUGCAUUUCAUUCUUGAACCCUUUUUUUUUUUUUGGUGGUAAUGGCAACUAACCAAAUGAAGGAGCAAGUAUCAUGUGAAUAGAUAUACUAUCUGCGCUAUUACUCUGGGAACUCGGAGGACAUGCCAAUACCAUGUCAUAUUGAACCAAGAGCUUCUUCAAAAUCUCCUAUUCCUAAGAGCUUGGAAUUACUGCAUGUCCAAUUCUGCUGCCUUUUGCUAUUGAAGAUCAAUGUAUGACUUGAGGAUUAAUUGAUUGAUGUUAAUUAUUCUAUUUUAAACAUGUCUAUUUUGAAAUGGUUAGAACAUUUUGAACUAAUUUAUUUCUUUACUUUUUUAACUGUUUUUCCUCGUAAGAGACGGAGAUUUGAAUACAGGAUAUCUAUUUCUUGGGAUCUCAAUCUAAUUAACUAUUAGACCCAAGGAUAUGAACAAAAAGUUGCAAAUAUUGUUUGACGCAUAUAUGUCGAUGGAAGAUGCUUAAUUUGAAUUCGAAGUUAAACCUGGUAAAUAUGAACUCCAUGGUAGAUAAAGGCUGAAAAAACAUUCAUCUGAGUGACAAAAACAUGUUGCAACUUAUCCUGCUGCAAGUGCCAAAGACUCUAGCGAUGGACUUGACAGAAGGAAGAUAACUACCUACCUUCAACUUUCAUGGUUCAGGUCCACCAUUUGAAACUUUCAACAAAAUAUUAUUAUGGAAUUCUAAUUUUUUUUCUCUCUUUUUUAAGGAAGUCAAGUUAAAGUAAAUCAGUAGAACAGGCGCAUAGUUAUGCAAAGCCUGGGGAAUUAUCCCUCCAAAACUGUUCUAACAUCAAUAUUGCAAAUUGAGCAAGCAUCAAGUACUGAUUUGAGAGAGUCAGUCAAGGUAAAGUUGGACAAAAGUGUAGUAUAACCUCACUAUGCAUUGUCGAAUUAGGGUUGUUUCAUAAAUAGCUUUAGGAUGUACAGCAUCAAUAUGAUAUCAUAUACUAGCAUAAACUAUAUAUAGUAAAGAUGCUAUGACAUUUGCAAAGGAGAAGCCAUAAAGUUAAUCCACAUUUCAUGCAGAUUUUCAUUUUCAUUAAUAGCUGCUAAUUAUGCAGUAACUGGAACACUCCCCUCCAAACACCCCUCUACCAACAUAAAACUGUUCUAACAAGAGAAUCAAGUUCUUGAGUGGUCCUCCUGUCUAAGAAGAAGUUAACGAAGACAUCCUCCAAAGUUGGAUCAGCAGUCUCCCAGGCCUUAACUCCAAACCUAUCCUAUGCACAUUUUACUGCCAAAAAGCACAUCAGAGAACCUAACAUCUUGCUUUGGAAACUCGAACUUUUGGGUUCCAGAGUUAUGUUAUGUUUGCUUGGCAUUUGGAGAGAGGCUGUGUAUACUUACAAUGGCUUUUGAGUUGGGAACUUUGGAAGUCAGAAUGCGAAGGAAGACUAGCAGCCUAGGUGCUUGAAUUAGCAGGGACAUUAUUUUCCUUCUAGAUGUAAAACUAAGGGAUUGAGAAUAUCAUUAUACACUCAUAAUUGAAACUAUUGCAGCGAGACUUCCAAUAAUAUCACAAGCAACAAAAACAAUAACAACAGUCAAGAAGAGAGGUUCUAUACUACAACUAACUAUAGGAAGCUGUAUGUUAGGAUCAGUGGAUGAUAUGCUGGAGCUAGUUUUAGUCACUUCAUCACUGCACAAGACAUGACAAUUAAUUAACUGAUGAGGUACAUGAAUUUAAGCACACCUCUUCUAAUUCUUCUGGUAUCUAUUAGUAAUUCAUUUGCUAUAUGCAUGAAAAUUCUGUCAAAACGCUAUAUCAGAACAAUAUCUACAAUAUCUCAAAGCACAACCUUUCUAUGCAGAUACUAAUAUGGUAACCACUUUGCAAGGGGACAAACAACAUAAGUACUACCUCAUCAGGGCUCCCUAAGCACUGAAAACUUCCAUCGAACAAAAUUCCUAUGGGGUCACAAAGGUGCUCUGCUUCCUCCAUGGAAUGAGCUGAAAUGAAUGCAAAAACGUACGUUGUCACAUGCUUAUGAGAAACACAUAAUUAAUAACUAAUAAUGUUCAGUUAUUAGAGGUAACUGGGUAAAGAUGAAAUGAGGAGCCAUGAAGUAAUGAGAUCUCAAGAAAAACUUUAAUCUCAACCCGAUUCUGUUGUUUACUCAAAAGUGAGGGGAAAAAGAGAAAAAAAAAAAAAGAAGAUAUGGGCAGUGUAAAACAACAAACAGACUUACAGAGAGACAAAAGUAGUAUUCUACUUUUGCACCGGAAAGAUCGAAAUAGUCUGUUUUUAUUUGGACCAAAAUUUGUACUAAUGAUGAUCAAAGGAGUUAAUAUAGGAUCGGUCCAUAAAUGGUCAAAUGCUUCCAUAUGUAAAGUUAGAUGGUUAUAAUCUCUGGCAAAAGUAUUACAUCAACUUACUUGUGAUAAGUUUAAAAAUUGAGGUGUUUUUCCCGUUCUGUUAAUGUAUCCCAAAGGAGGCUGUGAUCCAUCCACAAAUAAGAAAAAGAAACAAAAAAGUUUGUAACAUAAAUGUUUCUGUUUCUGUUUCUAAGAUCAGACCAAAAAACAGUAAUAGAAACCUUUUUUUGCUUCAAGAUGAUGGUUAUUCAACUUACUCAUCUUGUGGGCACACACCCAUGGUAGAAUGGAUUGCAUUCACUUGUAUCCUCAAAUCGAGACCCCAAUACAUGCUGUGCCAGAGCUUGGCUUUGUUAGUCCUGUCAUCUGACAAGCGAGACAAAUCUUAUGAAGUUUAUUAAUAAGGAAAAGAGCAAAAGAUCACAUGCUAAAAGCCACUGAUUCCUUUCACAUCUGCAUUGGUAAUAAUACAUAUAUAGGAAACAUUAUUAGCAUAUAUUACGUUGUUACUAUGCUAAUGAAGGAAGUUUUACCAGCACCAUUUGGGCCUAGCAAACCAAAACACUUCCCUCGAGCUACUGCAAGAGACAACCCUUUGACGGCAUGCUACUUAGGGUUCCCAUCUUGUGCUGGAUAUGUCUUUUGGAGUUUACAAGAAAUGAUCGGAUAGCUUGUAUCAGGUUUAUUGAGCAAGUGAGAAGUUUGCCAUCAGGGGCCAAAGUACAGGUGAGAACUUUUAGUUUAAAGUUUAAACUUUUGCACUUCUACUGACUCUGAGAGGAUCAAAAUAUGGUGGAAGUGAUAGGAGAGUGUUAUUUAAAUCAUCUUGCAGGUGCCUCUAGGAGCCGAGUAUGCUAAGAUUCCAGGAACAAAAUCCCCUCAGAAUCAGAAUCCCGGGGGCCUUAUGGUGGAAGUAUUCUGGACGCAGGAUGAUACAGGCAAUCUCUGCAUUUCUGGCCACUCAGCUGAAAAUCCAGUGCCACCAGAUAACCAACCAACUGCUGCUUCAGCAUGGAAUGCCUGACGUAAAAAAGAAAUUAAAAUACUAUAAAACAUUAAAAAAAUAUACUAAAACAAAAAUACCUUAAAACAGAAAGAAGAAGAAAUACAACGAGUAGUGGUGACAUUACUACAUUUUGGAUAGAUUUUUGGUUAUCGGUCACUAUGAUUUCUAAUUGCAACUCAAAGUAGAAAGUUCUUAAUUAAAUUUUUAUUUGUUGUCAUUAAAUUAUUUUAUAGGAACAACGGUAAACUUAAGAGGGCAUGAAACAUAAUAGAUAGGAAGCUUUGGUUCUAAAUGACUUCCAUAUAUAGUCUUCUCUCAAUUUUUAUCCAUGAUCCUAUUUCAUCCUUCAGCUUAAAGGGUCUAGCAGCCUCAACUUAAAUUUUGGUUCUAAAUGAAAAUGAUCACUCCAAGCUAAAUCUAAGUAAAUAUUUCUCACUUUGCCCCUUGAGGUUUGAUUUCAUACUUAUUGUUCUCCACUAAGUUUGAAAAUAAGGCAGGUUAGCCCCAUUUUAUAGUUUUGGUUAACUAUUUAGUAGUUGACUAAUUUGACUAACAAAAAAAUGACAAUGCUAGUUUUUUUUUUAUCAAUUUACAUAAAAAAUGUAAAACUACUAAUUAACGAAGAUCAAGCAUAAUAUUACCUCUUGUUUACAAAAUUUUGCUAAAUUUGCUGUCAUUAUUUGAAUUAAAGUCUAAAAAAUGAAAAAUAGUAUGUAGAAAAAUAAACCAUAAUCCAACACAAGUAAGACGAAACAAUAAGAAAAAAAUAAAAGAGACUAAAAAGAUGUAGUUUAAGUAGUAAACUUUGGCACUAAAAAGAUGAUUGGAAGAUGAAAAUAAAGAGGUAUUCCCAUACUUUGUAACGUAAAAAGACAAACAAACAAAAAAUGGGAAUGCCUUUUCUAUAUAUUUUUCAUCUUUCUAUUAGUGAAAUUUAUCAUCUUCUUUAUAGUAUUGACUAUCCAUAUAUCUAAUUGGUAAAGGAAAAAAAAAUCUCUUUUUGUUUUUCUUUUAAAUAAUAUUUUUGUAAGUUCUAUAUUUGUAUUGAUGAAGCAAAGCGAGUACACAAUAUAAGAGGCAUACCCUUAGAGCCAAUUACAGAAAAAAUAUAAGCCAACCAAACUAUAAGAGAUAUAUAUUUAUUUAGCUUAGGUAAAUAAUCAUUUCUUGUUCUCAUUAGAUUAAUGUUUAUUUGUAUUCACUUUUCAGUUUAUUAGACUUUAAAUCGAUUAAUAAUAAUGAGAUAUCAAUAAUUUGAAUAAAUAAAGUUAAUAAAAUUAUGUAAUAGAAGGUAAUAUUAAGCCUGUUAUUGGUUGAAGAGUAAUUUAUCAUUUUUGUUUAGUUUAUGUAAAAUUUUAGGAGGAUGGUGUUGUCAAUAUUUGUUAGUCAAAUUAGUUAACUAUUAAAUACUAACCCAAAACUAUCACAAGGGACUUAUUAAUGUGCCUUGUUUUUUAACUUAGAGGUGGAAAAUGGACAUUAAAUCAAACCUUAAAGGUAAAGUGAAAAUUAUUAUACUUAGUUUUCACUUGGAGGGACCAUUUAGACUCAAUUAGACAAGUUGAAGAACUAAAUAGCUUCCUUAAUAAUUAUUGAGAAAGUUUUGGAGUCAUUUACUCUAGUUACUACAAAAUAGAAAUCUUUACGUUGAUCUAAGAUGGAUGAAGUAUACUAGUUUUGAUUAUCAUCCUUAAAUUGAAGAAUCAGUGUAUUAUAUCAUUGGAGAUCAGCAAAACUAUUUAAGGUACAAGACAACAUAAGUAUGUAAAAUUAAGAUAUAAAAUAACAUAGUAACUAUUUGAUCAUUCAGUCUUGUACAAAAUGAAGAUACAAACUAACAUAGCAACUACCUAAAGUACAUAAGCUAUUUGGCAUAUACUUACAUAACCUAUUAGUACAAGACAACAGGAGUCCUUGUCCAAUCAUUUCACUUCUUACAAUAUUUAGCAUAUACUUACAUAAACUAUUGUGCUUUCUAUAUAAAGUGUUUAAGAUUUUCAAACAGGUUGAUGGGAUAUUUGUGCUAGAUCCCACCCAAAUAUUUGACACAGGUACACAGAAAGAUCAAUCACUGAAGCCAUUAAGGAGGAAGGUAAGUCCUUUAAGUUCCACAAGUGCUGUAGAUUUAUAUAAUUGUUUGUUACUCUGAUUUUUCUUCCCAAGUAAUUCAAUGUUUACAGUUCACAAACAAAGUUUUAUUUUUUGACUGACUAUUAAAAGCAACUUUGAAAGUGUACAUUUCAAAUUCAUUUCAUUCUUAAUCCCUUUUGUUUUUAAAUUUUUUUUUCCUUUUUUGGGAAGCAAUGAGAGGCUAAUCAAAUGAAGGAGCACAUAUCAUCUGAACGGUUAUACUAUCUGUGAUAUUACUCUGUCACUGUGGAUUCUUGAACCAAGAGCUUCUUCAAAACUAUAAUACCAUAUUUGCAUACAUAUGUCCAACUUCAUUAAGAGCAUUGAGUAAAACAUUUCAAAUCCUUUUUGUCCUCCCCCAACCUAAUAACUGUUCUAAUGUAAAGAACAAGAUAAUCAACAUCUUAAGUGAUUCUGCAGUCUAAGAUGCAGAUGCCUCAGAUUCUGUUGCCACCCUGACGAAGACAUCCUCCAGAGUAGUAUCAGCAAUGUCCCAAGCUUCAACUCCAAACCUCUCCUUUGCAAAUUUUACUGCCAAAAACACAUCAGACAGACUAACAUCUCUCUUUGGAACCUCGAACUUUUGGGUUCCAGAGAUGUAGCAUGUCUUCUGGGCAUUUGGAGAGAGACGCUUAACCAAAUCCUCCACAUCCUUCUCAUUCUCAGGUGCAGUUGCCAUGGUGAAUACAUAAGUCCCACCAUACCUGUCCUUCAGCUGUUAAACAUGCAACAAAAACCUUUGCAUGUUAGGUCAUCCAAUGAGCAAGAGUACAUGGAGCUAACCAUUAUAUGGGGCAAAAAGCUACCUAGCUUGCUCUCAUUGUUAGUUUCUGUUUCCUAAUGUUUUUCUUCUAAGCCCAAUUGUUACCAAUCAACAUUUGAUGUUUAUUAAGUCUUCUUUUUGUAUUUUCUUUGAUUUCUAAAAGCAUUUCCUCCAAAAGUUCUAAAAUCUCUUCCAAACAGUUGCCUUCCAAUUCAAGAUUUUGUUCUUCAAGAUGAUUAAGAAGAGUACAACUCAAUGUUGGAAUUACAUAAAUAUCGUCAACAAUCAUAUCAAUGUAUUUAAGUUUAGAGGUAUAACAUGUUAAUGUAUGAUGGUACAGUAUAGAUGGAAAGAUAUAAAUUUCCCUCCUUCCUACAAAAACCGUGUAGGCUCAAUGCUUUUCUUCGGUGCUAUAGUAAUUUCUUCUAAUCCUUCCAGUAUGUAACUAGGUAAAGAUUACAAUAAGAUAUAUCAGUGAACUAAUAUGUCUGUUAUGUUUUUAAUAAUCACUUAUAAUUGGCUAUUGGUCCAUAGCCUAAUUAGUAAUUCACUUGCUAUAGCCUAUAUGCAUGAUAAUUCUGUCAAAACACUAGGUCAAGAAGAACAUCUAUGGAAUUGCAAAGCACAGCUGUUCUACGCAGAUGCUGAUAUGAUAACCCACUUUGCAAAGUUUAGAAUGUAGGGGACAAACAACAUAAGGACUACCUCAUCAGGGCUCCCUAAGCACUGAAAAGUUCCAUCCACAAAAAUUCCUAUACGGUCACAAAGGUGCUCUGCCUCCUCCAUAGAAUGAGCUGAAUCGAAUGCAAAAAAGUAGUUGUCAUGUUCUUAUUAUAAAUCAAUAAUUCAUAGUUAAUGACUUCAGUUAUUAGAGGUAACAGGACAAAGAUGGAUCACUCAGCAUGAGGAGCCAAGCAAUGAUCUAAUUUCAAGAAAACUGCAACUUCAACCAAACCCUGUUGUCUCUAGUUAUCAUUUAAUUCUCUCAAUUUUCAGCUUUUCUGUCUUAAGUAAAAAAUAGAUACAGGCAAUGUAAAACAAAAUACAGGCUUAUCGACAUACACAAGGACAAGCUAUCACCAAAAGAAGAGGGCAUGAGAAUAGAGAGGGAGGGGGAUGAACGUACUUGUCAAAAUAAUUGCUUUAUCUUCUUUUGCUUUGUUCACAGCAUCCCACAGCAUCUUCCGUGAAGCAGGGUCGAGCCCUGUGCUAGGUUCGUCCAGGUAGACCACCUGAAAACGUUCAAAAGGGCACCUAGGAUAAAAUAAAGAAUCUCAGAAGGUUAAAGAAGCAAGAUAUAGUAGAUGGACUGGGAUAUACUUUUGGGUCCCCUAUCAAGGAAAUUGCGAUGCUUAAUCUUCUUUUCAUUCCGCCGCUAUAGCAUCCCACACGUUUAUCAGCAUCUCCUCCUUGAAGCAGGUUCACAUUUCUGAGAGCAUCGUCAACUGCCUGUUGCAUUUAUGACAAAGAAAAUUUGAAAAUUCUACUCCUUUUUCUUCUUUUGUUCUUUUUAGUUUCCUUUAUUUUCUCCUCUGCCAGUAUUCCAUAUUCUUACUCAUCUGAAAAAGCAACAGGAAUGCAAUUUUUAUGACAUCCAUCUCAAAUUUCUCUUCCCUGGUGGCUUGACUUUAGAUUGAGGUUGUAAAUGUACUCUCCAGGAGUGGUUAGGUGGGCAGUUUGGAAAUGCCUCUGGAGCAAAUGCUGACGCCUUAAUUCAUGCGAUUUUUGUUUUUGCUAUUUUAGCAUAGCAGGGUAAUUCAACUUCAUGUGCAUAGUUCCUAAUGACUGGAACAAAGAAAGUCGGGCAGUUAUUGAAAAGAUUCAAACUAAUAGGAAGUAUGUGCAACCUGUGAAUUGAAGUCUCCCAAUACAGUUUGAGCUUGUCAAUGUUCAGAAGGCAUAUCAAUUAUCAACCACAAUGCCUCAGAAUGUCAUUGCAGCCAAUACUAGAAGAAUACGUUUGUCUGCAGUUCCUCUUCAAGAGUGCAACGCUACUUUUGUGAAGUAUUAUUAAUUAUUCCAGAUAUGUCUACUUUUGCAUCAGAAAGAUCAAAAUGCUCCGUGUUAUUUUGGACCAAUUAUUGAAUAAAGGAUUGAUGUAGGAUCAGUAGACAGGCAGAAAAAUGAUCAAGUACUUGAUGCAUAAAGUUAGAUUGUUAUGAUAUCAGGGAAAGGAUCACAUCAACUUACUCGUGAUAGAUUAGCACCUUUGAGGUUUUUAAGUCUGCCAUAAAAAUUCAGGUGUUCCCUUCCGGUUAAUGUAUCCCAAAGGAGGCUGUAUGAUUAAUCACAAAGUAUAAAAGUUGUUAGAAUAAACAUUUCAUGAUUCUAAGAUCAGAAAAAAAAGGUCAUAUAAACCCUUUUUUAUUCAACAUGAUGGUUAUUCAACUUACUUCUCUUGUGGGCACACACCCAUGCUGGAAUGGAUUUCACUCAUUUGUGUUUUCAAAUUGAGACCCUCAACAUAUGCUGUGCCAGAGCUUGGCUUUGUAAGUCCAGUCAUCUACCAAUCAUGACAAAUCAUAGUUAAGUUAUUAAUAAGGAAGAGAGCACAAGGAUCACACACUAAUCACCACUGGUUCCUUCCAUGUCUACAAAAAUAUAGAUAGAUAGGAAAUAUUAUUAGCAUAAUACGUACUUACCAUACUAAUGAAGGAAGUUUUCCCAGCACCAUUAGGGCCUAGCAGGCCAAAACACUCCCCUCAAGCUACUGCAAGAGACAACCCUUUGACAGCUUGCUUCUCAGGGUUCCCAUCUCUUGCUGGAUAUGUCUUUUGAAGUUUAUGGGAGAUAAUCGGGUAGCUUGUACCAGGUUCAUUGAGCAGGUGUUCAACUUUUAAAAUCUAACAAAGACACCAAACAACAACAGUUAAAAUUUGCAUCAUAAUGAUUUAGUGAUAUUCAAGCAAGAUAUUAUCCAAAUAGCAAGUAGGUGCUAGUGUGCAACUAUUAACAUUCUGUCAGUUUUGCUUUGUACAGUUUCCUGUAUAAUGAGGGAGAAACCAAACAAGAAAGCACAUAGAAAUGCUUAAGCUGUAAAUAUUACACGAUCAGAUUGCCUUACCCAGCUACAUUAAUACUUUUGAUGCUUUAGAUACUCCAACCAGGUAUACCUUCUAUUGGACAGAAUGCAGAAACACAAAUUCCUAUUUGGAAAUUCUGAAAUAGUGGAUAUGUUUUUCAAGUUUUAUACUCACCCACAGCCAUUGGUACACAUUUAUGAAUAUAAUGUACCUCUUGAUUAAUAUCCUGAUUAUCAACAUGAACAAGAACCCCAGACUCUUGAACUUGCAGUCUAGGACUCUGGAAAGAUGGAGGCCUCUCUUGAGUGCUUUGGAAGAUAGAUAGAGGACUUCUACAAAAGCAACCUCCUAAUGUGCAAUAUGACAUGAAAAGAAACACCAACCAUUCAAUUGACAUGAUUAUUAGAACUUCCCUCAUUCCACUAUUUUCAUCCCUCAGGCUUUGCCACCGCAUUCCGUAUGCCCCCAUCUCAAACGCAGCCUCUGAAAAGUUGAAGAGUUCAUCUAAUCCACGAUAGAGUGAUAAUGCAGGAAAGAGCUCCAAGACAAUGAGCCACACUCCUAAACACAAGCAUUAUGUGAUUAUGAGCUAUUUAGAGCUUGCAUGAAUAUAUGAAGGUUGCAGAAAUGGAUGGCAAGGCCCAAAAGUUAAACCAUAAUUUACAUCAUAGGCGUCAAUGGUACUAGAGAUCCUUGUAGGAACCAAAAUAGCGGGCCAAAGAAGGCCAUAAAUCAUAUUCAGAGGCAAAAUUUAUAUACUACAGUUGACUUUGAGUGUUCCAUUAGUGUAUGCUAAUAUGCAUCAACCUUAUGAACUUAAAACCUUGUGAUUUUUAUUUCACUACAGAGUACCAAGAAGUCUCAGUGCUCUAGGAAGAGUAGAACUUAAAACAUAGAACUGCAUCUCUGAUUGUAUACAGUUUUAGGAUUAAUGAAAUAUAGACAUAUAAAUAAGAGCAAAACAAACUUUAGAUCGCAUUCUAGAACCUCAAAGAUCUAGUAGUACCAUUAACGUUGCAUGUUCAUAUUUCUUAACAAGGACAUCAGAUGGUCCUUAAAUGAAACACAAAAUUUUGCACAUCCACUCUCAUCACAAACUCACAAUGAACACAAUUUGUACAAGUUGACCAUAAUCAGAGGUUAAUGGCAAGUUCUUAGUGGACUUGCUUACUGAAAAAUAAUUGAUUAUCGAUGAAGUGUUAGUCAUUUUGUAGAAAAGAGAAUGAACAGAUAAAUUAAUGCUCUUUUUCCCCACUGAAACUAGCACCUUCCUUGGGUAGCAACUGAUAUGUAAUCCCAAAAUCCGAAUAUGAAAAGGUGGAUAGGUAUGCAACAUGAGUCAUAGCAAAAGGUGCCACCUGGAGUUCAAGCAAGAUCGUAAAAGUUGAUACCCUAAUAAAAGUGGAAUGUAAAACUUCAAAACGAGUAGCUUUAGACUUUGCUAAUUUACAUAUCCAACAGUCUAUGAAGGAAAUAAAACUGGUAAAAUAUCUGAAUGUCAAUGUUUGGGCAGGAAAACAAUAAAAUCUAAAACAUUUUCUGGAAACAUAACAGGUAAUGGAUAGAGCAAUGAUUUCAACAUACUUGGAAAUGAAACAUCUGCAAUCAAGCGCUUAAAGAAAAAUCCCCCCACUAACCAACUGCCAAAGACCAGCACGAAUCCAAAAACUGCAAUACCCAGCACGUUAGACAUGUUAAUCAGAAAAAUACAUUUAAUUCAAACCGAGUUAUGCUGUACUUUCCUGAAGCACUCUUUGCACUUGAAAAGACCGUUGAGAGCAGAAAGGCUGCAGAAAUUAGUAAGUUUAUGUGGAUGAAAUAAAACACACUUUGGAUGCUAUACGAGUUCAACGUGAAGAUGGUUAACCCUGCACAAUAACCAGAUAUGUGAAGCAAUGUGAACAGAUUGUUUAGUAACUUGAAAGCCUUAAGUUCAUGUUUUACCUGCCAGUGUGCCAAAUACUAUAAAACAAACCAUGUAGAGUGAAAAGAUGACGAGAAAAUAGAGGUAUGUAAUCAACCAAUAAGGUGCAUUGCCAAGACCGUGCAUUUUCAUCAUCGUUGCUAGCUUCUGCUGCUUCUCAUAAACCAGGGAUGUUAAAAUGACCUAAUUCAGAAUCACAAAAUGAAAAUUGAAACGGUCAGAAAAUUGAUAAUGUUUCACAAGGAAAAAUAGUAAUGUUAAUUUACUCUGAUCCUUUAUGUAAAUGACAAAAGAGAAAUUUUGUUGGAACAGAAAACCUUCUUGGAUUUAUGCCAAACAAACCAGUUGGGAUAUAUCAAUGGAUUGCACUAAAUCAUCAAACAAACAUACUAUGCAGAAAGUUAAUUAAGGCAUAAGGGAUAAAUAAUCUACAGCAGGAAAAAAGAAGCUAGAUAAAAACUACAUUUUCCUAUGACCAAACUAUCAAAAUUCCUAGAGGUAUCACCAUUUGGUCCACUAUUGUCCCAUUAAGUUUGUGAGAAGAAAUAUUAAUCCAAACCUUUUUUGUCCUGUAUAUUUUCUCUAGGAGUAAAAUGAAGCAAUCAAGGAAAUCAAAAUGAAGCUUCCCCACGAAACAUGUAAAGAACCUGUGAAAUGUCAAAUAAAUGAGCUUAAGUUCAGUUAGCUGGUGUUUUCUUCAUAGAAAUCAUUUGUGUAGUUCCAGGAUCCUACCAUCCACGUAAUUCAAAAAAAUUGCCAUGAUGACCAAAUAUAUAUGGAUGGGCACAUUAUGAGAUGAAUAGUCCAGGUUCAAUAUCAUUAGUCCAACUGAGAUGAUUAUGUCAAAGAAUAAUAGAGACUGGAAAGUCCUGCAGUUGUUAAAGUAAUUGCAGCAAAAAGACAUUAGACAAAUCAAUUGGAUUACGGAAGGCGAAACCAAAUGCAUGGAUUUUGGUAUCGUCAUCCACCUGUCAGUUACUUUCAUUCAGCAAGACACGCAUGCACUUACCGGGAAUAAUUGCAGUAUUACCCAUGUAAAAAACACAAGCCCAAUUGAAGAUGCAAAAUCAUAUGUGACAUUAGUACUUGCUCUGGGCAUCUCUCCAAUAAACUCAAAGAUCAUUCUUACAGAAGGCCCAAGCAAAGAUUGGAGAUAGGCAUUCCAAACCUGUGUACAUAUGAAAAUAGGGAUAUAUAUUAAAAAAUUGUGGCGAAUGUAUACUGGUGGUCAUCAAGAAAUGCCUUAAAGUAACACCAAUAUGGAGGAGAAGCUUAAGGAUUGCAAUUUCACUUAGGAAUCAUCAACUUAAACUUUAUGCAACCAAAAUUGUCCUCCUAAUUAACAAUAAAUGAGGCUUAAGAACAUCAUUUUCAAUCUUGGAAAUGCAUAAUUAGAAUCUUAAACAAGAAGCAGAAAAUUUUGAAAAAGUUAAGGGAUGGUACCAUGUUCAAAGUACUUCCAACAGGCACCUCAUUUGGUGGUUUCUCUGAGCUUGUAGGAGUAGUAUUAUACCACAGAUGUACAUCAAAAUGCUUCAUGUCUGAAUCUCGAAAGUCAUAUGCUGUUAAAAUAAAAAAACAGUGCUUACUAACACAGAAGAAACAACAGGAGUGCACAUAGUUCCGGCAAACAGAAGCAUGGAUAGGGGAAAAAAGUAACGACCGACCAGCCAGUAUUUCAUUUAUCUCCCCAUUCUUGUACUGGCCAUCAUACAGUUCAUCAUUAAUUUCCAUGUAGUUUUUGCGCCACGCAAGUAAGCCUUGAAGACAUUCAGUCACUGAAUAGAAUCAGAGGAAGAGAAUUUGAGUAUUUGAUCACCAGAAUAAACAAGCACUGCAAGUAUGAAUAUGUGCAUGACUAUAGACACGCAUACACGCACACACACACACAUAUAUAUGUAUGUAUGUAUGUAUGUAUUAGAGGAGGCCAAAGUUGAUGGUUAUUAAGAUAAAAGAUGAAUUAGUUGAGUGUUCAAAACUCGAAUGACAAAGUUGCCCUGUCUAUCACGUCACAGGUCAAAAACAUAGACAAUUUCAUCAUCGAUUCAUUUCACUUGAUAGGUCUGUAGUAGUAAGUCAUACCUUCUGUUCCAUCCUGAGUACGGACUGGAAUUGUGACAUUUGCUUUGCAUUGAGAUUGAAGAUAGUAAUAUUUCUUCUCAGAAGUCUUAUCAGUCUUCCCCUGAAAUGCACAAAAAAGAUUCACACUGCUGAUACAAAAUAAGAUGAAUGCAAAGAAUAGAUUGUGAUACUUUGGGCUUAUAGUUGGGGAAAAGUCUGAUACAGGUAAGAACAAGUAACCAAAAGAGCAAAAAAGAGAAAAUAUUACAAAAACACAAUCUGCUGUAUUAUUGAGACCGCAGGAGGAAUUUGAGAACAUAUUUCCAGCCACGCCUGUCAAUAGUCACCAAUGAAGGUGAGGCGAAGUUUCAAAAUUUUAGAGACUGUAUUUCAUCAUAUGUAAACUAAGCCACACGCCCUUUACCAACAAACCCCUCCCACCGCCCCCCCCCCCCCCAAAAAAAAGUAUUAAGUAGAAAAAUCCUUUGAAAAGGUGUAAUACUUUCUCCAAAUUCUCUGUUGUUCCCAGUUAUUAGUAUAGUUGCGGGACAAGAGCCGUUUAUUCUGCAAGACUUGUCUGGCAAAUCAUUUGACUGCGGAAUUUGGUUAGUUUUCACUGCUCGGAACUCAGCAGCUGGGAUUAGAAGCAAAGGAGUCCCUUCUGUUGCCAUUUUUGCGUUGUAAUGCUCCCCAAACACAUUCUUCUUCGCCAGAUAGCGUCGGAGCCAACCAACCGACAGAAAAAGGAUAACAGGGAACAGAAUCAACCUUAAAUUCGACCUCAGAUGCCGUCUCUGAAAUAUUAAAAAUAUGAAACAUAGUAGUUGUAAACUUUUAAUCAAAAAUUAAAAUAGACAGAAUUUUAUGCUGAUUUCUUGUUUACAACUUCCUGAUAGCACUAGGUGUUUAACGAGAUGACAACUACAUAAAACCAAAUGCAUGCAUGAAUUACAUGAAUAUAUUCACAAAGCUACAACUUCUCAAUACAUAACUACAAGAACAAAAUUGACAGUGUUCAUAGAAGCAGAAAUUUUCAGAUGAUCGAUCCAAGAGAAAUGAAAUGAAUUAAACGAAGUAGGUUCUACAACAUACAUGGUAUAUGAGGUUCUUUCUAGUCAAAGCGACUGUUUGAUUCCAGAAUCCUGCCAUUGUUAGAUUGGAUGCUUCUUUUGCUGUGCUCUCUAGCAAGAAGAAAAUUGUCUCAGACAGCUGAUCAGGCCUAAAACAUCAAAUGAUGAUUCAACCCCCUCCCUCUCUUUUUCUGUUGGGAUUCACCUAAUAAUCUCUCAUUAUUCACCUUCUUAAUUGGAAGUUUCCCUAUUUCUCAAGGAGGACUCAAGUUCCAGUGCCUCCCAACUGUUCAAACUUCCUCUUUGGUAGUGUCACUUCUUUCUUGAAAAUUGAACUCGACAAAAAGCCAAGAUAGAAGAGGAAACAGUCACACAAAAAUCUUACGUUUCAAAUUCAAAUUACGAUUGAUGAGGACAAUGCUUACCUGGACUAGUGACAAAGGUUUAAGAUACAUCGGCUUCAUUAAUGCAACUAAUUCCUGGAUUUAAGCUUUUAAAAAAAAUUAUUUAUUUUUUCAUUGGAAUUGAAGUUUUUUAACACGACAAGAGGCAUCAUGAUUUAUAAUUUAUAUACGGGUUUUUUCAGUAUUAGAUAUUCAUUAACACAUCUAAAAUUCACAUAAUCUACCAUAUAUAUACACAUAUUACAAUUAUUACUCCUCUACAUUUGCAUAUUUUUCUCUUUCUUAUAUUUAUUUAUUUUUCUUAAUUAAUUUUAAUUUUCAAAAAUAUGAUAUCUAAAAUAUAUCUCUGCAUAUAUAUGCUUUCCCCUCUCUUAUAUUCAUUUGCUUUUCUUAAUUAAUUUUAUAUUUUAAAAAAUAAAAUAUCUUUUAACUGAGUGUCUAAUAACCAUCCCGUAACAAACUUGAAAGUAUACAUCUAUGACACAGUCAAUGAACCUUUAAUGAACGGUAAAUUGCACUAAGCUCAUUAAAUCAUCUUUAUGUUCAUUGACAAAAUUUUCUCGAUUCUCCGAUCUGAGAGAAUAUUGUACUUAUUUGACGACUUAAACUUUACAAACUUUUUCUUUUUGUUUCUCUAAUACAUUGAAUUGUCAUGAAAUUUCAUAAAUUAUUUAAAAGCAAAUCAAAAUGAUGAGCAAAGUUGUACGUCUUUUAAACACUAAUACAUUGAAUCAUUAGCUAUCCAUAAAGAUUAACCAAAUCUUUAAUAAUCUUUUUUUGUUAAUCUUUUUUGGCCCAUUGGAGUAAAAUUUUGGUAUUAUCCAUUCAACAUGAAUUUUAAUAUCCAAAGUAUAUCUAAUAAAAAUUAAAACAGUUACAUAAAAGGUUGUUACAUUUCACACUUGAUAAUAUCGAACUGUAGCCGUAAAACAAAGAAGGUACAAACACUUUCAAGAGGUUCAAAUUCAAUGCUUCAAGGUAGGGAUGUAAUCGAGCCAAGUCAAGCUCAAGUAUUGUUAUACUCGAGCUUGACUCGACUCAUAUAUACCUAGGCUCGAGCUCGGCUCGAGCUCGACCAAAUAUAAAAAAUCGAUACUCGAAACUUGACUCGAAAAACUCGCUUUAAGCUCGAGACUCGACUCGAUAAGGCUCGACCUUUAGUUAAACCUUAUCAAGUCGAGUCUAAUCAAGUUUUUUUGACUCGACUUGAAUGUAAAUUCCGUAAAACUUAUACUCAUAAUGGUCAUUUUAUACUUAUAAUACAUAUAUAUUAUUUAAAUUAUAAAUUUAUUAUUUAAAAACCCCGGCUCGAUGAGUAGGCCGACAAGCCUCGAGCCUCAAAAUAUUGGCUCGAAACUCGACUCGAAUGACAAUCGAGUAGCUCGAGAAUCGGCUCGAACUCGGGUUGACCGAGUUCGAGCCAAGCCGUUGACCAAGCUACUCGCGAACUACUCGAUUACGACUCGGCUCGCGUACAUCCCUGCUUCAAGGAUAUAUUAUCCAUUACUCUCUUCACAUUAAUACUGUUACUAGCAGUUUUUCUUUUUUAAUUACUGUGAAACAAGAAAAUCUUCUUGAGCUGGUGAUCUUUUGCUUGGGCAAUUUCAAGAAAAUCGGAACAAAUUUGCCGGGAUGAAUUAAAGUCUCACGAUUCCCAAGGGCACCGCAAACCAGAAAGAGUCUUGUCAGCAUUUUAACCUUAAGCUUCACAAAAUGACAAAGAUAUAAGGAAGACUGAAGACUUCCAGAGAAAAGGAUCAAAAGGAAAACUUUGAAGGCAAAGAAGCAUUUGAGACUACUGAAUCAAUAGAAUUGCUAAGUGGGUUUUCACUCUUUUUGCAGCAAAUCAAUGCUUUGCUUAGGAAGAACUUCAUUCUUACAUGGAGAAACAGAAGAUCAACAUUUCUUCAACUCUUCUCUUCAUUCUUCUUCAUUGCUUUUAUGUUUGCAUUAAGGAAGAUCAAUAACUACACAGAAAGCAGACCUAAUUUAUCUGCAAAAGUUCAUGAUCCCAAGCCCAUCACUAAUCCUCCAAUUCCUGCAUGUGAGGAUGUGACGCCCCGAAAGAAUGAGUGCGAGAACCCGAAAAUUUUCUAAGCUUCUAGGGUUUCUUUUAUUAAUCGCCCGCCUUUUCUAUAUUUUCUUUCUUAGAAAAUUUCCCAGAUAAUUUUAUUGAGUAAAUAUAGUUUUUAGAUGAUUUUCCUAGUAUCGGAUAGUUUUGGAGAAAUUAAGAGCGUAUAUCGGAUGUGGGACCCGCUAGUGCGAAAAGUUCGGAAAAAUUCGGCCAAUUAGGUUAAGUUUUGGAUACUGAGUUUAAUUUACCGAGUGUUAUGAGAUAUUUAGAGGUUACCAAGUGGAUUGGUGUAAUAGAGACAAAAAAGUUAGGCAAGUAAUUAAGGAAAGUGACAUGUGUCACUUAGAGAUUAAUUCCUACUUUUGACUUACUAUUCAUGCUUUUACCAUUUACCAUAAUAACCUCAAAAAUUGACCAAAAUAUCUUCAUUUCUAAGCUUCUUAUGGCCGGCCACCUUCAAGCAACAAGGGAAGAAAAGCUCUCCAAUUUCUUUGCUUCAAGCUUGCUCAAUCUUCACUUUUAACCGUUUAAUUUUAGUUUUGCUCCAUAAAACCUCUUCACUUAGUGUUUGUGAGUUGUUUGGUGGAGUUGUUUGGGAAGCUAAGGUGACAAGUUGCUCUCCCUCUUGUUUUACUAAGGUGAGUAGUGGAUGAACCCUUCUCCUCCCUCUAAUGAUGUUAAAUUCAUGAUUAGUGGUGGUAUAAGAUGCAAUUUUAUGGAUUAUAUCUUGAUUUUUGGUUGGAUUGGUGAAGUUUUAUAAUUAUUGGAGAUUUUUCUGUUUUCAUAUGAAUAUGAUUAUGUGGUCAUGUAUGAUGAUUGAAAAUGAUAUUUGAGGAAUCUAGAAGGUGGAAAAAGUGGUUAAUUGCAAGAAAUUUCUGUUUUGGAAGAAAAUUGAAAAAACUAGGGUUUCAUUGUUCUUCAUUCUGCCCGGCACUGUAGCUCAUAGUUAGGGGCCGCAUUGACCUUGGGUUAAAACAUGAAAGUUGUAGGGAAUGAUAUUUUAGAGAUGCCUGCAAAAUUUCAGAUCAAUCGGACUAGCGUAGCUUGAGAAAAGUCGAAAUUACCCUUGCUGUCCUAGUUUUACUCGAAUUUGAGAAUUGCGUUUGUAAUUGGUUAUUUUGGUUAGGAAUGCUUCCGAAUUGGUUAUUGAGGUCUUCUGAUGAAAUUUAGCCCUAUUUCUAAGCUUUCGGAUGGCUUUGAAAUUACUGGAUUUGGACUUAGGUAGCCUGAUUUAUGAUGUUUGCACCAGAAUGCAUUUUGUGAACCUGUUUUUCCAGUUCUGGUGUAGUAUAUUGUAUUUUUGACCUAGUUGUGCUAGGAACUGGACUGAGUGACCUUCUGCAAUAUUGUAGCCCUAUCUCUUAGCUUCGAAACGGUGGAUCUUCCACCUUCAUAUGAUAAUCGUAGUGCCUUUGGUGCCAUUACCGCAAAAUGAGGUCAAAAACUAUUUUUUUAGGGCUAAAGCUAAUUCCAUUUCCGGAUUUUUCUGGUUUCCUCUAAUGCUUGUAUAUACUUAGGGAGCCCUAUUGGGGUCAUAUUUGGCAUUGGUUUAUGACUUGUAAUCGAGUCUUAUUGUACUUAUUUGAAUGGUUAGGACGUGACGGUGGUACAAGGCACUCUUUAGGCGGAGGUGUAUGAAAUAUCACUUGCUUGCUUGGUGAGUGUUCUUGUUUGUUAUGUUUCUUGACUAUAUGACUUAUAUGAACGAUUGAUGACAUGUUACAUGCUCUUAAUGAUUGCAAAAACGAGUUUUCUAGGCGAGUGUGUGCUUUAUCGCACUCGACCUAAAUGGUUGUGACAUUUUCAAUGAUUAAACGAUUUGAAAUAUUAUUUGUGCAUGAAUGUAAGCCUGUGGGCUGAACUGGCCACUGCCCCUUGUUACCGGUCGACUCGAGCCAGAAGCGAACUCGAUCGGACGAUUUGGUGACCUGGGUGAACAUUUUGGAUAUACUCGAGUAUUACCUUGAAGUCUGGUGGAGCCUGGCCAAUGGCCGGGAAGGGAGUGAAUGAAUGAAUGAACGAAUGAAUGAACGAGGGUUUUACUUAUACAAAAAUGCAUUUUCAAAUGAUUGAAGCUAUAAGGGAUCAAAAGGAGAAUGAAUGAAUGAACGAAUUGCUCCAUGUGAGCCUGUAUCCUUUUAUUGAAUGUGUUACUAUCGCUUUCCGUUGUAAAUGUUUCUUGAAUUAUUGAUACUCCAUGUUUCAUGUAUUGAAAUAAUUAUUUGAUUAUGUGUUUGGAACCUCACUGGGUUUUUAGCUCAUCCCUUUAGUUUCGUUUUCCUUAACAGGGGAAGGCACGCAAGGAUGAGAGCUUGUUAUAGACUAGCUUGGUCUAAUUUUGUUUUUCUUUUGUAAUGGUUCUCGCCCUAGUGCUUGGCACGGGCUGGUUGUAUGGUGAAUUGAGAACCUUUGUAUUUCAACGUUUGUACUUCUUUUGGAGAUAGCAAUGUAUAUAAGUUUCAUUUUAUAUUUUCGUUUUUGCUAUAUGAAUUCUUGUGGUUUUAUUUCGGAUUUGUUUGAGUGAAUGACUGAGUCCCGGCGAGAGCUGGGCAGGCGGUCCGCUGAACCCUUUGGUUCGCCUUAGGGUGAGGUGGGGCUGUCACAGAGGACAAGUUGAUCAUCAAUGUUCCAUGUUUUGACUUUGUUUGGAGUGGCAGUGGAAACCAAAGACUUGAGUCCAUUGUCAAUGGCAUCAUUACUAACAACCCUGGUCACACAAUUCCUCAGAGUAAGAUAAAUUUUCUUUUGUCUCCCCUUUGUUUUCCCCCAUUUUGGAAUUCGGUAAAGAUUCUACUGAUUGAUGAAUUCCUCUUUGUCUCCCUCUAUAAUCAUUUGCAUGCAUGGAUAUGGAAUAAGUUUUUUUUUUCUUUUUCACUUCGUUUAGUGAAAUCCUUUAGAUUUUCCAUGGUUUGUGAAGUUUUGCUAGUUUUCUUGCCAUGUUGAUUAGAGCCCUCCUUGGUAUACAAUAAAGUUAUCAAUCAAACCACUGUAUUCUUCUUCUUUUUUUUUCUUUUUUGGCGGAUAUGAUACAUAUAUGAUGUUUCACGACUAUAUGUAGCAGUUGAAUAAGGAACAGUUUAAUUGAGUUAAUGGAACCAAGAACGGAGAAUUCUGAGUUUCUUUAUUUACUAACAUUAUAUGGUUAUGCGUUUUAAGGUUUGCUGGCACGAUUAGGGGAUUUAUGUUUCUGUGCAGGUCAAAUCAUUUAGAACAAAAGAUGAAUUGGAUAAAUGGCUUUUGGAUAAUCCAAUGCGUUGCCCUGGAGCUCUACACCUUUUUGAAAGAAAUGCCGAGGAAAUAAGAUAUGAUAUAGAAAUCAAUUCAUCUUCUUCUUUUGAAUUAGGAAGGCAAAUUGAGGAUCCUGCUUUCAAGUUUCAAGUGCCCCUUCAGUAUGUUGUAUCGCGUGAAAUUUCUAGAUCCUUAAUCAGAGGUAGUUAUUGUAAUUUGCUUUGCAACGAAUAGCUCAAGUUCUCUGAUUUAUUAGAUUUUUGUUGAUUACCUGAAUGAACUGGUGGUUUGAUACCUAAUUCUCAAAUCCCAAUUUCAGCUUUAAUGUUGGUCUAAAAGAAUUUGCGCACCCUCCUAGAAGCAUCGACUCUUCAAAUAGCUACGAUGGUAAUCCGUUUGCAGAAAGUUUUCCGGCACUAUUCUCUUUUGCAGUUGGUCUGUUUGGUUUCAUAUCUCAGAUUCAUUACAUGUUUUUUCACAUUUUCGAAAAUUUUCAGUUCUCUGCUUUUUUAGGUUCUUGAACUUUUUAAGUUCUCUGAUUUUUUUAAUUUUCAUCAAGCACCUGAAUAAACUGGUGAUGUGAUAUUCCAGCAUCAGAUCUCAGUUUCAGCAUUGAUGCUGGUUCUGCAGACCCUCACAGAAACAUUGACUCUGCGGAUAGCAGUGCGAAUAAUUUAUUUGCAGCCAGCUUUCCAGCAAUUUUCUAUCUUUUAGUUGCUAUGUUUGGUUUCACAUUUCGAAUUAAUUCUCUGGUUCUGGAGAAAGAGCUGAAACUUCGACAGGUAGUUGACCUUGUACUUUGAUUUUAGAUCAGCAAUAUCAAGUUGGUACUUUUUUCCCCUCAUACUACAAUUUGUGUUGCAGACAAUGAGUAUAAUGGGCCUCUACGACAGUGCCUACUGGGCUUCAUGGUUCAUAUGGGAAGGGUUCAUGGCUUUUCUGACGUCUUUGCUUAUUGUUGCUUUUGGGACAAUGUUUCGAGAUGAUGUUUUCAUGAAAAACAAUAUUUUCCUUGUAUUCCUUCUAUUUUUCCUUUUCAUGAUUAGCAUGGUAAGCUCUAUCACUGGAUUUGUGCCUUUCCCUUAUUGCUUUUGCAAUCAAUGUCAGCAUCACUGUUGGAAUUAUGGCUAAAUCUUCUGCCUCAAAAUCUUAGGUUAGCUUUGCAUUCAUGAUUUCAACCCUACUCAGCAAGUCGUCUUCAGCCACAACUGUGGGCUUCUUCAUCCUUGCUUUUGGACUUGUGACAGUGGCAAGUGUCUCUUCUCCAGAACAAUCGUUCAUUGUAAUAAUUCUAUGAUUAUUAACCCUUUUUGCUUUUGGUUAUUAGAUUUUUUCUUCGCUAUUCUACAACGAAACAGUGAAAAAUAAUAAUUAUCGCAUCUUGUGGUCAUUUUUUCCACCUAAUCUUUUUGCUGGAGGUUUUACCGCGCUUGAAGAGGCAGCAGGGGAAGGUGGCAUUAGGUGGAGUCAACGAGCGGAGUGCAAAUUACUGGGAGAUCCUUGUGUUUCAAUGGUACGAAAGCUUCAAAUCCUCUUCUUUUACAAGUAUGCUCCAUCAAUGCUUGUUUUGACGAGCAUUCUUGGUUCAGAGUUCUCUUCCACUAUUUAUUGUUCCUUAUUUUGAUCUCACGUAUUCAUGCUUUCAGUGACCACAUCACUUUAUUCAUUAUUCAAGUUGAACAGCUGAUAUCUAUUGUCGACACUUUAACAAAUCAAUUUUUAUCAUUGGCAGGUCUACUUUUAUUUAUGACUUGUCUCUUUGUUCUUUUUUUGGUCUCUUGUGGCUAUUUAUUUUGAUAAUAUAAUUCCCAACUCUGCUGGUUUGAGAAAAUCACAUCUAUACUUCUUGAAACCAAGCUAUUGGAUAGGAAGAGGAGAUAGUAACUUGACAGGUAAAACAGCAACACAUGUUGUAAUUAUGAUUUCUGGCAUCCACGAUCGGUGCUAUAAUUGACAGUACAUUUCGCACCUCAUAAUGCAGAGGACAUCAGACAUCUUACAUCUAGGUCCCCUACAUAGCCAGAUCAUUUCACUUUGGAUGAUGAGGAUGUUCAUGAAGAGGGAGCAUCUGUCAAAAAAGCAACAAUCGAAGGAACUGUUGAUCCAGACGUUGCUAUUCAGUUGUGUGGCCUUACUAAGUCAUAUUCUAUGGCAUUAAAGAUAAGAUGCCACUAGUUCUGCUUUUGCUAUUUUUGCUGUACAUGCAAGAUUACAAAACCUUUUGUGGCCGUGAAGGUAAAAAUCUUCAUAUUGACGUAACUGGAAUUAGUAAUGAGAGAUCUGGAUUUCCAAACUGAACAGUGAACUUCAAAGAAGCCAUAUCUUCACAUAUAAAUGCUUCAGUUGUUUCUUGCAAUCUCAAACUCUCAAAGGCUUUCCCUAAUGUUUUCUGUAAAUUUUUUUUUUUGAAAUUUUUGUCUAGGAACAAAGGGAACAUAGAUUAUGCUUAUGGUAGUUUCUAGAGCACAAUUGAGAUCUAAGCAACAACAUUUGGUUAUUUUUAUUUAGUACUCUCCUCAGUAGAAAAAUAGCUUGUGUCCUCAGUAAAAUAGUAACGAAAUGUGUUCUCUUUUUUCCCCCUUGUCAUUAUCGCACGAAAUUUCGAGGUCUCAAUGAAGAUAAUGCAUUCAUUACAACGUAAUAUGAACUUUCUUCUCAGGAUCUCUGGAUGAAUUUCCAAAGAAUCAGUUGUUCUGUCUCCUUGGAUCAAAUGGAGCUGGCAAGUCUACCUUAAUAAGCUAUUUGACGGGAAUCACUCCUGUGACUCAUGGAGAUGGUAAAGAUUUUGCUUGUCUUUUAUAUUUUGAAAUGGACACAGGCAUGCCCACUUGAGUUUUGUCUGAAUCUGUCGUUGGCUGGUGUAAUUCUUACGACAUUUUGUUCAAUCAUCAACUUUCCUUAUAUGUAAAAACUCAAUGAGAAAUAUACCAAAUCUUGUAAGAAUUACAUCAACUCGGAUUGAAUGAAAGAAAACUUAAAUGGAGCUGCCCCAUUUCCUUUUCAAAAAAGGAUUGUAGAUUGAUUGAUAGAAAAAGUACAGAUAUAAUCAAGUUUGCUUCCUUUUGGCAGCUCUCAUCUACGGUAAUUCUAUUCGAAACUCAAAAGGAAUGUCAACAAUCAGAAGACUGGCAAGAGUCUGUGCGUAGGUAACUUUUCAUCCUUCCCAAAGUUUCAACAAAGUUCAAAACAAAGAAGCCAAAGCAAUUUUUACCUUGUGUAGUUCGACUCUCUUUGGAAUGCACUAUCAACUAAAGAACAUCUCCAUCUGUUCGCUAAUAUAAAAGGCUUGCCCAUGGCUACGCGGAAGUCAGUGAGUUUCGCAAAAAACUAUAUUGAAUGGUCCUACCUCUUUACUCUGCAUUUAGCAUUUGCAGUUUACAGAACUAGUUUUUCUUAUUAGCAUUAGCUUUCUCAAUUUACACAACUACAGGAAGUGAAACGUUUGCUUGUUGAUGUCGACAUUGACAAGAUUGCUAAUGUAAGAGCAGGAAGCUACAGUGGGAGUACAAGGCGCUGACUAAGUUUAGCAAUUGCUCUUAUUGGAGACCCGAAACUUCUUAUCUUGGAUGAACCAGUAUAUAGCAUUUGAACUACUUUCCUCCUGAAUACGUUUUGUACACGAUAAAAUUUCAAAUUUGCAAAAUGACAAGAAAAAUACACAACAAAUAUAAUAUACAAAUUUAAGAAAAUAUAUGAGUACAAUCUCUGGGAUUUUCUUGAACUUGUAGAGAGUUUCCUUCAAUUCUUCUUCUCGAACGCCAAUCCAAGGACUUCGCAGCUUAUUCUUGAAUUCACCAUCGAUUCCUUCAAAUCUUGAUAUGAGAGAUUUGAAGAACUUUAGAAGAUAUUUGAGGACUCAAGUCUUGAUAUAUGGGAGACUUGGAGAGUUUUGAAAAUCCAGACCUUUGUAGCUUGGAGCUUCAGUGCUUUGAGCGUAUGAGAUGCCUCUUGGUGUGUGUGUCCCUAACUUGGUAGAGAGACCCUAUUUAUAGCUGUAGCAAGAGGUAGAGGUUGAAAACAUGUAUACCACUCUACUUGCCUUGCAAGACGUACAGUCAUAUUAGGACUAUGCCAGUUUAAAUAUUAUCUCUUCAUUUUGUAUUUGUUAACAAGGAGAUAAUACUUAAGGAAUAUUUCCUUGAUUGGCCAGAUUUGUAGGGACAUGUGACGUGGCGCCAUUUGGUUGGACAAGUUAUUGCAGUGUAUAAGAAAUAUAUACAAAUUAAACAACUCUAAAUAUUAUCUCUUUACCAAGAAAUAAAUAUUUAGAUAUCUAUCCAAUAGACGUGAUAUGAUAUGAUAUGAUUUGGUUGGCGGAGACAUCCCAGUAAUUUCAAUUGAUUGGCACACUUCAACUUGACACGUGACAAAGUAUAAUUGGCCAUUUAAUAACCAAUUUUUCCGAGUGUACAUGACAUACGACAAUACUCGAUUGGAUAGAAAUAAACCACAAAAAUAAUUUAUAAACUAAUGGUAAUUUUAAGAAUUAAUUAAAAUUCCAUUGUCUACAAAUGCCCCCUCAAAAAUUGUUUUGUGAAUACGGAAUAUUUGAACGAACAAGUUUUGACAUCCUUAAUUUGAAUAAGAUCAAAACAAUAUUGAUUUCCAACCAAAGUCCGUAGAUGAAUUUGCAUAAGGCUUUAAUUAAUGGUGCGGAGUGGUGAUUGAAAGUAUUAUCACUUUGAAUUCCCGAGGCCGGAUCGCUCCAUAUUGAAGCCUUACAAUAAAGUCCGUGAAUGGACUUUACUUAAAGCUUUACAAUGUCAUGGCUUUUGAAUUGGUCAUAGGAUGGCCAUGUAGGGGGCACCAAUUCAUGCAAAAUCUAGUGAUAUCAAUCCCCUGGGUCAAAACAUAUCAAGCCAAAGCUUCAAGUCCACCGUUACGUGCAUCAUCAGACAAAUUUUGGUGGCUUCAAUUUCCAAGACCGAAUGCCUUCAUAUUCAUUUGCCCAAAUUUCCAAGCUUUCCUUUGCUCCUUAGGACGCCAGUGUCAUGCACAUGUGACAUUUUAAAGCUGAACCUGAGACCUUCUCUAGUUAAACACCAUAUCAUGCCUUUAUCUCAAGUCCACGGCCUUGGCUAUAGAUGUUUUUCUUUCCAUUUUACCUUUGGGAAUUCAAACAUCAUGUGCAUAAGAAUUCUUUCCUUUGUAAGAUUCGAAUAACCUCUUAAAGCUAGGAAUUGCAUCCUUGGUAAAUUGUUGAAUUAAAUCCAACAACUCAAAUAGAAGUCCCAUAUAGAUUGUAAUAUCACUUUGUUAAAACAUAAUCACAGCCCACGACAUAACAAGUCACGCUUGCUCACUUGCUUAACUUCACAUUGAAUUAAAACUCUUUACUAUUAUAAAUUCUGCUGUUACCAACGCAAUCCCGAAGAUCUUUUAGUUCCUUCAAUUUCGGUUCCGGAUGGCAAACAUUAUGAGUGCUUUAAUAUUCCAAAUCGAACAAGAAUAAUUUCUUAGUUGAAUCUAUUAUAAACCGCAUCUAUUAUAGUCCAAUCUCGAUUAACCAAUCUGGAAAGUCCCGAAACCGGAUUCACGUUAGACUUAUAAUCAACUUCAAACUCACCUUAAAGAUUCCUUGAAUUGAAGAAUUAACUCUUCUUGAGUAUCGAAGCUUUGCGGAGAUAACUCUUGUGAAGUAAAUCACUUAAGUAAGAAGCUGACCGCAAAAAGCUUUCAAUAUCCGAAUAGGAAUCAUAUAGGUGAUUCACAUAGAACUCCAUCUCAUAGGUGAUUAAUCAAGCCUUUGUCUUGUGUGCACCUUGCAUGCAAAUCACUUUUCGAUUGGCCUAGAGUGUUUCCAACUUCAAUUGUGAGACAAAUAUCUUGUUCCUUGAUCAAUCAUGAACUCCACCGCUUCACAAGUUUCAAAACUGACAUGACUUACUCAGCUUAUAGAAUUUGGUUGCGAAAAUAGUUCCUUCCAAGGCCAACAUGAAUUGAAGCUUUAUCGUAUGAAAUAAUAAACUGGUCUUUUCUAGAAGCAAGCUCCCGAGACCAGCUUAGAAUUCACUUCCAAGCAUGAUAGCCGAAUUAAUUGCUAGGAACCCUUAGAGCAAAGAUACCCCUUAAACGAUUGAAGCGGACUAGGAAGCUAAUUGUACUUGAACUCAAUUUUCUCCUGAAUUUGUAGUAGAGAUUCAUUCUAUAAAUUCUCAGGUCUGAAGCCGUGAACUUGCUCAGAGAAAAAUUUCCUUUCCUUUUGUUGUGAUUCACGAAGAUUGAUGUUAGGAGUCACCGCAGCUACAUCUUUAUCUGUUGCUACCACUACUCAUUGUCUACUAGUUUGUCCCAGUUUGUUGUCCUCUUGAAAGGUAAUCACCACUUUUGCCGAGAUGCUUCGCGAACUAGCUAACUCGGAGGUACAUACACCAUGCUCCGUAUACUUUUCUUCCUUUGUUUUUUUUUUUUGCAAGAUACUAAGCAUCACAUGCAUCCUUGUUUUUACGAAGCUUCCCACCGCAAGACUUGAUUAGUAUAUUAUGGCUGUCAAUCACGUUUUAAUGCGAAUACUCGAUGAUGCACUAUGAACAAUCAUGCUUUAGAGUAGGAAUAUUUGAUGACUGAUUCUACCAAAUUGAUGCCACCCGCUAUUCAUAUCCUGCCGAUACCAUUUAUUUGGCACCUAAGAUUUUACUUUCUAGUACUUAAAUGCUAAAAGGAACCUUGGCAAUAGACUUUGCGCGUUUAUUUUGAUGUAUCCUUGAUGUCUCGGAUAUGAUUGGCACUUUCGUAUGUCUAUUUGUCUUGUGUUCUAAACUUGUAGAAUUGCAUCAGCAUGUAUCAUAAGAUGUCAUUAAUUGUCACACUAGUCCAUAUCAAUAUCUCAACCUUACUAACUUGUUCUCCAAUCUCGUGCUUGAAAAAGAGCUUGAAACAAUUUCGGGGAUUUGAAGGAAGCAACCAAUCAGGUAAUUUAAUUACCAAAAUUUUGUAAGAAAUUCCCUUCAUCAUCUAAUAUUUUCUUUUACAAAAUUCCAGCAAUCAUGCAAAUUAAGGACUACGCCAUGCCAUCGCCGCAUAUCUCAUUGACGGAUGAGAGGGGAGGGGCUCAAUCGAAAAGUUUGUCAUUAUAGUGAACAAGCCAGUGAUCGGCACCUUUGCUGAGCCUUUUAUAUCCUUUGAAGGAUGCUUUCAUCUCGAAAAUUGGACUAGUAAGUGGACUAAGGAAGUGGUGGCACCAUCAACUUUCUCCACUACAUCGAGGGAAGAAGAAGUAGUCGAAUUAAACUAGUCACUUCACAAUGGAGAUCCAGAAAUAGCCAAAUUCACACUUCCGUUCGUGGGAUUCAAUAUUGACAAAAGUACAUGGAAGAUUCCUUCUUCCUUCUUUGGUGAGACGUGUUUCACCCCCCACUAUUGGGAGUGGGUCGAGGAUAUCCUUGGAAGAUAUAAAGACGUACUCACACGCGCUGGCAUAUUUAAAGCCGUCUACGCGUCAAGAUUCUCCUACGACCGCUGCGAAAAUAUCUUGCGAGUUUUCUUCAAAUAUUGGUGUCCCUCGAGAAAUACACUUCAUACGCCUGUUGGGGAGUUGUCCAUCACACUUUGGGACCUUUAUCGAUUUGGUGGCUUUUUGAUCGAUGACUCGUUCUUUGAUGAAGUUGUACCUUCAGCGCAGGAGCUUCUCACCCGUGAUAAGGAAGGGAAGCCACUUCUUCCUGAGAGUUGCAGGCAUCUCUUUUUGGCUUACUACCACCUUUGGACGAAUGACCAAGGAGUGCGGAUGAAAGAUUGGAUCCACUUCUGGUUCAAAGGAGAGGUUAGGUACAAGGCUCCUCCGAGCAGGGCGAAUAAAAAAAAGACCACAUCUAAGCCAAAAAUGACCUACAACCCAUCUGGAAGCGUAGAGUCUCAUUACAUUGCUGAUACGAAAGAUUUCAACGUCCCUUUUGACAUAUUGGAUAUCGCAAGAUUUUUAAGAAAGGAGACCUAUACUGCGGCAUUUAUAACAUGUUGGAUUUGCAAGUUUCUUUUGCCAAGCAAAAAGAUCGAUCGCAUUCGCCCAAGUAUCUUCAAGGUUGCAUGCUUAAUAGUCACAGGGAAGAAAUUCUGCCUCGCGAUUCCCGUUCUUGUGAGUAUAUAUCAUGGGUUGAGGGAGAUCAUCUACGCCCCUAACCUUGGAGAAUGUGGGGUAACUUUUCCAAUCUAUUACGUCUAUGCUUGGAUUGGCCAAUACUUUGACGUAUAUUAUGAGAAUAAUCAAGUGAGUAGCCACCAUGCGCGCAUGACGAGAUUUAGUGGUGAGAAAAUGAUAAUAUUUUACGGCAAUCAGAAGUUGAGGAAAUCCUCAAAGAAGUGAAUCUUUUGAUGCUUUCUAAACUGUGCUGGACUGAGAAUGAAGAAAAGGGUGUUGAUCGACGAUGGAUCCUUAUCAUCAAGACUCACGAGCUACUUUAUUAGUCAACGCUCUUGCCACUUAAUUCUACGUAAGGACAAUACUUUCAUUAUUAAAAAAUAUAAUCCUUGUAGGUUUAGCAGACAAUUCGGCUUCUGUCAGGACAUCCCAAACAAUUUGAAAGAGAUCACUCAUACUUAUACUCUGGGUGAAGCUAUUCAACUAUGGGAUUCCUCAAUUUGUACGCAGACGUGAUCUCGCGUGACUAUACUUAUGCAUAGGAAGCAUCCGUUGCUUACAAAAGACUAUGAUGCUUGGUGGUCAAAUAGUGUCUCUUCAACUUGCUUUAAAUUCAUGGUUAAGAUCCCCCUGAAGCCAUCAAAGAAGGGUAAGGUUACUUCUAUCAAUGAGCCGAUACAUCACAAUGGAACUACAGAAACUGGAACAGGUCUUAUUGCAUCUACCUUGCAGGAAGGCAAAAUGACGAGCACUCACCUGAAAAGUGUUGUCACAAAAUAUAAACUUUCAAAGAAUUCUCAAUCGGCCCUCAAAGAGACGAAUCUAGCGACUCCAGUAAAGAAGGCGCCAUCCACCAUUCCAAAAUCUUUAACCAUGACUUCCAUGAGAGAAGAGGUCGAAAUUGAAAUGUUGGAUGAUUACGACUCUAUCAAAGUUAUUGAAAAGGAAGAAGCUCAAGCCUCCUAGGUGGUUACAGAAAAAAGGGCCCAUCACUAUGCCAAAACCGAACAUAACAAAAUCCGAAAUAUUUAAGAAAAUGCAAUUGUAAGGCGUCUCAAGAAAAGGGUCAAUCCUAAUUCAUCAAAUACACAAACCCAGAAAGAAAAUGCAGAAAUCAUUCAAAAAUAUCGACAUUGCGAUGGUUUAAGGAAACGGUUAAUCCCAAAUCCCAAUACUAGUUACAAAACAAACCAGGAAAAUAAAAUGCAAAGCUAAUUCCAGAAAAGGUAGGUUCAAUAAGUUAGAGUAAAACAAGAAGUAGAACUGAGAAAGAGAAUAGGAAAUUAGGUUACCCGAAUGCCAUGUUCAAGACAAUAGAGUUCCCAGCAGGCAUUGCCAACUUGAAUGCCAGCCUGACCAAUGUGGAUUGAAAUGCAUUCCCUCAUUUUGUUUCUUUUUUUUUUGCCCUUUUUCUUUGCUUGGCCUCGUUACAGAGAAAUGUUUCUUUGUUUAUUACUAAGACUGAAAAUGAGAAAGUAUUAUCUUAAAAAGAGGAUUAGGUUUUGUUAGGGGUUGAGAACCUUGAUAUAUAGGCACAGUUAUGAAAGGUAGCCGUUAAAGUUUUUCUUUUUCUUUUUUAAAUUCUGCAACGGUAUGAGCAAAACCGGGCUUUAAAGUUUUUGAAAUUUGAAUUGAUGGAUUGAGGAUUAAUCAAGCCUUUAUCGACAUUAGAGUUUUAAUCAAGGGCUGAAAAUAAUGGACUCUUAGAUUGGACUAUUUCUUGGACCAUGUAAUAAUUUCAAUCAUUUGCAACGUGGACUCUUAAAUUGUGAUUAUUUCUUAGAGGGGCCAUAGAAUUUCUCAUAAAUAAUUAGGACAUUACUAGCUAAAAUCUAAACCAAGGUGCUCAAGUCAUUAAACAGGAUACAUGGUAACUGUUCUAAAAUCGUCGAUUCCAAUUUUAUGAAGAAGUGAAAUCAAUAUUGCAGCCUAUAAGACGGUUUUGAUAAUGAUUCUAAAACUGUUAGAUUUGAUUCCAGUUAUAUUUUGAUUUCUUACGGUUGCAAUUUUGAUUCUUUUACUUUCGGUUCUAGUUACUUAUGGUUAUACUUAAUUAUUUAUCAUUCAAAAUUUUGAUGUGAAAGUAAGGUGACAAUAGAUUUAAGAUAGAGAGAACGAGACCAAAAAAAAGUAUUAAAAAAAACAAGAUUUUGAUUUUUUUAAGUACUGAAUAAGGAAAAAAAUGAUACAAACUUUAUGAAAUUUUCAUCACACUAUUGAAUGUUAGUAGCCAUUUUAAAUAAAAGAUACACACGAUUUUAGAGACAUUAAGAGUAUCUCCAAGGUGGACAACUUGGACUUAGGCCAAGCUUAUCUACCUUUAUCAGACUAUUCCAAACUAGAACCGAAACUGGCGGUUCUGAUUAUACUUUUACAGGACCAGAAUCGAUAGCUUUAUCUACAAUUCCCUUCUUGGUUUCGGUUCCCAAUUCCAAAUUUCAAUUCUGGUUCAAUUUGGAUACGGUCUAAUUUGAUGCGGUUCUCGAUUCAAAAUGGAACCCUAGCCAUGUACACAUAUGGUUAUGAUUCUAGCCACAAUGGUUUUUAUAGGUAGGGUUAAAAGUUGAACUAAAUUAUUUGAUACUCAAAUCAAGCUCAACCUAGUAAGAGCUCGUUCAAAUUGUCGUUAACUAGUCCAGUCUAAUUUAAACAACAUUUUAUGUUUAAUGAUAUUCAAACUCAAUGAACAAACUCAUUCUAGAUCGGCUCGACAAUAAAUGAGUCUAGUUUAGUUAAAAUAAUCAAAUAAAUUCGAAUACUAGAUUGUUCGAUUUAAUUAGACUCAUUUACACCCCUAUUUUUUGGCUAUAAACUGCCUAACUCGUGCCAUGAGUCCAUGAUUCAAUCACUUAGUCAUUUAAAGUUCAAUAAUAGAUUUCAUUUUACCAAGAAGCGCAUCUUUACAACUUAUCAUGCCUUGAGCACAAUCAGAUUGUACUGCAAUGAAAUUUACAUGGUACUUCUAACACACUAGAUUUACAUAUAUCCAUGGUACUCAAACUCAGACGUACGGACAUGUUGGUUAAUAUGGGUAUUAUCGUAUUUUGUAUUCAAACUAUCAUUCACAAAUCUUUGUACAUAUAUCUUACCCAAUUCCCUUCACUCAAAUUUGUUGGAAUGUAUGUCCUAAAACAAUGAUUUUGUUUAAUACAUUCCUUAUUAUGUUUUGUAUCUUAUAACUUCUUCUUUAUAUGUUAAAUGUUAAAUAUAACUAAUAAAGUUCUUAGAAUACUUAUUGAUGUGAUGGUAGUCACAAGUAUUGAUAACUAUGAGAUAUAAAUCACAUUUAUAGUAAUAUUUUUAAACUCUCCUAGUCAUAGUACUAAUGAAAUAGGAUAUCAUUAAUACGGAAAAACUAGUAUACAAUUAGUCUCUACUUAAUGUAAGUAGUGGUUGUUCUCAUCAACCAUGGUAUAUAGAUACCUAGGUUAAUGUGUAGAUGAUUUGUAAAGUACAAAUACAUUGGAAUAAUCCACUUAGAGAUCCCAUUAGGAUAUCUAUCUUGUGCCAAUGGUUGUAUCUCUUGUGGAAAGUUAUGUGAAUGAUCCUACAACUUGAGAUCACCAUAGUAUAUUGAGUGUGAAUCACUAUAUUUUGACUCUAUUGCUUGGUACUUAUUGAGAGUAACUUAGAGAAUAGAGAUUGGGUGUAGUGUGAAGCACGGAAAGAUAAUGAGUGAUCAAGAUAGGAUUCACCACUCAGAUAGUAGGAGUUGAUAUCCGGAUGGCCACUAGUGGGAAAUUAACCCUAAAAGGUUGACUAUGUUAGGUUAAUUGAAGAAUAUUUUCAAGUUAACCUAAUCUAGGGUUAAUUCUAGAAACUAGUAAAUUUAAUUAGUCAUUAGUGAAUUGACACUUAUUCCUUAUUCUCUGACUAAUUGGAUAUCGGUGGUGAAAAGAUAAUAAUUACAUGGUAACUUUUCAUGGAAAGGUUAGGUCAAAAUUCCCUUGACUAAUUCCGGGUACUUGGGUGAUCAUGAUGUGUCGCUAGACACCGCUCAUGAUUUAUAAUUAUGAAUUAAUUAAUUAUUGUAAUUAAUGAUAAAAUAAAGUUGUUUAUUUUAUCUAAUUCUUUUUGGGAAUUAUAAGUCAUAAUUAUUGCCAAUGUAUUUGGAGGCUAUUGAAUCACACGCAUUAGAGUUUUGAUUCUGGAUUAAAAUUAUGUGUCCGAGUGAAAACUUGGAAAUAAAGUAUAAGAUACUUUUGGGAUUUAAUUACAAAGAAAAUAAAUUCCAAACCUAUUUGAGCAGAUAGGAGAAAAUAGUUAUCCCCUAUCUAUCAGAUAGCUGAAAGAUAGAGUUUGUUAUUGGAUAAAUUUUCGUUUGAUUUGUAAUAAAACAAUAAAAACCUAUCUUUUCUUUUUCUUUCUGUCAAUCCUAUCUCUGUUAGUACGAUGAAAAACCUAUGACUUUUUUUUAAAGGAAAAAGGAUUCGUGACAAACAUAGAGAGUGGAGAAUGAAAAGUAUGUGAGACAUACAUAGAGAGAAAAAAUAGACAAGGAAAGGUGAAAAGAAAGGCUAGCAACUUUCAUCACUUUCACACAAAAAUCGUAGAGACGAUCCAGAUAUUACUCUCGUGUGGAUUUCGAUAGAGGUAGGACAUCUGAACUGCUCAAGGGGUUGUUUGUCUUCUCCAAUACCUCAGAGGAACAUCACAAAGAUUAAGGUAAUCUGUUUUUUCCCUUUCUUGUUGAACAUUCGCAAAACCUAGGGUGAUCCUGAGUGGUUUUUUGGGAAAUUUUUUUAUUUUUUCUGCUGCCUUAUGUCCCAAAAACCCAUCAAAAAUUUCCGCAUAGAAUAAGUGGAAAGUUGAUUGUCAAAAAGAAUAUGCUUGUUUGAGAAGCAAAACAUUUAGUUUAGGGUGACUAAUGUACAUAAUGUUUAUAGUUUGGACCCUUCAGUAAAUUAGUUAUUAUUUGUCUAAAAUUGGUAGUCUUUUAAAAUUAGUAUAAUGUUUAAAAUAGAUAAUCUUCAAAACCCAAUAUAACUGGUUUUAACGUUAGUUUAAUGACCACGAGAUCUACGAUUCGAGACUUGAGACCUCUUAUUCCCCCUUUCGCCUCAUAAGCCCAUCAAUAAACUUGUCAAUGGAACACUAUAAGUAGGGGUGGCAAUUCGGGUCCAAAUCAGGUUGGCGGGUCGGGUUCUGACUCGACCCGUCAGAAAAUUUGUUGAUCCGAACCCGACCCGCCAACCCGUGACGGGUCAGGUAUGCUGACCCGAACCCGAAAAUUUCAGGUUGACGGGUUGGCGGGGUCGACCCGAAAUGACCCGAAACUUAAUUUUAAUUUAUUAAUUCAUCACUGUAAUUUCUAAUAAAAUCAAUUUCUUACAAAACUAAUUACAUAAUCAAGUAAUAAAAAUUUAAAUAAAUAAUUCCAAACCAAAUCUAAAAUAAAUUAAACACCGUAAAAGUGUUUUAUCCCAAACAAAAUAUAAAAUAAAUUAAAACAGUAUAAAAGUAAAAAAUAAUAUAAUAUAUUAUUUGUCCAAAUAUAAUAAUUUCAACUUCACACAAAUUAAAUAAAAUCAUUUAGGAUUAAGUAAUUAAUGCCUUUGAAAAAAAGAAUAACUUAGUUUAGUUAGAUAAAAUUAUUUUUAUGUUUAUUAAAUUAUUUUUAAUUCGUAAAUGGGUCAUAUCAGGUCACCACGGGUUGACCCGAAAUCGACCUUUCUUCGGGUUCAUCUCGGGUUCAACCCAAUUCUGACCUGAAUUCCCGAAACCUCAACCCAAACCCAUUAAUUUCGUAUUAGGUUCGUGUCGUGUUUUCAUGUCGUGUCGAAAAUUGCCACCCCUAACUAUAAGCCCGUCAAUAUUGCAUACACCUGAUGUAGAUAAAACAAAAUAAUUUAUAAUUGUAUGUUUUUGAAUGUGUUGUGUUUCUUUUUUGAGUUUGAGUUUUACUGAUGGGCUUAAAGUUUCUAUGAAGCCUAACAAACAGUGUCAAAAGAAAAUGGGCUUUUUUUCUUUUGUUUAGAUCCCUCUGUAUCAUACUGGGAUGGCUAUAAACACCCUGUGAAAAAAGGAAAAAAGUCAUUUUAUGAAAUACCUUGCAAAAAAAAAAGAAGAAGAAGAAGAAGAAAGCAUCUCCAUAUUUUUCUAGUUAAUCGAAGUCGUCCACACUUUUCAGAUUUUUACCCUCUAAAUCUUGGUAGAAAGCAGGUCCUAGUUUGAACAUAUUCUAACCUCUCUAUGCUUCUUUUGUAUACAUCGAUCGAUCAACACUAAUUAGUCUAAAUCUUGUACGAUGAUUUCUGGCAAGGAAAUUAAAUUUGUCCAGCAUAUUGUGCAAAAUGGGUAUUUUGACAAACUAAUACACGUUUCUACACCUGUUAAAUUAAGUACGGCUUUACAUUUUUCUCGUUCAUUGAAGAUUAAUUGGUUUUGGUGGGGAGGGGGGGGGGGGUUCUGACGAUUUGCUCUGGUUUUAUUAUUAAAAAGGUGGGCAACUGGUCCAAAACUUGCAUGGCCGGUGGAUCCAUAGCGCUUGCUUCUGUAUAAUCUCUUUUGGUUUUCUUUAGCGUACCUGUAUUAUCAUGAGAACUUUCCAAGACAACCCCUUUGAGGCUUUGACAUGUUAUUUACACAUCUAUCUUUCAGUUAUUUUAGCUUUGUUAUUUGUUUUUCGAGAUUAUCAAGCACUUUUUUGUUCUACUGAAAUUGAUAGCUGAAAUUGGAAGCUAUCAUCCUUCUGAAAUUGAUAGUUAUCAUCACGUUGCCGUAGAAUCCUAAUAUUAGUUACAUAGAAUUUACAUAGUUUGACCUAUGUCUAUAAGAAAAUGCAAGGGAACCAACAAAAGACUUAACAGCUCAAAGAAUUAAAUAGUCUACUAAUGAACUCUCUUGGUUUGGUACUAAAACCAAAUAUUUCUCUUGAAUUGAGGCGUAAACCUCCCUAAAACUUCUUUUGAACCAGUGUCUUAGUACAUUUAAAUUCGUUCAUACCCAAUAUAUUUAAAACCACUACAAGGAGAGGUUUUUUUUUAUAUAUAUAUAGAAUUCUCGAUUGUAUCCACCAAGAGAAGAGAUUUCUUUGUAAAAUUCUCGAUGUAAAAUACAAAGAUAACUCAAUAAUAGUGUUAUGAAUGAAAUGUAUGUGUACACAUAAUAAGUUUAGUAUAUUUUAAAUGAGUAAAUCUUUCCUAUACUGAAGGUGUAUACACUAUCAUCGUUGGAUUCAUGACAUAUGUGUAAAAGUUGAAUUUCAAAUUCAAAUUUUGCAUAUUUGUCAUUAAUCCAACGCUGAUAGUGUAUACACUGUCAGUGCAGGAAAGAUUAAUCCAUUUUAAAUAUACUAACAAGUACCUUAGAACCCCUAAACUUAAACUCUUGGCAGAUUAACUUUAACCCAUCCAUCAUUGGCUGUUUAACUCUUUGAACCAUAAUUCAACAUCACCACUAGGUUUUGUGAGUCUCAACUCGGCCUUCACUUGCCAGGGACACCGAUCAAAUUGAGGUAACUCAUAAAUAAAAAAAAAUAUUGAAAAACAAUUAAAUUUCCAUACCUAACAACGCAGGGAUAAAGUGCCCCAAGAUUUGAACCAUGCAAAUAAAUCUGCAACAUACCAAAAAAUUAAAUAUGCAUGCGUCCGAGACAAAAUGUGCUCCAAGAGUUUGCAUGCAUAAUUUACCUCCACUUGCAUGUAUAGUUGCAAUAUAGGACAGAUGAGACUGAGUUUUGGAAGUGAAACUAUGAUAUAAUAAUGUUAGAAGCAGUGGUCACUGUUAAGGAUGAAUGAGAUGAAUGUUUCCACGUACGAGGCAGUCUGCUAAUUGCCUACUAAUCAAUAAAAUUCUGCAAACUCGAUUUGACAUGGCCAAUCUCCAUAUAGGAGUGUCAGCAAAUUUAUGCAACUUGCGUUACGUGAUAGUAAUUAAAGACAAUGUGUACAACUAAUUAAGAAGCUUACUCGGACAUGACAAAUUAGAUGACUAUGUUAAACUGCAGCUUCCGUUUUCUAGAGUGUAAUUGUAUAAUAAAACAAGAAUAGUAUGUACUUGUUGGUCCUAGAGCUUUCACGUCUUCUAACAACUUGAUCUUUCUUUAUGAAACCACAGAUCGAGCAUAACAGUAAAGUUUAGUGUUAGGGACAAUUUCACAAACCUCCCCUGAGGUUUUUAAUAGUUACAAAGAGCUCCCCUCAAGUUUUAAAAUUACACAUACCUCCCCUACUUUUAUUGUUUAUAUAACAAUAUAGGUCCAACAAAUUAGAUUCUCUCAAAAAUCCUAAAUUCAUUUUUGUACAAAACUAAGAAAGCAAAAUAUAGUAUGCUUAAUCAUUUUCUUCCACACUUUGUACAAAUCAACAAGUAUAAUCCUUAACAGCCAUCCAAGCAUAAGUUCUAAAUCCAAAUAACUAUUCAAAAAAUUCCAAAUUACAUAUACAACAUUAGUAUUUGCCACGUAAAAAAAAAAAAAAAAAACUCAUACAGACACACACCUCCUAUUAUCUCAACGCUCAAAUACCUUUUCAAUACAAGAUACUCUGAUCUAGAACCAGCAUUACAACCUUCUUAUGGUCUUAAAAAUAUUAAUAUUCCAAAAGUAGAGAAUAAAUUCUGUCUCCACAAUAAAAUCAUAACCAAAAAUUUCCAAUCCAAUGAAAGAAAUCCUUAUGUAAUUAUUGACAUUUUAUAAAAAAUUUUCAUGACAACAAAUAAAAUAUGACAAAUUUCACAUCUUUAAUUCUUCUUCCUAUUUCAAUCAUCAAUUUCAUUUUUAUUUCUCUAUCACUGCGAGUCUCUUCAUUUCCUUUUAGUUUAAUACAUAAUCUACUGUCUCUCUAUUAAUUUUGUAAUUUCAAUUUACUAAUAUCUACAAAACUAAAGAUAAUAAAAAAAGGGUAUAGCAGUAUAUUAACUAUAAAAGAAAAGAGUGAAAGUAGACAAGAUACAAAAAAUAAUUUUUUUGGGUUUUGUAAAUCUAUUGCCUUAAAUUUAGAAUUGUCUACCAAGUGGAGGGUAUUAUAGGUAUUUUUUAUGCCAAGGGAGGUAAGUGUAAUUUCUUAAAUUUGAGGGGAGCCGAGUGAAAUUGUAAGAAACCUCAAAGGAGGUUUCUAAAAUUAUCCCUUAGUGUUAUGUAAAAUCAUAAAAGGGAAAAAAUUCUUAUGACAAGGAAAAAAACAAAAAAAAAAGUACGUUAAACGAACAAAAUUUACAUCUAGCUAUUUUAUUUUUAUAUCUGAGGUGCCACAGUCCAAAUCAUACACUAGUUUUUAAAAGAUGAAGGGUUAAAAACAAAAAAUCCCCCUGUGGUAUAUGUAAUAUACAGAAAAGCCCCCAUAAUUUCAAAACAUACAAAAUGACACCUCAUGUUUUGAACUAAAUUAAAUAAUUAACAGAAUUCGUUAAAUUUAACAGAAAAUUUAACGAAAUCCGGUAAAUUUAACGGCAAACUUAACGGAAUCCGAUAAGUUUAACGGCUGAAACCGUCAUUUUCGUUAAAUUUAACGAAUUCUGUUAGUUUACAAUUUAGUUUAAAAUAUGAGGUGUUGUUUUAUAUGUUUUGAAAUUACAGGGGGUUUUUCUGUAGAUUAGGUAUACCAUAGGGAGCUUUUUUGUUUUUAACCCAAAGAUGAAUUAUAUCACAUAUUUUAAGAGAGAUUUGGUCUGUUUAACAUUGUCAUUUAAUUUUCUAUACAUGAAAAAGAGAUAAAAAAUUUCUCAUUUAAUUUUCUAGCACAGUGAUAUUUUCGUAAUCCCUUUACUAGGAGUAUUUUUCAUUCAACUUGUUUCUUUAUGUAUCUAAUUUUUUAUUUUAAUUAUCCCUUUUCUUCAACAGCAAACGAUGACAGUUUUUCAAUACGUCUUUGUUAAAUGGGCAAAAAAAUGUAUAUAAAAGCUCUUUUUGCACGUAAUUCCCGCAUAAUUUGGCCAGCAGUACUCAUAUAUUCAUGUGUUGCAAAUUCGUACGACUAUUACAAAUAGGAUUAUUGAUUAAUCACUAUCCUACUCAUUUGCUAGGCCAUGAUUAUCAGGUUACUCCAAUCUAUCGGAGAGGUACUUGAAAAGGAGAAGCUUAUAGCAAAGAAGAUAGACGGAUGGACUAAAGUUUAUAUUGCAAUGAAGUCCAAAAUUUGUUCAAAUUAAUAUAUGGAGAUUUCAAGUAUUAUUUUUACCAUCAUAUUCAAUUUUGACAAGAAAACCAAGAAAAGAUAAGUUUUUGGCUUAUAUUUGUGUAUCUUCGUGGUCUUGAAUCUUAUUCCUGCCCUCAGUAUUUAUCAAAUUAUGAAGAUGGAAGGGUAAAGCAAUACAUUGGAGAAACGGGAGACAGUUAUUUUUGUUUCUUUUUUCUUUUAUGGUUAUGUUUCUAUCACUAGUUCUAAUAUCUUUUUUCUGUUUAUCGUUUUCUAGCAAAAGACAGGUGAAAUUUAAGAAAUGCGGAGGAAGCAGAGGAGCUAGGAUUCAAAACUUCUAAUUUUUGGAGUUUCAAUAUUAGCCACUAGACCAAAGCUUCUUCGACGCCAGUUCUAAUAUCCUAACACUUGAAUUAAGCGACACAAAGACAAGGACAAUAAUUAAUUUCCUUUUAUUUGUUGCCUUCACAAAUGUUUUUGGCAUUUAUGAUAGACAUUCUUUCUAACUUUUUUCGGUUGCCCUUCAUGUAUUAUCAUUAAUUCUGCAAUAAAUUUCUUUUGUUAAGUUAUCUUGUAUGUAUUACCAAUACGACUUUACUAGAUAUUCAUAGUUACAGGAAAAAGAUUAAUCCUAUAAUUUGCUCAGACAAUCCUUUUUUUUUUUUUUUGUGGGGGUAAAUCAAACUAGUCAACAACUGACCAUUUGACUAAACAAAUUUCUACCUUAGUACAGGAUGCCAUGUUCUAUCGAUCUGUUGCAUACGAAUUUUUUUACUGUGAUGAAAGCUUAAGCUUAAUCUAUUCAACGGAAUAGGAAAAAAUUUCUAGUCCAUUGAAACUAACCCAUGGUCUAAAAUUUGGAAAUAUUUUGCUCUUUAAUCGAUGUAAUCACUGAAGAAAGGACAAAAUGGUUAGAUUCAAUUCCUGAUUAAUGUUGCAGUUAUACAUCGUAAUAUGCACAUUUAUAGCAUAAUAUUAUUUCUCUUCCAUCAAGGCAUGGAUCGAAGAAAAGAUGCUAAACUAUGACUACACGUGCUCAGGUUAUUAAACUCUUUCCUUCAAGUUCAAUUUUACGAAAACCUUCACCGGCCAAUCUAUUUCUUCUAGGCAACCUUGCUUGCCAGUUUAUUAUGGAAUCAAUCACAAAAGAUGAUGGUAUAUUCCAAUUUUUGUUUUUUGUGACAGUCCUAUAACUAUUAGGUGUUUAAAAUAGAACACAAAAUAUUAUAGGAAGUAAUAAAUCCUGAGACAGGCAUAUAUUGGCUUCUUUUUUUCUUUUUUUUUUUUGGCUAUAGCACAAUAAUCUAGGUAGGGAAAUAAGCUUCUAACGUCAUACUCAGUAUCCUACUUAGUUAAAUCUAUCCACACUUUAUUAACUCAUGUAUCUUAGAUUUUUUUUUCUUGAUGUUAAUUAUUUAUGGGACUAAUUAUCACCCUAUAGAGACCAAAACAUGGCACAUUGUUCAAGAAUGAUGAAACUAAUUAUAGCUGUUAAUUAUAAGAUUCCCCAACGGACUAGAACAUAAUUAAUUAUACCUAGGAACAAAAAUUCCAACUUAUUAAAUUACGCUCAGUAAAAUGACACAAACAGUUGAAAUGGUCCCCCAGAGAAAGUAUCUAUGUAUAAUUUUAUUUUCUAAGUGACGUGCGCGGGAUAUACAUAUACAAUUUGCUCAUCCAUAAUCGAGUUUUACAUUUAUAAAUCCUAAAUACCCCACACGCAAUUUAUUGCAAGUAUCCGAAUUGUAAGCGAGUAUAAGGUAUUAAAGAUCGAUCCCGCAGAAAAGAGUGACAAUUAUCGGUAGUUUUCAAACUCCUUAUUAUCUAGACUACCAUAAACAUAAAAGUAAUGAAAAUUAGAACUAGAAAGCUCCUAGAGAUAUAGAAUUCCUUACUACUCUUGUAAAUAAGAUUACCGGUUAAGUGAAUGCUAUUAUCUUAGCUAGUUAUGGCGUAAUUUCCUAAUGUAUGUGAAACCUACUCUCGUAGUGAAUCAACUAUACUUGUAGUUAAACCAUACCUACUCUCAUGGUUAUGAAAUUAACUACAAACUCAUUUUUUCUAUGAAAUUACAUGAAACAAGUCACUAAAGCCACAAAGGUGUUCCUCUACUCUCAUGAGUGAACUCCCUAGAUUUAUCACUUCCUUAAACUAGUGUUAAAUUCCAAUUCUUAUUGUAAUCUUAACAUCUUAAGAUUAUUACAAUUAAUGGCCGGUUAAUUAUGAUUAGAAAAGCAAAAGUGAUAAAUAACUUGCUCAAAAUAAUAUCAUCAAAUAACCAAGUAAACAUCACAAAUAAGAUAUAGAAAGUUCAUCCAUACUCUAGGCAUAAACUUUAACAAAACAUGAAAAUAAAAUCCAAACUUGUAUUAUAAUUAAACAUGAAUUCAAAUACAAAAGAGAAAGUGAUAUGAGAGAUGUCACCCUUGUCACAUGAGCUCUAACUCUCUAUCUUUGCUCUUCAAAUUUUCAUUCAAAUCUAACUACAAAUUAAUACAAGAUGGAAAAACUACACUAACUAUACUAAUCUACCCUAAUUAAUGAACUAAGGAAAUUCUAGUGAAAGCUACAUUUUUUGUGAGUUUCUCUAGUCUUCCAAAGUUCUGAAAAUGUCUUCCAAAUGCUGCUAUUUAUAGAGGAAUUCAAGGUCAAGAAGAGUUGUUAAAGUUGUCAUUUUUUGACACUUGAACUCCUAUGAGUUGUCUCUCCAACUUUCCACCCUUUUCUUGGUCAGAUACAGCCAGAAUUGCUAACUAGAAUUGAGUUGAAAAAGUUGUGUGAAAGCAAGGCAAGUUGAUGAGCAAGUUACAGAAAUCAUGUGAGAAUAUGCGACUUCUUCUCGUGUAUUGAAUAGUCGCGUAUUGAGUUUUGCACACUUCAACUGCUAUUUUCUCAAUGAUGGAGGUCAAAAUAGCUUUCGUGCAAAACAUGAAAGUUGUAGCCCUUUGGGUUAGCUUUCCAAUGCCUCAAGAAUCAUCCAAUUUGGAUCUCGGGAGAGAUGAUCAGAAUACCAUCAACUGGUCAAAGAUCUAUUUCAGCUUUUGACAACAGAGUUGCACUUCUAUAUUUUGACUUUUUAACAAUGAAAAAGGCUGAACUAGACUUCGAUGUCUUCAUACCAAAUGUAGAUCCAACUCUUAGUUUUAACAUGGUUUAGGAAUCAUUUCAAUCCAAUGCCUGUAACUCAAGAUAUAGCCAAAAUAUCACAAUGUGUCAAAGUAAGAAAACUUUUCUUCUUUUGUUCUUGAUUGCAUUUCCUCUCUUGCGCUUCAUAUUCUCUUUUUAUCACUUCAAACCAUCAUCAAUCAUCCAAUUAUCUUCUCAAUUCACUCAAUUUGAUGAUUGACUCAUUAAACCUACAAAAACAUAAAGUUUUCACCAUAAAAAUCCAUAGAAAUACAAUUUUCACACUUUAAACCAUAAAAUACAUUUUUUCACUAAAAUCCUAGUUCAUUAGCUAAAAACAUAACUAAAACACACCAAAACUAAAUAAUAAAACACGUAAAAUAUAUAUUUAUCACUAGGAAUAGGAAUUUCAAAAGUUAAUCACUUGAAAUUCAGUAAUUAACCAAAUUCAAGUCAGGUAUCAGGUGUAAAAAGUUCAUUUUGGUCGGUGUCACCGGUUUAGUUUGGUAGUUGAAAUGCUCAAUUAUUAACCAUGUACAAGGGUGGUCACAAUUUAAGAUUGAACCACAACUAGAUCGGUAGUUUGUUGGAUAGGAAUUCGAAUCAAAUUUUAAAAAUCAAAACCCAAAUCAUAAUUGUGACAAAAGAAUUAGGUUUAUGUUCACCAAAAAUUUGAAUCAGAAUUGGAACGGGAACCGAAACCUUCGGUAUAGGACUGAUUCAAACCGUCUAAAAAAAUACUUACUAUCUAAAUCUAUUUAGUCAGUUUAGAAUUCAAUACAAUAGUCAGCACUCAACACCAGCAACUCCAAUCCUAACCAACAACCCGUUGUCUCAUUCUAUUAGUGAACCUAGACCCCAUAACUAAUCUAAGUUCAAGACCAAUCUAAUGUAAUCAACAAUGAAGAAUUUUUUUUUUUUUUUAUAAAAUUUGCAUCACUUUAUCAUUUUCCUUGCACAUGAUAAUACAAUAGAGUUCUUAUUUUCUUCUACAUUUAUUGUCAUAUUUUUGUUAAAUCAAUUUUAUAACUAAAAGAACCAAAACUGUAAUUGGAAGAAACUGAAACUAUAAUCAGAAUAAAACUGAAAUCGGAGGUUCAACAACCGUAACCACAACCGUCUUUAUAAAGGUCGAUUCAAUUUUCACCUUUUUAGAAGAAUCGGAACCGUAGAUAUUAAAUAGGAAAUGAUAGUUUUGAAACCGUGGCCAUGUACAAAUGAUAAUGGCGUCCAUACCCAAACUAGAUUGUAAUAGUGAUACAUUUACAAAGGGAUGUUUAUUUGAAUUUACUAAAUUUGUUUGCGUUCAGACCACAUUUAUUGGAUAUGGGAUACCACAAUUUACUCGUAUAGUAAAGAUGUACAAACAAGUUAAUUUGGAUUUUGAAGUUUUAUGAGCUCUAUUUGUUUCAGUUGCACGUACGCUAUGAAUUAAUGUGACACAUUUGGACUGGCAUAUUUUGUAGGAGUGAGUCACAAAUUACUAAUUUCAAUUGUAGAAAAUAAGUUUUUGAAAAUAUUAGUAAAAAAGAAAGUUCUUUCAUAUUUUUAUCUUUAUCUUUUUAUUUUUAAUCUAAAAUAGUUUGGGAGAUGGGGAAAGUUACCAAUUUCGAUAUCAAGACAGGUCAUCAAAACAUGUUUUCAACCGUUUAUAGGGAUUCUUAUAAGUCACUUAUCAAUAAGAGAUUAAUCGAAGUGAAACUUAAACCAAAAUCUUCUUUAUAUACGGUGAACAGAUUUUACCAACUAGACAUAUUUCAUACAUUAAUAGUUUAUGAUUAUAUCACCCCACAGCACCAAGCAUAUGCAAAGAAGAUUAUUGAGUAUCUUUCUUGGAGUCUCAAAAGGACUAAUUAAUUAUCAUUGUAAGAGAAACAGCCAGCCCAUUGGAUUUUGAUGGAAGAAAAUGAAGGGAAAAAAAAAAUGGUUCCUCGUGACUUCGACUUCAGUCCUCGCUGUCUAUUGGAUCAAAAUCAUGUGCUCCGAAAGGCACGCUGAGCAUUCCUUUUUUUUUUUUUUCUGUCAUCUAUAUUCUGAAUAAAUUGGAUUAAAAAAAUGCUACGAUUUUUCAUUUAUAUUAGUCUUUUUGUCGACACACACAGCCAUGUAAGAAGACUAGAUGAGAAGAUGUUCAUGACACAUUAAAAAUUCAACCAGCAACUUUAGGAAAUCGGUUAAUUUAUAGGAGUAGGUUGAUUGUAGUAAUAUUCCUGAACAUGUUUCUGAGGUAAAUGAUGUUUCCAACUACCACAGCAUAUUCAUUUAGGCAUUGGGUCAGGGUAAAAAAAGAGCUUUACUUUUCUGGUUAUUUGUUUUUUGAAAUUUAGCUAGGAAACUAAAGUUAGGGGUGGAAGAAGCCGGAAAGUGCAAUUAAUUAGAGGCAUAUAUCAAUUGAACUUUAGUUCCAAGAAGAAAGACAGAUUUUAGACCAUAAACUUUAUUAUCAUAUGCAGAAACAAUAUUUUUUUCCUCAUAUUCGUUUUUGGAGAAAAGUAUUUUGCAUUUUGGAUAAAUUUAAUUUAAUUUAAAUUUAAAUUUGGAUGAAUAUAAUUUGUAUUUUGACCAGAUUUUUGCACAUUAGAGCAAGUAGAAAUAGAAUGGUCCAGCGGCAGCGCCUCUCACCAGUGAACCUUGAGAUCACAAGUUCGAGUCUCCGCUCCGCUGGAUUCCUCCGCACACUUAACGUGUUCGGGCCAGGUUGGGGCACCGGGUCUGGGCCGCAGGGGAUUAGUCGGGCCCCGUAAGGAUUGACCCGGACACCCCUGUGUCGACAAAACAAAAAAAAAAAAAAAGUAGAAAUAGAGAACAGUAACAAUUGUACACCAUAGAUUCAGGAUGAGAUAAGGUCUUUUGAUUUUUUUUUUUCUGUAAAAAAAAGGUUGAGAAGGAGGCGAAACUUACAUCAUUUUAAGGUAAACCAAUAAUAUUUUUCGACAGUUUUUAUAAAUCAUUUACCAAUUAGAAACUGCUGACAAAGAGACUCGAAUUUGAGUUUUUCUUUGGCAAGAUAAACUAGUCUUACCAGCUAAACCAAUCCAUAGCAUCAUCUGACUAUAUUCGCUAAAUUAUUCCACUUACGAGCAUAAAAUCAUUAAAACCUUUUAGGUUUUAAUUCUGCAUAAGAAUUACUUAUUAUAAUUUUUAAAUGAAAUUUCAUGUUGAAGGCAUCUCAAGUCUUUCGAUCAUUGGAUGCCUCACAAGCACGUGUUCAUGAGAAAUCAUGUCUUUCCAAUCAUCAUGGCAGUUGUACAUAGCAAGUAUGAAUCUGAAAAGUAUCAGAGAAGUUUGCAGUCAUGAAGAGCUUGAGAGAAUAUAUAUAUAUAUAUAUAUAUAUUUACACACACACACACACCAUGUUAAUUUGCCAACUUAGACUUGAUCAGUCUUUGUACGAGUCAGAAUUAAAAUAGAAUGGAAACAUUGUUGCAUUCGUUAGAUUACCAGGUGAUGAGCAUGUCAUAGGAUUCCCUUUGUCUUGGUACUUAUAUUCUGAACUUAAUUAACAAGAGUUUGAUAAACAGCUAGAUGAAGCCCAUGUAUCUUGAAUAAGCAACCUUUUUUCGUUUUUGGUUGGUUUUUUUUUUUUUUGGUUUGAAGAAAGGGGGUGGGGUGAUAAAAUACUCAGCAUGCUUUGGUAAAAUUUUUCCUUUCUUUUUUAUUUCUUUAAGAAAAUAAGGAUGGCUAUCAAAUUAAAUUUUAAAUCUUAGAAAUGAAACUGAUAGAAUUGCCAUUGUUUAGUAAAUGCAGCGAGUGGCAUUUCAAUUUCUAUUUGACAUGAUUUGUUGAAAUUAACAUCAUCAUAUUUUACAAAGACCAAAUAAGAAAAAAGAGUUAUCAUGCAAACCAUGGUCUACGUCAUCUAAUAAUUCUAAUAAUCAAGCCAAGUGAAAGGGGAAACAAUUAGUAAUCAAUUUUUUGACCAUUAAAUCAUAAUUUCUUGUUUUAAACCACAAAAGAGAAAGAUUGGCAAAUGAUCAAAUCCACUUGCUGAUCUUGUCGUAUGGGAAUUUAGAAGUAGCAAUCCUAUAAUCUCCUUCAAUUUUAUCUCGUUGUAUUUUUUUUAGUAAGUUUUUUUAACCCUUUCCACCGCUCCCCAAACUCUUCAUAUCUCCAACUGAUUGACAUAAAAUUCAAAUCUUGAACUUGACAACGGAAAAGACAUAUUUGGUUGUACUCUUAAGUGAAUUAGGCGAAAACUUUCAUGUAUAUUUUUUUUUGCUUUAAAAAGUAAUUAUUUAUUGACUAAAGAAUCCUUCAUUAACCAACUUAAUUUCUUUUCCGUGAAACAAACUCUCACAACUUUAAUGUCUAAUAAUAAUUACUAAAACUGAUCUACCCUCGAAAAUUUUAUUUAAAUGGCCAAGUAACCACCGGAGUUAAUGCAACACAGUAGUGGACAAAAUCAGCAUUUAAAGUUAAAAAAAUCUGUCAAAGAAGAUGACCUAUAGCUGUGUGGCUACAAUCUACGACUGAUGAAGAUAAGGUAUCGAUAUUGAUAUCUAUAAGAAUUUUCUGUUCCACCAUAACCGCUGGAGAGUGACCUCAAAUCCAGCAAUAAAAAAACUAUUCCUUUAUGCCGAAAAAGAAGAAAAGAUCUUCAUGAGUUGCUCAAAAAGAGGCAGGCAUUGUAACUCUUUGUCCUAUGAGUUAUGAAUUGUGAGUUGUGGCCUUUACGUGUCAGUUCUAUGUGCCUUUCUAAUUUCUAUUUGAGGAAACAACCAGGUUGUGGAAAUUAAUCAUAUGGAGAUUAAUUUGACUAGUCAACUUUCUUGAGAUUCUUGAUCAUGAUUUCAUCUGAUUCAGGGCUGAAAACAACUGGGGAUUUGAUAUUUUUGAAGGGUUGAUGGUGAUUUUAAUCUUAGUUAAUGGUGUAAUCAAAGGGUUCUGUUUUAUAAUGUAGAAAAUGGAGAUUGUUGUAAUAAAAUAGCAUGAUAUUCCGUGUAUAGUUCUGACAUGCACAGCUUUACUUGCUGGCUUAACAACAAGAAGCUACUAGCUCUCCUUCGUUUGUCUGUGGUAUUUGUGUGUGUGUGAGAGAAUGUUUGUGGUGUGUGAGAGUGUGUGCGUGACCAUUCAUUUUGACACCGUCCAAACCCUAGUGGUGAGAGCACAGAGAAGGACAAAAAUUUAAGCAUGCCCCUCAAGAAACUUGAAUGUUUUUCCCCAACUCCCCUUCUAGGGAAAGGAAAAAAGUUCUUGAUAACAAACCAAUUAAUCUAACGGAUAUUCCAAUAGUUAAUGCAAUGAAAGAAGUUCAUUUGAUAUAGGUUUGUGCGUUAUUGUUGAAUCAAAUGUGUCCAAAGUCCAAAGUUUUAGUGUGAAUUGACUAAAUUUUAAUUAAUAUAUUUGAUUGAUUACAAGUAAAAAUAUCAAGCUACUCUGCAUUUAAGGUGGCUCGACUCGAAAACUUCUUGAAAAUUACACAAGUGAAGCUUGAAUUGGUUCGGAACUUAUAUCAAGCUCAUAUAGUACACUAAACAAGUGAAACUACUUGAAUUCGUUGAGAAUCCAAAUCAAGCUUGAACAUUUUACUAUGACACUACCCGAAUUUUUUUACACAUUUAACCACCGUCUUCCUCAGGAAAACGUCCCUAUUUAAGACAAGAUCAGCCCACAGUUUUCUUCCAUUCACCAUCACUCUGCUUAGCUCUAGUUGUGUGUUCUUGUAAAGCACUAGCACACUCCCUCUCCAUCCCUCCUUCUUGUACUUGUAUAUUGGAAUACUCCACCUUUGAGCUUAUCCUUAACACUAUAAUUCUGUCUCUUUCAAUCCGGAUCGCUACAAUAGUAUAUAGAAUCCCAAAUUCUUCGAGCAUCAUUACAAAAAAAGAUGUCAAGCCGAAGGUCGAGGUCAAGGCAUUCAGCAGCUUCAAGGAUCACUGAUGAUCAAAUCAUUGAUCUUGUAUCUAAGUUGCAGCAGCUUCUUCCUGAGCUUCGCAAUAGAUGCUCAGAUAAGGUAACUGUCCUUGCCUCAUUUCUUCUCUGAGCCUAUCUCCAUAAUUUUCCUUUUUUGUUUGGCUUGGGUGCUAGAAACGCAAAAGAUAACAAAUUGAUGAAGAAUAAUAUUUCUUUAAAGCACACUUGAGCUUAGUAUAGACAAGCUUAUGAUGUUAUUAGAAAGAUCGCUUCUCGAAUUAAGAAAUGAUUCCAUAUGGAACAUGAUUAUGGUGUCCAUCCAAUAUUUCAAGGCUUUCUUUCUUCUUUUUUUUUUCUUAAUUAUAAAAAUGAGGUCAUAGUUGCUCUUUCCGGAUCUCAUGUUUGUAAAAUGAGGUAUCUAGCUGGCUAAGGAAAUCGACCGAUUCUUGCAGGUUUCAGCAGCCAGGGUCUUGCAGGAGACAUGCAACUACAUCAGAAGCUUGCACAGAGAAGUUGAUGACUUGAGUGAGAGGCUGUCUGAAUUGCUUGCAAAUUCAGACACCAGCCAAGCAGCCCUAAUUAGAAGCUUACUUAGUCAGCAGUCUUAAUCAAUCCAACUGCUGCUUCCUUAAUUACGUUGUACUUUCAGCUUCUUUCCAGGUUUUUGUCACUCGCAUUUGACUAGCUAGAUGAGUUCAUCUGGAAUGAUCAAACAACUCCUAUGGAGAGCUAUUUUAGAUGUAUGUAAUAAAGGAGUCUUAGCAUUUAGAAAUGCUCCCAAUUUCCUUAUGUAUCAAAGUUAAGAAUUCAGUCGCACAUCCUUUAAGUUGGUGAUCUAUAUUGCUUCUGGUACAUCUUUGGGACUGAAUUUUACUUUCUUAUGCUUGACAUUAUUAGCUUUAAAGUUGGGCCUAAUUCUUAGCAAAUUGCAGUUGUAUUGCAAAAUCUGCACCAGGUUAUUUCGUGCAAGAACACUGAAGGAAAUUUUUUUGUGCUCGCAUUCAGUCAAGCUGAAGUCAAAUAAUAUUACGAAUUUGAUCAAGCUGAACAACUUAUGAAUAACUAUAAAAUGUAAGCUUAACUUAUGUACAGAAACUUCAAUGAAAUCAUUUACAUUAGUUUUCAGAAUGACCCAGAAGGCUAUUAAAAAUAAUGUUGAAGGAAUUAAGUUCUAACCAGACCAACAAUGAAAAAAAAAAAGGAAGAUAUAAAGCCAGAGUAAGAGAUUAAAGCUAGUAAUUGUGGAUAUUCCUCAUAAAUUGACAAAAUGCUUUAGGCCUAUUUUUCAUGCCUAUUUUUGAGGCGUCAUCGUUUUGCCAAUCCAUGCACUGAUAGUUCUUUAGAACCCAAAUGAUAAAAUUCAUAUUUACUCGAUAUGUUCAAGAAUCUCAGCUGAGUAGCUGUUACACAAACUAUACUGAGACUAUAUAUUUUAAACACAUGGAAGUAAAAAGGAUAGCCAGCAGUAUGAGUUGUGACAUUGUAACCUUGACUUAGUAAUUUCUUGAACGGGUUAUUUUUUUUUAAAUAUACUUAGAUAUAAAUAUAAUUUUCUGAAUUAACAUCUGUCAAAGCCUGACAUAUUCACAUAGUUUUUUUUUAAAGGACAUAUUCACAUAGUUUACCUACCUAACCUUUUAGAUUUUAUUACCUGAUUAAGUCAUGAAAAGAUGUGAGAAAAUUAAGUCAAAACCGGCAACAUAGAUCGGCACAUGGAAGUAAAAAAGGAUAGCCAGCAGUGUGAGUUGUGGUGUAGUCCCCCGACAAUGUAACCUUGACUUAUUAUUUUUUUUUUUAUAUACUUUGAUAUAAAUAUUUUUUUCUGAAUUAACGUCUGUCAAUGCAUGAUAAAUUCACAUAGUUUACCUACCUAAACUUUUAGAUUUUUUAAAACUGAUUAAGUCAUGAAAAGACGUGAGAAAAUUAAGUCAAAACAGGCAACAUAAAUCAGCUCAAUUGACAAAAACGGGUGAUUUCCUUAUCUCUGAGCCAUGAUGGUGAUCAGAGUUGAACCUAUUCAAUUUUUUUUUCCAAAAAAAAAAAGGUCAAGACCAAGAAUAAAAGCAAGCGCCAACUUUCACUCGGGAAGAACCUACCAUGUCGUCCAUGUUCUGGAUUUUAUAUGCUACGUCUCUAGAACGCUGUACAAAUCAACUACUAAAAUUUUUAAUAUGUAAAUGAUGAAAAUCAAGGUCAAUUAUUAUUUUGCACUAACAUUAUCUUUUUCCUUCCAUGUAAUGAUGUGCACAUAAAAUUAUGCAUUUUAUACACUGGUGCUAGCUUCAUAUGUGCCUAAUUUUGGGGAAAAUAACAAUCAUGAGCAUCAACAUCUGCCGCUCCCAAGAGAACUAUACGGGGAACAAUAAUUACAAAACUACAAAGUAGAAAAAAUAGCAAGAAGAAUUCAAUAUGUCCCUCAUUUUUUCGACCUACAACUGCAUCAUCUUCUUGUUGACUUGAAAAUUUUAUGCUUCAUUUCAUUAUGUAUACUUCAUCCUUUGCAGGGUUUCUGGCUCUACUUGUCUAGGCCAUGCAGCCACAUUAAUUAUCAUGUUUUUCUUGAUUUGUUUUUCUAAAGUUCACUAAAUACGAGAUUGAUGUGGCUACCGAACUGUUAGAUUUGUGACGACCCUUUCUUACGUAGGUCUUAUAUUUUCGAUAGUUAAGGCUCGAUUCUAUAACCUUCCACUAGCCGCAGUUGGUGAUUGAAUCAUGUUCUGGAGCAACAUGUGAAUUUACAAGUAAAAAUAGUGGGAAAAACCCUUUAUAAGAAAGAGCUAUGUUGAACAGUUACCACAUUUCUGUUUGAUAUUGUUAUGGCCAAUCGCAGUUAUGUGCCCAUUAGGUAAGUUUUGGAUGUCCCAAUGAGUUCUUGAAGUAUCAUGAGUUAGGAGUAAAAAAGGCAUUGAAUGAUGGUUUCAAAUUUGUAGGCAGUAUAUAACAUACGGCUAAAAAUACUAGGUAAACCUAAUUAUAUAGACUAUGUGCUUCAAGUAAUUGUGUGUUUUCCAUUAUUGUUUGUAUCUUCUUAAAAAGCACAAAAAUUUAAAAGCACGUUGGUCUACAAAGCUGUCUAUUCAUGUAUUUUUGUAACAGUUGUUGUGCUUGUGCAUUGCCGUCGAGUAUAAUAUUAGUGGUCAUACCAAGUUUUUUUUUUUUCCUAUUUGAGUUUCAAUCGACUCGAAUGGUUGCACCAAAUUAUGCGUGCAAUAUAUUGUUAUUGGCUACUGUAAUAGGAAUAAUAACAAUAAUAAUAACAAUAACAAUAACAACAAUAAUAAUAAUAACAAUAAUAACAAUAAUAAGAAUAAGAAUAAUAAUAGCAAUAACAAUAACAAUGACAAUAAUAACAAUAAUAAUAAUAAUAAUAAUAAUAAUAAUAAUAAUAAUAAUAAUAAGAAGAAGAAGAAGAAGAAGAAGUAAGUGAUUGAUGAAUGUGGGCAGAAAUUGACCAGAGGAACCAUUUCGUUUGAUCAAUUACUCUCUAAGAUAUAUGAUUCUAAAAUGUGUCCAAGCAAUUUAGGAGGGUGAUUUCUUAUAUGAAACAUAAAUUUAAGCGCCAAUUAGGAUAAGUUGGAGAGGAAUGAAAUCAAUUCUUACAAGCAAAAGUUCAGGAUUGGAAGCGACCAAAAGUCUAAUAUCUUUCAUUUUUUGAGGUUUCAAAAGUCAAUACUUUAAAUAAUUGAACAAUAAGAAUAUAAAAAUUUGAACUAAGUACUAUGAAAGUUAACAUAAAAGUUUAGUCCAAAAACUUUGAACCUCUUGUUUUUUUUUUUUUUGUGUGUAAAUUUAAUUUUGAUUUUGGAAAGGCAGGAAAGGAGACUAAAAGUUUGUCAUAAAUUGGUAAUACUGAAAAAUGAACAAGUUAACAAACUAUGAAAAAUAAAAUGAUAAGAUAAAACCAACAAAUAAUAAUAUUAAUGAAACAAAAGUAGUUAACAUCAUGACAAACUGAAGAAUCUAAAAAAAAUCAAGUAGGAUUUGCAUAAAAAAUGCAUCAAAUAUUUGUUAAGACUGAAAAAUAAAACAUUCCACUACAUAUAAGGUUUCAGGAAUAUUAAUGCAUGAAAGUCUCCAACGAUGAGUUCAAUAAUCAAAUGCAAGCCUCAAAUUUCUUCUAAAUGGGUGGGGGAAGAGAGGAAGUUUGGGGAAGACAAUUUUAAAUUGGCUAAUUGAGUUUGGUGGAUUACCCAAUUAUACUCAUUUAUUAAAUGGGUAUCAUCGGAUAAGUGAAUAACCCAUUUAUAUCCAUAUGUAAAAACUUAAGAUAUCCAUAUCCAGCUAUUCAUGGGUAGGUAUGGAUAAAUUUAGUUAAAUGGAUUUAUUUGCCACCUAUAAUUUCAAGUUUGCAAAAUCACAGUGAGUUUCCAUAAGUUAUUUUUUUACCAUUUUGUCUCAAUAACUUUACUCUUACUACCUCCCUUUUCUUCAGAAUUGAUGAGAACAAUCUAGGAAAUUGUGCCACAUUUCAAUUGACAUCAGCAUCAGUGCAUCACGGGUGACUUGAAAUAAGUAAUACAAUAUCAAACUUCAAAUUAAGAAACUUAAUAUAACUCCAUUAGAGACGUGUGUUGAUUUAAGACUAACGACACGAAAUGACACGGUAUGGAACCGUGAUAUACCGGAGGGGCUACAUGAUUCCAAAGAGAAACAAGAUUCAGCAAGAAUCUUAACCCAAAUAACAUAACAAGUGUUAAAAUUCAAUAAUAUUGUCAAAAGUCUAAAAUAGUGUUCGUUUGCCCGGAAAAGGGAAGAAAAGUGAAAGAAAAUAACUUUCAUGCAAGUUUUGAACGUUUGUUCGUUAAGAAACUUAUGGACUUACCACAUAAAAUUUUUCUGUAAAAUUUUGUCCUGCUGAAAUUGAAAGGAAAGUGAGUAACAGGAAAGUUUUGACUAAUUAGAUUUCUUUUACAACUCCUUUCUUUCAGAAUACUCCAUCAAUAGGAAAAACUCAUUUCUUAUAUGAACACCCUCUAUGUAGGGAAACCAAGAAAAUACUCAACCAAGAAUCUUAACUUGGGGCGCACCCAGAGGAACAAGGUAUAAAAUCCAAACAACACAACACGUGUUAAAAUCAAUAAUGUUGUUAAAAGUCUGAAUGAUUACAACAACCCUAAUAAACUUAUCUAUAGGCACACAACCACUGCCAGAAAUACGAUUUAACUAUUUAACUAACAAAAGACUGCUAAACCUUCUAUUACAAUAGAAUAUGAAAUAAUAAAGAAAACUGUUAAAGCUACAUUUUUGUUCUUGAGCAGAUCAAUGGAUGGAGACGAUGAGUUCGUGAACCCCGGGUUCUUCAUUCCGUAUCAUGAAUGGUCCAUAAAAUCUCCUCAAAUUAAAGAACUCUUUUGACCACUCAACACUGUCAAAAUUGGGACUGGUUAUCUUGCACAAUAAAAGUUGGUUAAGAUUGGACCAGAAGGUCCAGGACAGUAAAUCUUCUCCGAAUAAUUCGUCAUAUUCAUAACACCCGUAAUUUGUCCGAAGAAAAAAAAUGUAUGAUAGACUUUUAAUGCCUGAAAGUAGAGGUGGCAAAAUGGGCGGGAUGCGCGGGAUUUGCUUGGGUUUGAGAUAGAAUCCAGUCAUAUGGGUUCGGAGCUAACCUUAUCCAUAUGUGUUUUGGGACUAAUUUGGGCGGGAUCACUUUGGAAUGGGUUUAGAUUGAUCCCGCCCAAUACCCAAAUCUAUUUUCUACAUAUUUUUUUCUUUUAAUUCAUUUUUAUUUUUUAAAUAACUUUAAUAUUUUUAUUUAUUAAAUUUCUUUUAGUCUUAUUGUGAAUUUAUAUUUUCAUGAACUCAUUUUACACUCUAUGCAAAGUUCUUAGGAUAACUACUCUGCUGCCUUGAUAUUUGAUAACAUAAAACAUUUGAUUAAAGUUUUGCAAUUGAAUAGAAAAUUACAAGAUAAGCUCACAGCAAGAAGGAUCCUUCUCUUUGAUCACCGAAGAGAAAUUGGCAUUCCUAGAUGUAAGUUAAGCCUAUGUGAACGCUGCUUCGAUUUCUUUGUACAAUAUUGGAACAUUUAAAAUACAAAGAAAAUGACAGAAGAAAAAUUUUAUUGAGAUCUACCAUGUAGAAAUUUUGUCAACCUCAACAUUUCCAUUGUUUUAUUUCAUGAUUCUCGUCAGGGGUUUCACUCUGGAUACAACACAAAGUAUUCAAUGGAAAGUCGUGUCAAAGUACUUGUUUAUACACCAUUAGUUCCAUUUUCAAUGAGUAGGACCCGGAUUAAAUUUUACGAAAUCCCGCCAAAUGAGCUUCUUGAUAUUCUCUUCAGUGAUGGAUGGCUGCUCAAAAUAAAAAACAAAAGGCCUAAGACAAACAGGCUCCUAUCAAUGAGGUGCCAAAUAUGGGUGGGGAGAUAUUUGGGCCCAAUGGGUACCCAAGUAUUUCCUAACAUUUUUCAUCAAUUAAUGGUUACAAUUGAAAUAUGUUCCAUUUUAAACCCAAUAUCAAAUUAUAAUACCCAUUCCGCUCAAAGUCCCUUUGGGCAUAGGUAACACAUUGGGGUUUGGGACAAAUUGUCACCUCUACAUGAAAGUAUUGCUUGAUUUGUUAUUUGGUCUUCCGUAUAAUUGACCACAAAUCUCUAGCCAUCAAUACUACAAUUGACUACUUUCCCCUGCUAUCACUAAUUGGCUAAAUCUAAGGAGUCGUUUGGUGAAAAUUCACCAACUACAAUCACUGUGAUUUUAAUUUACUAGUUAAUAGUAAUGGACUGUUGCUAUGGUUCAGGUAUGGGUUUUCCUUCUUCUUCUUUUUUCCCCUUUUCCUCACUCUUUUUCUUCUAUUUUUUAGCCACUCUCUGUUUCUUCUAGUACUUUUUAUUUUUUAUUUUUAAUUAAAAUAUGAGAUACAUGGAUAACUAAAUAUUACUGAAAAAUAGUUAAUAACAAAACCUAUAGAGUGGACUCAAUAUAUAUUAACUCACUCCGAUUGACCUUAACCAAACUAUAAGUAUCACUAUCAUUAACUUUCAAACUAAUUCCUCAGUGUGAAAUCCACUUACCAAACACUGCCUAAGUUUAUGCUGUUUAAAUUGCUAUAUAUAAUUAGUUCUAUAGUAAUUAUGGAUCUUAUAGAGGAAGUUUUUAAGUUGAUGUGGUCAAUCAGUAAACUACAAUUUUAAGUGCUUGUAUUAAGGCCCUGUUUAAUAAUUCAAUUCAGCACUUAAACUUAAGGGAUUCAGAUCUUAAUAUAUUCAGACGGUUUGAUAACUAAAAAUUGAAAUUUGAAUUAAUUAAGUGACACUGAAUUUUUUAGGUAAAACUUAUUCCCAAAAGUAAGUAAAAAAUUAUUUACUUAUCACUGAAUGUAAUAUGCACUUAAAUAUAUUAUAUUUAAUAUUUAACAAUUCAAUAACUUAAUAUAUUCAGACUUCAGAUUUCAGAUUCCAAAUUUCAAAUUUCAGUUUUCAGAUUUCAGUUUUAUUAAACACACCCUUAUAACUUAAGUGCAUCAAAGUUAUACUUUCAAGAAGAUGCAAUGCAGUUACUAUGAUGUACUGGUAGAGUAACAAGUCUAAACUCUAAACAUAUUUCCAAAAUAGUAAAAUGUGGAAAGAAAAGCAACCGCUUUCCGUUAGCUACAUAUACAGCUACAUCUUUGACUAGGAACUAAACCCUUUUUCCUUAAUUCGAUUUCUGCCAAGGAAAUAUUCUCAUCCUAUGCAAACACAAAGUGGGAAAACUUGAUUCAUCUAUACCGCAAUGUUCGUUCAAGGUAGCUUCAAUUCGUUGACUAGAUUCAAGUAUGCCUUUCUAGCAAAGCGAUAAUUUUCUUGCCAGAGCAAUUUUAUCCAAAUACCAAUAUUACCCUCAAUUGGUCAAUCUCAUAUAUUCCAAUUAAUUUUGAUGGAACUCAUUAUCCACUAAUUACCUUUUAUCUUCCUCUAUCUCAUUAAACCAGUGAUAGUUUUAGCUCUCUCUCUCACUUCCCCUCCUAAUACUCCUUCCCUUCUCUUUGCAUCUUUUUUAUUUUACAAUUUCUUUUCAUUUUUUUGAGAACUUUGCAGAAUGUGAUUCAAAAAAAUUUUUUUUUUUUUUUGCAACCAGUACAUUAUUAUAGAUUUUUAUCAAUUUGUUUCCAUCUCCUUCAAGGUUCUAAGUGCUUUUUAUUAUAAGUGCUUUACCUGUUCUUGGGGGUUUCAUCAUUUUUAGUUGAACCUUAAACCUUCAUGGUGCAAUGGCUACUUUAGUGAACAAAAUCAUAUUUGUUGGCAAGAGAAAAGGGGUAAUUAAGCCAUAUCAAAUCCUCCAUACCAAGAGUUUUUGUUUUUUUUUGCAUAUUAUAAAAUUAGAACCUCGAUGUCUAAUUUUUUUAAAUUCUUAUGUUUUAUUAAAAACUCUGGGAAAACUGUGUGAUUAAUAUUGUGAUGUCAUUGGAACUCAAUCCUAUGGUAUACCUCACAGGGUUUAUUUCUUUGAAUUUUCUUGUUUAUUGUGCCCAUGUACAGUUAAUCUCCUUACGCACUUUACAAUCUUUUCCCCUUUUUACUGUAUUAUAUAAAUCUUGACUUCAACAUAUGUCCAUAUUUUCUAAUAACUAGAUUAAAGCAAUUUAAAAUUGCAUUACUUUCUAUAUCCGAAGGAAAAGUGUGUCUACAAUUUUUUGAUUAUUUUCACUUUAGAUUGUUAGUUAUUUGUGUUAAAUCAUGUUGUAUUUGUGAAAAAUAACUUUUAAGUACAACUUUGAAAAGAAAAAAUAAGAGCACUUUAAAGAAAAAAAUUACAAUAUAAGAAAAAACUAUGGUAAAAAACUCAAAACCAAAUUAGUGAGUUAUGGAAAUAAUAAGUAAACAAAUUAAAGAAGAAGAAGAAGAAGAAGGCAAACCAGUCAAUUAAUUAGAAAGAUCGAGAAGAAGAAUCAAUUAGUUAGAGAGAAGAAAGAGAAUACUUAGUGGAUAAUGAGCCCCAACGAAAUUAAUGAGAACAUAUGAAGUUGACCAAUUAAGGGUAAUAUUUUGAUAUUUGGAUAAAAAUUACUCUGAUAAGAAGAUUAUUGCUUUGGCAGUAUGGCCAACUAUGCCUUUCUAAUAAAGAGGUUCCUUGCACACAUAAAAAUUGUUGAAAUCUAUAUGUAAGGUUCUUCAAGCAAUGCAUUUAAAAGGAAUUGAUACCAAAUAUAUUGUGAAAUUCAUUCCCAAAUAUAGGACAUUCAAUUAAUCUGGAUUUGUCAAUUAAUAUGUAUAUAUUUAUAUAGUAGAUUAAGUGAAAUUUAAUCCAAAUGUGUUAAUGGAUAUUCAUUUGAAAGUCCCUUCUACUAAAACCAGUUGUUGAAAUCUUUAUAUAAGAUUCUUGGAGCAAUGCAAUUAAGAGGAAUUGAUUUCAAAUAUAUAUUUGCGAAAUUCAUUUCCAAGUAUAGGAUAUUCAAUUAAUGUGGAUUUGUUAUUGUGAACCCAUUUGGUAUCAUUGGUCAAACGUUUUAUCCCUACUUAUUUGUAGGGUGUUCAGUUGAACUCCUUUCUUGAAUUCAUCUUAAUCAGGAGAUACCAAUCCUUACUUGAUACUUCACUUUACUCCAGGAAUUACUUUGAACCUUGAUAAAGUCUUUCGAUGUAAUUAACAUUCCGAGGAACAAACUUGGAAUAGCAAAGGAAACUGCUAUCAAUAUAUAAUCAAUUUUUUUUUUCACAUAGGAAAGUAGGAAAAAAGAAAGUGACUUUUUAAGAGGGAGCUAACAAUACGAAGUCAACAUAUCUUUAGCAAAGCCAUGAAUAGCAACCUAUAAAAGUAGGGUGUCUGACGGGUGUCCAUAGGACAUUCAUUAAAAUAUAUUUUAAGCGUCAUAUUUUUGAAAAUAUAAAAUUAAUUAGAAAAAGUAAAUAAAUAUAAGGAAGGAUGUGCAAGAUUAAAUAGGACAAAUAUAUAAAUGAAAAAGAUGAUAAUAGUUGUUCGUUUAUAUAUAUAUAUAUAUAUAUAUAUAUGGUAAGUUAAUUAAGUAACUAUUAGGCUAGAACACGGUUAGAAAAACCCAAAAAAUUAUACCGCAAAAAAAAAAAAUGUGGACUUGGAACAAAUGUUUUAGAUAUUGAAAUGAAGAUUAUUUUUAAGAUAACGUUCAUAUAUUUUAAGCUUGUAUAAUUAGAAUACCUGGUGAUGUCUUAGAAUCACGUUUAACGGCAAUGUAUGAAAUUAAUUUUUUGAAGUGAUGUAAAAUUAUAUUAAAAAAAAUUUCACAGGGUUGUCUUACAUAGAUAAUAUUUUACCAUAAAAAUAAACUUCUAUAAAUGAAUUUGUAGUGCUAUAUUUCAAUAAAACUCAUAAAAAAAAUGUGUCACCAAAUUAAUUACAUUUCCUUAGGAUCCCACAUCACAAGAUGAUGAUACCGUGCGUGUGGCAUAAUAUUGAAGUAGUUUGGUAAACGCGUCUUUAGUUGGACCAGUGGUAAAAAGCUCGACUUAUCUGUAUUAUGAGGUAAACUGAUCAAUUACUCUUGCGUCCUUCUGAUACCAAAAAAUAUAUAUAUAUUUCAAAAAUUGUAGAUAAUUCAGUUGCAAAAAAAAAAAAAGUACUUCGCCCAUUUUUGAAAAAUUUUGAUUGUCUCUCUAUGUGAAUAACAUUAAAAAUUUGCACAUAAAUGCGUAACAAUAUUGAUGAAGAUGUACAUUACUUUCCUCCAAAAAAAAAAAAAAUCGUAGAAUACGGAGCAAAGUCUUGGAGCUUAAAUAUACUCGAGCCCACAUAGCAAAAAGAGUGGAACCAAACCAAUGAUUAUGUGCCUAUUAGCUAAUUAUAAUGAGAAUUAGCCAAUUAUUAGUACAAGGAAAAUACGAAGAUGAUAAACACCGAACUCUCAACUACUAAUUUUUUAAAUUUAUAAUUAUUCUAUAAUAAUUAUCCCAUAUUCUAUAAUAAUUAUCCCAUCUUUUUAUCACUAUCUAUUUUUCAGUAUUUCCACCUCCGAAGAUACAUUUCCUGAUUUUUAAAAAUUUCAAAGGAUAUAAAUAACGUUGAAAGGAGUUUUGUAUACAGCUCUAAAUUCAACAACAAAUUCAGCUAUAAUCUAAAAAUGUCUUUGGACAAAUAUACCCUCCAAUUCGCAUGCUCCAUGGCUCACAUCUCCCCUUCGGAAGGAAAAAGGGUAUAACAGUCCAAGAAUGCCAAAAGAUACCCAAAAUUCGCCAAGUAUUUCCAGCAUGCAUCCACCUCGUGGAGGGCAAAAUGGUAAUCACAACCUGAUGACGGCAUCGACAAAAUGUGACCAAUUAACCAACCAACAAAACUACUUGUUACAAAUAACAUCUUGAAUUCCAUUGAGCUUCCUUUACUUGAUCGAACAGCCCAAAAUUCAGUUAUUUCAACACGUCUCACGACAGUUAUGGCUAUGUUGUUAUAUUCUUCUUAACGUAGCCUAUAAAUUCUCUGCCACCAUUUCUCAGAUUUUGCCUAGUCUCUUCUUCAUCUUCUUCUUCAUCUUCUAUGUUCUUAUCCUAUAAUUUUACACUGAAAAGAUGAAGAAAAGCAGCAAUGGCCAAAAUCAAGAAAUUGAUGCAUUUUUAUCUGUAUCAAUUUUGUAAGAGUAUUUGACAACAUGGGCAACUGCUUUGUUAGGCCAAAACUUAAGAAAGUUGAACAUGUUAUGAAUCCUUACGCUUCUAAUUCCAAACUUAUGCAACCUCCCAACAACGUUGUCCUUCCCCCUAGAGGAUUCUCUGCCCCAGGUAACUUAUUUUAUUUGAAUUCAUUUUUUGUUUCUAAAUUUUUCCUAAUGAUUGCAUGCAUGCAAUUACUGGCUGGCGUUAUUUUGUAUCAAUUCCUACCUGAGAAUUUGGGUUCUUAAUUAUGGAUUGAAAGUUGAUAAUAGGUGUAUUUUCAUCGAUCAACCCUUAAAAUGUUCAUUGUAUGGCUAGUGUUUACAUCGUUUUCCCCGUAUCGAAAUUCAUCUGAAUUCUAAAGUUGGAGAUGAAGCAAUUUCUUGGGUUUUUGGCAGUAUUUCUUUGGUUGGGCCAUGUUGAAGAAGGCUUUACUCAGUAUGCUUUUGCACGCCACAAACAAUGUAGCAUUGGUUUUUAUGUCUCUGUGUACCAUGAUUGAUGAUCAAGUUGUUAAAGCUUACUUUUGGAAUUUUCUUGCUAUUGAUCUGUAUUCGUAAAUUGAUUCCUUUCUUUCAAGCUUUUUUUUUUUUUUUGUGUGAGAUGUUUAUUUCAAGGAAUCAAUUUAACUUCUAUUGAAUGACUUUAAAUAGGACUGUUUUUUCAAAACACUUCCAAGCAAGAGUUGUUUAGAAUUCUCAAUGCAGAGUGAAGGAGUUUGAUUUCUUCUAUAAAGAGUAUAAUUAGGCAAUUAUAUGCUUCGAAUAGUACACAUAAGAUUGAUACAUUCUGGUAAAAAUGGAGUUUUCUGCAGUUGUUUGAGAUGACUUCUUGUUAGAUUGUGAUAUAAAUUUGGAGUAUGUUUCAAAAUUAACGCAAACGUCCUUAAUUAGCAGCAUUAAUUUGAAAGGAUUACCAGGAUGACCACCUCUUUGGUGUGCCAAUAUGGUUUUGCUAGGACGAUCUAAGGUUUAUGAAGAGCUUAAGGCAUCAUCAUAAAACUCCUUUAGGGACCAGUAUCAUGAUGAAAAACUUUGAGAUUUUUGCAAUUUACCCUUCUUAAAGACACCAUCGGUUUGAACCUUGAUGAACUCUGUCUUCAUUUUCUUCGUUUCGUAUUCAAGGAGUACAAGUGAAUUCCUAGCAGUUAUCAACUCUUCAAUGAAAUUGGUAAACUUAAACUAUCCGAUUCUAAUUAGUGAAAACAAGAUCUUGAGGCAAAGAGUUACUAAAUAGAUUCAAAGUGAAUUCUAAAAGAUACUUUCAUCUCGAUGCCAGUUUAGCUGAGCGGCUUGGAUGAAAAUUGUUGUCUUAUAAGUGCCAUUUCCUAGAUUUCAGUUCUUACUUAUGUAGCCACAAGCAAGGAGAAAUAAACCAUAACAGAAAACUAGGUAAAUAACUUUAGCUAGCUAGUACACCUCCCACCAAUGUACGAAGAAGUGGUGGAAAGAUUGGUAUUGGUGGAAAAAUAGUUUAUUCAUGGAACUACUACAUUGCCCUUGACGACAACUAAAGUUAUGCAUUUCUUCCUUUUCCUCUUUUUCCUCAAAAACUUGUUGUAAUGUGUAUGCAAUUGUAUUUUGCGAAGUUCAAGAAGAAUUAUGAGUAAAUGUUUCACACUUUGAGUAGCAUUUUAUGGACUGACUCUUCAAAUUGCUUAUGCUUCCUUCCCUCUUUUGGCAUAUGCUACAGCUUAAUUUUUAAGAACUUUGUCCUGAUACGGAUCUCAUAGAUCGUAUACCAUAUAAUAAUGAAGAAUCAAGCCAAAGAAUUGCUCAGUUAGAAAUUUUGGGAUCAACCAUUGGACCAUGGAGUCGAUCUUUACCAUGUUUGCAUAGUAAUCUUAUCUCUUCUGCUUAAUUAUCAUCUUUUUUUUUUUUUGUCUUUUCUUGCUUCAGGUAUUGCAUUUCCUGACCAACGUAGUCAUCCUUUACCUAUGCCAACUCCAGCAGCGCAAACUUCAACAGAUAAGAAGAGAAGUGGAGUUUUACCAAAUCCGCCAACUCUAGCACCUCAAACUUCAACAGAGAAGAAGAGAAGCGUAGUUUUACCAAAUCUGCCAACUGAGAGUCAAAUUUUGGCAUCUCCCGUCUAAAAUCAUUUUUGUAUACUGAACUUUGUAAGGCCACUCAAGACUUCUGUCCCGAAAAUCUCGUGGGUGAAGGUGGCUUCGGUUGUGUUUACAAAGGAUGGCUCGCAGAAGAUACCCUUAAUGCUGCAACACCUGGUUUAGGCAUGGCUGUUGCAGUAAAGAAGCUUACACCCCAGGGGUUUCAAGGCCACAAGGAGUGGUUGGUACGUAUCUUGUACAAAUUUCUCCUUUUGAGUUUUUGACUGAUAACACAUAGUUCUCUCCUUCAGCUAUGAAGUUUCUUUUCUGUUUCUGUUUCUCACGCUGAUGUCUGGUUGAGCAGUCUGAAGUAAAUCAUCUUGGCCGACUUCAUCACGCUAAUCUAGUCAAGCUUAUUGGGUUCUGCUUGAAAGGCGAAAACAGGCUACUAGUGUAUGAGUACAUGCCCAAACAUAGCCUGGAAAAUCAUUUAUUCAAAAGUAAGGAAUUUUAGUUUCAAGAAAAUUUGCUUGGCUACUAUCAUAUUGUAUGCAACACUAAGCACAUGUAGAACUAUAUUUAUCUUUCAGGGUUUGCUAUGGUACAUUCAUUUCAGUCCAGCUAAAAAAUCAUCUUGAUUUGCAGGGUGCAGACAACCUCUCUCGUGGGAAACAAGGGUGAAGAUUGCUGUAGGUGCUGCUCGGGGCCUCUAUUUUUUGCAUAAUUCUGAACCGCCAAUCAUAUAUCGUGAUUUCAAAGCUUCUAAUAUUCUAUUAGAUUCGGUAUGCUAGGUUUUACUUUCCUUCUUUUGGGUGCAUAUAUGUUUCAUUUCAGGAAAUCAGCCAAAGAUUUUGAUUAAACAUGAGCUGUAUUUACUAGAGCAAAGUCUUUUCAGUAUUUUUUACAAUUUCCUGUUGCAUCUGUCCACUUACCUGGAUAACAAUGUCUUACCCCUCAAAAUAACGCUAAAAGAACAGGCUGGUCAAAAUAUGCCUAAGAUGAGAUAGACAGAAACAGGACUAUCUGGAUGACCUCAAAUGGUUGGGACUGAUAUAGUUGAGACUUAAAUCAAGACCCUCUAACAGCUUUACAUUUGUAGGACCUUAAAUCUUCGAUCAAGUAUAUUUUUUAUUCACCGGCAGUUAAGCUGAUAGUGUUUGACAAACUAGUCACAGCUCCUAUCCAUCUAUACAGGAAUUUAAUGCAAAGCUUUCAGAUUUUGGCUUGGCAAAACAUGGUCCAACAGGAGAUCAGACGCAUGUUACUACGAGAGUCAUGGGAACUGAAGGUUAUGCUGCUCCAGAAUAUCUUAGAACAGGUUAAUCUUCUACCCUUCUGAUUACAUAUAUAUUUUUUGUGUCCUGCUUCACAAGGAACGCCUGUAAAUUUACCCAAGAUGUGGCAAAAGAAUUUUGAGCUUGAAACUUGAAAAGUUGCUGUCUUUGUGCUCAGCUGAUUGAUUACUGUGUAUCAAGCGAGCAGGCCUCUAAGCGAACAUUAACUUCUUGUGAUAUUGAAUUUUUGGUUUCACCACUUUGAUGAUGUAUCAUUUUCAUAGAGCUAUAAUACUUUUGGUCCAUUUUUUGUGACUGUUGCCUUAUCUCAAGUUUGGCUUUGCUGAUACAUGUUGCCCAUAAAAAUCAUACUGCGCAGGAUUAUUUUAUGUUUCUUUUGAUUUGAUUAUAUCACUUGGACCGUUUGGCCCCAAUGAACUUCUACUUUCCAGUUUUAAAUGUAUUGACAAAGUUUGCUAAAAUUCUGUGCACAUAUGGGUUUAGGAUAUAACAGAAGCAAGUAAUACACUAUGGUCGUUUAUUGCAUCAGAUUGCUCCAUCCUGUCAAUUGAAUUCCACUUUAUAGUACCAGUUACUCCUGUCUAGAUGCAACUUUUGCUGAGAAAAUAAGGUUCUGAUCCUUCAGUUGGUUCACCUUGUUAGGAAUUCUCAUGUUGUUACUCUCUUUUUGUUACCUUAACAGGCCGAUUGAAUGUCAAAUGUGAUGUUUACAGCUUUGGAGUGGUACUUUUUGAGCUGCUUACUGGUCGAAUUGCUGUUGAUUAUAGAAGAGCUAAAGAGGAGCAGAAUUUGGUUAAAUGGGUAAGGCCUCACCUGCGUGACAAACGUACAAUAGCCAGGAUCAUGGACAGCAGGUUAGAGGGUCAGUAUCCCAGGAAAGGAGCUUAUGUUGCUGCUACUAUUGCAUUAUAUUGUGUGAAUCCGGAGCACAAAUAUCGGCCGCCUAUGGCAGAAGUCUUAGAGUAUUUGGAACACCUCCAAUCACCAAAGUUUCAGAAGUUACCCACUUCGUCAGAUUCAAUGCAACAAAUGCAGUCAAGUUCAAUAUCCAGAUCUCCGCCGCCUGCACUUCACCUUUCACCUCCAAAUUGGUCACCUGUUAAUCGAUCACCACGUGGAUCUUGUAGACCACUUCCUCUAAAAUCCCCACACCGCUCUCGAUUUUCAACUUUCCUGGAAUCAUGACGAACAAUUGAAUGGAAGCAAAUUUUGCUUAUGAUGUUAAUUGUGAUCCAAAGUCCAACUGUGAAUAAAGCUCCAUGUGGGAAAAAUAUAUGUUUCAUCUUUACAAUUUUGAUACAGGUAAUAGCCUUCUUUGGAAAUACAAAGCAUAGAAAAGCAAAAAAGAUGGAGUUAGAACCUUUUUCCUUAGUUCCUUUGUUUCUUUUCUAUAGUUAUUAAAAUCAGUAUCAGCAUCAUUUUCCAUCCCGUCUCAUAGUCUGCAAUGGACACAAUCUCCUCAAUCUUUACAUAGAAAUGCAUGUCGUCAAGCUUUAAGUGCGUGGACUGGACUGUUUGAUUCUAUCCACUUGUGGAGAUGGUUUUGUACAGUGGUUUAGGCGGAAUUUGGCUCUUGUUUCUUUUUAGACAUGGUACUGAUCACCAGCAUAUUGGAAGUCAUUAUUAUGUAUGCUACCUUGUAUUCAGGGAAAGUAGGAAAUGCUAAUGAUCUCUACUUCUAUACAUCUUUAGUGCUGGGAGAGGGUUACGAGGAGGAGGUGUUCACAGUUUGCAGGUGAAUAUGUUGAUGUAAUUGAGGUGACAAACACUUCGCGUUAUGAAACAGCCUAUCGAUCAUUGCAGGGUAAACUACUUCUCGAUGAUUGCUGAAGUAAUGUUCACGACCUGGAUUUGACUUAUAUUUGAACUGGAUCUCAGUAUGAUGGGAAUUGUGCUCUUACCUUGGAAGGGAAGACAAAUAAGUUGAACGAAGGAAAAAGUUGAGUUAUUUGCCCGUGUAUUGUCUGCUUGAUUGCUCUUUGCAGCAGCAAGCUAGAUCAAAGCACUGCUAUGGUGCUGUGUAAAGUUCAGACCAUUGAGAGCCCUUCUCUGUAUCCAUGAGGAGAUGUAACAUGCUUUCCCACAGUUUUGUAAUGGCUCUACGAGGAAGUUACAUCUCAAUGUUUUGAAAAUCGAACAGGAUUGGCCAGUUCAACCAAUUAAACCGUGAACCGACCAUGCCUCCAACCCGAUUCAAUAAAAAAUCAAAAAAUUAAUUGAACAGAUCAAUCUCGGUCAAGAACUAGUUGAAUCAGUAAAAAAUGAUAAAAACUAGGUGGUUCAACCUGUUUUUAUUAAGUUUUUAUUUUUUAAAAUAAAUAUUUUAGUUUUAUUCAAAAUUUUUAAUACUAAAAUAAAUAAAAAAUUAUUAAACCUUUGAACUAGUUGAAUCGAUCAAACUGCAAAUCAAAAAAAUUUUCAGUUCACUCUCCGGUCCGAAUUUAAAAAUAUUGAGUUACAAAUGGUAAAAAUUGCAUAUAUGUAAAGUAGCUUCUCAAAGAAAGUAAGAUUGAGACAUUACUCAAUCAUUCAUUAGACCAUGGAGAUAGGGAACCACAUAAGCUUCAGCGAAACUUCCAUCUGUCAACAACUUCGUAUGUUAACAUUUAUUCCACUAGCAACAGGUGGAGCUUAAAAGAAAAACAAACUUUUGAUUUGAUAAUAUUCAGCUAAUGUGACAAAUGACUAUUGAAAGUAGACUAAAGCACAACAGUAAGGAUUAGGGGCAGGAACGGUCAUCAGAUGGACCGUCCUUGAGUGGUCUCCUCACAAGUGGCAACGAAAUGUGAGAAAUGAUCCACGUCAGGAAGCUUGCAGCAGGGACAAAAAAACGACGCUGUUUGAUUUAGUGAGAAAGUAAAAAAAAAAAAAAAUUAGAAGAAGUGCUGACCGUAACAGACUCGUUACGAAACGUGAGCAUCGAGAAUUAGCAAAGUCCAGUGCAAAAUGAAUCAUUGAAAAUGAAAAGACCCAAUUACACUCCCUCUAAAACGAAACAGUUGCCGAAAUUCACAUCUGCCAAAAAAUAGGGCAAGAUACGAGAGGAGAAAAUAACAGAGAAAAAUAGGAGAUUGGCAACAUACGUGCGACAUUGCGAAAAGAUGUGGAACUGCGGCAUUAUUGAAGGAAAAUCACAGCAAGGAGAAGCAAGAAGUGGUGGCAGAAGAACAAAUUUUUUGUGAUUAGGGUUUAUUAAAAGAACAAGAAAGGUGAACCCAAGUUACAAAGUAGAAGAUCGUGGGAUCCGGAGUAGUGAUCGAGCACAAAGCAGUCAGGUAAAACAUGAGAAAGUCUUAGGUGAUAUAGUAAUGUGCGUAGUUUGACAAAAAAGUGGAAGGACUUUACUUGUGGAUGUUUUUGGUAUACACUAUGAUGAUUGCAUAGAGGGAUGUUACGUGAACACGAUUUUGUGUAUAGUAAUUGAUAAGUGCAGCGUCAAAGGAGUAUUAUGUGUUAGUCUUUGAGUGUCGAAACAGGAGAGUGGGAAAUCUUGCGACACAACUGCUUGAGAAAAUGUGUGCAUGGUAGGUGGAAAAAAUGGGUGUAGGUUGUAAUUACUAUGUGCUAAGUAGAUCAUACGACGUGUUGAGGGUAUCAUACACUGCGAAACCAAAUAAUCAGAAGAUCAUUCAGUGAAGGACGGUUCACACAGCACGUUGGAUGAGUAUUAUCUUAUGUGAAUAAAAAGUGACAUGGAGAAAAAAUGUUACGGUGUGUUAAGGUGUAAAACAUUAACAUAACAAAGUCGAAACAUGGUAUAUGUAAUACAUAGUAUAAGAAAAAAGACUAGAAAAUAACAAAAGCUAUGGGCAAAGGACAUAUUAUAUUGUAUUGUGAAAGUGCUACCUCCUGUAUGUGACCCGAGUCCCAUUUAAAAAAUAGGAUCAUAAAAGAUGAAAUGGAUUGCAUGGAAUUUGAAGAUAGGAGAGUUGGCAAUAAUAUAAAUACGUUAGGCAGAAUAACAGACUGUUGUGUGUGUCAUACUUAGCGUGCAAAAAAUGUUACAAGUUUCGUUAGUUUAUGGGCUACAAAACAAUGUUGGAUAGGUCUUACAUGUAGUGGAUGACUAGGUACAUAACAGAAAUAGAAUAGAAAUGUUAGUGUGAAAUUGGUAUGUUAUAUUUGAGAUUUCAUUGGUGUAUGUGUGUUGUAUUAGUUCAUGUGCAUGAAUACAAUGUUGGAUAAGUCUUGCAUGUUGUGGAUUAACAGAUACAGAGAAGAAACAAAGUAGAAAUGUUAGUGUGAAAUUUGUGUGUCGUAUUUGAGACUUCAUUGAUGUAUACUUAUCCAACAUUAUAUUCAUUGAGACUUCUACAUUCGUGUAUAUUUAUUGUAUUAGUUGCAUAAAGAUGUCGUUUAUUUUAUCAAAACUAAGAGGUAGGAGAGUAGAAUGCAAUUGAAAAAUGUUAGUUAGAAUAAAAAGUUAUCCAUCUGCUUGUUGAAAGAUAGAACAAAAUAUCGGUCCCUUCUCUUAGUUAGUCGUUGUACAGAAUGUGUUACUUAGAUUUGGAAGUAGUAUAUCAUGUGUUACUGUACUUUGUACUGUAUUAUGGAGGUAAAAUCUUAAAAAUUGAGAAGCAGAAAAUUUGUAAUAAAUUUUUGUAACUAAUGAUUGUAGAUGGCACAAAAGAGAUCAAGAAAAUCACCUAAGAAAAUGAGCAGAGAAGAAGAAGGGGGAAUAUGCUGUGAAAGGGAAAAUUAGACACCAUCAAAGGCAUUGAACAAGUAAAUGGGCAGUAUCUUUGUCUAAGCAUGGCCAAUAGGAGGUGACAUACAUAAAUUUGAUUACAAUGUUAAUGAGCAAAGACAAGAUGGCACGGAUAAGAAUCGGAAGACGGAACAAGAGUUUAGGUGAAAAUGAAGAAAUAAAGGCAGCAGGAACAAAUGAAAUCAGACAACCAGUUCCACUGUUGAAUCCGUGGAUGAAGUUCAGGUAAUGUUGAUGUUAAUUAAAAAUAAUAAUCAUGACUAAAACGCACAGUUAAUGGGUUUAUGUUUAACAUGUGUAGGAAGGAGUAUUAAAACACCGUCCCAGUGAAAGGCGUUAAGAUAACAGAGGUAUGCAUGAAAAGUUAAAUAAAUCAUUAAUCAAUAAAAUAGUAACCCAAUAAAAAUAAAAAACACAAUUAGAAAAUACUGAGUUGCAUAUAACAUGAUUCGCGAUUAUAUGCAUUCAAUACAGUAUAAUAAAAUGACCAAAGCAGCAUAUGAUAAGCUGAGCGAGAAAGAUGUACAGAAGCGAAAAGGGAACUAUUGGAAAGAGAAAGAGAAGUACAAGAGAGAAAUGGCGCGACUUGGAAAGGCUAUACUACCAAAAAAGCGGAUGAAGGUAAACACGAAGCAUGGCUGCUAAAAUGAGUUGUUUUGUGAUAUUUAUAGUGUAUGGCUAACUAGUUUUUUUCGUUGAACUUGAUUAUAGAAUGAGAAGUAUACCAUUCAUUGUUCACCAAAUCAGAUGUUUUGGUUAGCAUCAAACAUCGAUGAAAUAAAAAAACAACAGAUCAGAGAUAUGGGGUUUGGAGGGCUGCUGGAAAUAAAGUGUCGCUCUAUUCUGAAUGGCAUAGGAACCUGGCUGGUUGACAAUUUUAAUCCAACACUAAGUAGCUUUCAGUUAUAUAGAGAUGAUAUGCUAUUUUUAAUAGCAAAAGACAUCAGUUUAAUCCUUGCAAUCCCGAAUGAUAGGCUCUUACCGGUUGAAGAUGCUGAUAGCAAUGAGAGUAGAGAUUCUGGAUCAAGUCGCCGAACAUACAAAUGGAAAGAACUGCCAAAGGAGUUAGUAUCCAUGCUCCCGAAUAAUAGCCUCUUACCAGUUGAAGAUGCUGAUAGCAGUGAGGGUAGAGAUUCUGGAUCAAGUCGCCGAACAUACAAAUGGAAAGAGCUGCCAAAGGAGUUAGUAUCCAUGAGCAGUGGGAUACUAACUCCGUUGGCAGCGCUCUUUCCAUUUGUAUGUUCGGUGACUUAGUUCAGAAUCUCCACCUUCACUACUAUCAGCAUCUUCAAUUGAUAAGGGGCUAUCAUUCGAGAUUCCAAAAAUUAAACUGAUGUCUUUUGCUGUUAAAGGUGGCAUACCAUUUCUAUGCAGCUGAAAGCUAUUGAUAAGGGGCUAUCAUUCGGGAUUCCAAAAAUUAAACUGAUGUCUUUUGCUGUUAAAGGUUGUAAGCACAAAUUUUGUUGCCUAAAAUAAAGACAAGAAAACUUGCACAAAUAUCAAAUUGAUUAAAUCAGAUAAUAAGCAGGUUACAAUCUCUGAAAAUUCUUAAAUCAAAGAAAUUAAUCCCCUGAUUCUUUUCUUCGAAUAGUUUCAAUUGAAGGGCCGAAAAGACUUGUUCUCCAAUUGAAAGGAUGUUUCCUACAAUUUCGGCGUAGAAAACAAUUGAUUUGAUGAUGGCGUCAAACACUUGGAACUUCAAGUCUUCAACACCGAUAGCAGGAGGAUUUGUUCGACUUGAUUUGGGCUUGGAUUUGAGGAAGAAAGCUCUUGAGGGAAUUUGACAGAGUUUCUCCGAAUGUUAGGGAUUUUUCUUAUGUCUUUGCCUUGAGGGAAGACCUCUAUUUAUAGCCAAAAUAUGUAGGCUAGGUCUUCAAGAAAACCCUCCAGAAAUCUUCCUGCAUUUUGGGUAACUUGUAACUCAAGAAACCCAUUUAAUUUGGGCUUAAAUAGUGGGCCAACCCAAAUGGUCCAUGGUGAAUUAAUAAAGCAAUCAAUUCACUCUAACUUAAAUGACCAUUAUGAAUUUAAUUUGAUUUAAUAGCCCAUACAAUAUUGACCCAAUUGCCAGUCCAAAACAUAAUGGACUUCUAUAAUUUAAUUUAAUUUAAUCAAGAUCGAUUUAAUUUAAAUAAAUCUCGACUAAAUAAAUUAAAUAAAAUUUCUUUGUCUACAAAGGUAGCAUACCAUCUCUAUGCAACUGAAAGCUAUUUAGUGUCAAAUCAAAAUUGUCGACUAGCUAGGUUCCUAUGCCAUUCAGAAUGGAGCGACACUUUAUUUCCAACAGCUCUCCAAACCCCAUAUUUCUGAUCUGCUGUUUUUUUGUUUCAUCGAUGUUCGAUGCUAACCAAAACAUCUAAUUUGGUGAAUAUCGAAUGGUAUACUUUUGAUUCUAUAAUCAAAUUCAACAAAAAAAACUAGUUAGCCAUACACAGAAUAUCACAAAACAACCCAUUUCAGCAGUCAUGCUUUGUGUUUACUUUCAUCCACUUUUUUGGCAGUAUAGCCUUUCCAAACUAUGUCAUUUCUCUCUUGUACUCCUCUUUCUCUUUUCGAUAGUUCUCUUUUCGCUUCUGUACAUCUUCCUCGCUCAUUUUAUCAUAUACUGCUUUGGCCAUUUUAUUAUACUGUAUUGGAUGCAUAUAAUCGUGAAUCACGUUAUAUGCAACUCAGUAUUUUCUAAUUUUGUUUUUAUUUUUAUCGGGCCACAACUUUGUUGAUUAAUGCUUUAUUUAGCUUUUCAUGCAUACCUCUGUUAUCUUAACGCCUUUUGCUGGAACGGUGAUUUGAUACUCCUUCCUACACAUGUUAAACAUAAACUCAUUAACUGUGCAUUCUAGUCAUGAUUAUUAUUUUUAAUUAACAUCAACAUUACCUGAACUUCAUCCACGGAUUCAACGGUGGAAUUGGUUGUCUGAUUUCACUUGUUCCCGCUGCCUCUAUUUCUUCAUUUUCACCUAAACUCUUGUUCCGUUUUCCGAUUCUUAUCCGUGCUAUCCUGCCUCUGAUCAUUGACAUUGUAAUCAAAUUUAUGUAUGUCACUUCCUACUGGCCAUAUUUAGACAAAGACAUUGCCCACUUACUUGUUCAAUAUCUUUGAUGGUGUCUAGCCUUCCCUUUCACAGCGUAUUCCCCCUUCUUCUCUGCUCAUUUUUUUAAGUAAUUUUCUUGAUCUCUUUUGUGUCAUCUACAAUCAUUAGUUACAAAAAUUUAUUACAAAUUUUUUGCUUCUCAAUUUCUAAAAUUUUACCUCCAUAAUAUAGUAUAAAGUACAGCUAUGUAUGAUAUACUACUUCCAAAUCUAAGUAACACAUUCUCUACAACGACUAAAUAAGAGAAAGUACCGAUAUUUUGUUCUAUCUUUUAACGAGCAAAUGGACAACUUUUUAUUCUAAUUAACAUGUUUCAAUUGCAUUCUGCUCUCCUACCUCUUACCUUUAAUAUAAUAAACGACAUCUUUAUGCAACUAAUACAAUAAACAUACGCCACUGUAGUAGUAAAUAUGACCUAUUAAUCUGAGUACAAUAACAUUUCUAUUCUAUUUCUUCUCUGUACCUGUUAAUCCACAACAUGUAAGACUUAUCCAAAACUGUGUUCAUGUGCACGAACUAAUACAAUAAACAUACACCAAUAAAUUUUCAAAUACGACAUACCAAUUUCAAAUUAACAUUUCUAUUCUGUUUCUGUCCUGUAUAUGUUAAUCCACAAUAUGUAGGAGUUAUCCAACAUUGUAUUUAUGUACACGAACGAAUACAAUAAACAUACACCAACGAAAUCUCAAAUAAGACAUACCAAUUUCACACUAACAUUUCUAUUCUGUUUCUUCUCUGUACGUAUUAAUCCACAACACGUAAUACUUAUCCAAUAUUAUGUUCAUGAGCACGAACUAAUACAACAAAAACAUACACCAAUGAAAUCCCAAAUACGAAACACCAAUUUCACACUAACAUUUCUACUAGGGGUAUGCAAACUUGAAAAAUUUGGAUUUCGAAACCGAUUUCGAAUUAAAUUCGAAAUUUCGAAUUCGAAAUUUCGGUAAUUCGAAACUGAAAUUGCUAAUUCCGUAUUCGAAUUGGUCAAAAUCGGGUCGAAUUCGAAAACAAAAAAUUUGAAAUCGGAAUUACCGAUUUCGAAUUGACGAAUUUGAAAUAAGAAUUCGAAUUAGGAAAUUCGAUUUCGAUUUCUAAUAAUAAUAUUUAAAUAUAAUUAUAAUAUAAUAGUUUUUAACAUAACAAGUAACUUCCGUCUGCUUCCCUAUCAGAUGCCAAAAGCCCUAAUCUCUUAACUCACCUUGAGCUUCCGCCGCCUCAUUCCUCAGAGUCUCACAUUCCUUCCUCCAUCUCCACCGCUUGACUCACCAACUCAGCUUGCUCUCUCUCCCUCUCUUUCACAGUUUCGCCGCCUCUUUCACUCACCGCAUCCAUCACCUCUUUCACCUCACUACCUCAGAGAUUUUCACUAUCCUUCGCAUCACACAUUCAUCUUUCUCACCAGUUCUUCAAGCCCGACAGAGACAGACACCAUCAGCCUUCAUAUUCAAGACCGUCGGACAUCUUCACGCCAUCUUCACUCUUCAUCUUCAAGCCAUCAUCAGCCUUCACUUGAAGAGGACAUUCUGAGGUACGCCAGUGAUUUUACUCACCUUUUUCAUCUAUGUUUCUAGUUUAUUUUUCUUAGGCAUUUCAUCAAGCAGCUUCCAAGCACGCGGUAUAGGUUCUGGUUAUGAUUUUUGGUUGGAUCUUUGGUUAUGAUUUUUGUUUCAGCGGUUCUUAAUAGAGAUGAACGUUCCAUAUUUGGUGCAAUUUGUUGGCUUAUGGUGUUAAAUAGUACAUUGAAAACUGGGUACACUGUGGUGCACCUAAUGUAAUUCAAGCCGGUGACUAAUUGUUGUCGCAAGCUGUAGUAUGAACUUCUGUAGGAAAGAUUUUUAUUUUUGAUCAAGUUUGGAUUUUCUAGGUUCUUUUCGCGAUCAUAUUCUUGAAUGACUCUGUUUGCAUUUUGUGGUUUUGUUAAUUUUGUGGAAAAGGUGCAUUUCGUGAGUGUUUUUCUUGCCUAGUAUUCCUACUAUGACUUUUGUGCGAAAAAAAAACUAAGUGGACUUUGGGAGAAUUUCUAAGUGGAUAUUAACUAAAGACCAUUGUCUGAUGCCAUCCAUAUGGCUUAGCACUUCAAUUUAAAAAGAUUUGCUGAGAAUUUUGACGAGAAAGAAAGAGUCAGAAUGGAGGUAAUGGUAGCAGGUUUAAUUGAAAAGUGGACUUUGGGUUGUCACUGGCUGCUCAUGAAGGAUGAUUUCCAUUCUAAGAAACUAUUAAGUAGCCUGUUAAACAUUAGCAUGUAAUGUAUGGUAAACACGGGAAUUGAAUGUGAUACAACUGAAAACUCUAGAAGCUCAGAAAAGUCAAUUUGAAUAGUACUGGUUCGAUUAUAAGCAACAAAAAUUGUCUGGAUCUGAUGCUAUAUUACUUGCAUGCUUUUAGUAGAACUGGUUGGCCGCCGCCUUCACUAUGGAAAUGAUUUUGUUUGGGACUUGAAAAUGGGAUCAAAUAACAUUUCAAAUAAAUUGUUACAUCCUACACAAUUGGCAUAGUCUUUGUGACUUUCAAAUUUUGGCCAUCUUAUAGUUUUUGUCACUUUCAAACCUGUUUUAUGUUCUUAGGUAUAUUAGCAUAUUUGUGUCUGAAUACUAUAGAAGUAUUACUCAAGUGGAGAAGUUCAAACUUCUGAUUCAUUGAAGUCUAAUUAUCUACUUUCAUUUUCUUUUGCAUACCAGUAAACAUGUCCACUUUUGAGGUGAUAGAAGGUUCAAGUGAUUCAAUGCUAUCUUCAUGUCCAGCUCCCAUUUCCAACAGCUGUGAAGAAUCUGGCCUUGGUGUUAAGAAGAAGAGAGGCAAGUACAAGAAAAGGUCACCAACUUGGGAUCAUUUUCAACCUCACUAUGACCAAGGUGUUCGUCAUGGCAUACGUAACUACUGUACGAAAAUGAUAGCUGCUGAUUCGAAAUCUAAUGGUACUACUCCUCUCUUAUCCCAUGUUUAAUCAUGCGAAACGAAUCCCGCAAAUAAGUGUAAGGGGCAAGGUACAUUAUGCUUGGGUGAAGUUGGUGCUCUUGGGGGGAUGUCAAGAGUGCACUUAUUAGUUGGAAAUAUGACCCUGAUGCAAUUAGAAAGAGCAUUGCUUAUAUGUUGAUUGUUGAUGAAUUGUCAUUCAAACAUGUAGAAGGUAAAGGAUUUCAGCAUGUCAUGAGAACUGUUUGUCCUUCUUUUCAAAUUCCUUCAAGGUGGACAAUUACUAGAUAUUGCUAUCAACUUUAUUUAGAUGAAAAAAAUUAAGUUGAAAAAUAUGUUAAGGCGUAAAACUGUUAGAUUUUGCCUUACCACUGAUUGUUGGACAUUUAUCCAGCGAAUAAAUUAUAUGUGUUUGACAGCUCACUUUAUUGACUGUGAUUGGUAGUUGAACAAAAGAAUUUUAAAUUUUUGUCCAAUUAGUAGUCAUAAAGGGACUGAAAUUAAGAAGAGUAUUGAGAAAUGCUUAUUAGAGUGGGGGAUUGAUGAUGUUUUCACAAUAACAGUUGACAAUGCUUCUUCAAAUGACACGGCUGUGCAAUAUUUGGUUGGAAAAUUGGAAAAUUGGGGUAAAGCUAUAUUAGGAAGAAAGUGGAUUCAUAUAAGAUGUGUAGCUCACAUAAUCAAUUUGAUUGUGAGUGAUGGCCUAAAAAAAUUUGGGGGUCUGUUGAUUCUAUCCGAACUAUUGUGAGAUAUAUUAGACAAUCACUUUCUCGUUUGAAAAAAUUCAAGGAAUGUGCUGAAAUUGAAAAAAUUGACAGUAAAAGAUUACUAAGUUUAGAUGUGGCAAUUAGGUGGAACUCAACCUACUUAAUGUUAGACAGUGCCCAUAGGUUUGAGAGGGCAUUUGAGAGGUUUGAGGAGCAAGAUCCAUAUAUGCUGCAUGAGCUAGAGCACUUGCCAACAAAAGGUGAUUGGGAAAAGGCAAGAUUCUUAACUAUAUUUUUGGAGAAUUUUUAUAAUUUCACACUAAAGGUUUCUGGUUCCAAAUAUGUGACAUCUAAUAAUCUUAUCAAUGAGCUUAGUCACAUUAAUGGCAUCCUAAAAGAAAUGGCAGAAAGUGCUAAUCCCGACUUGAGUGGAAUGGCAAAAGUAAUGAAAGACAAGUAUGAUAAGUAUUGGGGAAGAUUAGAGAAAAUGAACAUGUUGAUUUUCAUUGCUUACAUGCUUGAUCCUAUGACAAAGUUUGAGUAUUUUGAAUUCAUUGCUUGUAAAAUACCGAGGGUGCCGUUGUGGCUCAUGUAGCCAAGGAUGCAAUGUAUGAAUUGUUUAAUGAUUACAAGAGACUCAAUAAUUCUGCUGGAUCUUCUCAAUCCUCUACUUCUUCACUUUCUAGUGGAUCUGAAAAUAGCAUUUCUUCCUUUGAUGGAGAAGUCUCCAAAAAAAUAAAUGAUAGAUACAGAAUUGCAUUCAAGAAAAGAAAAGUUGAACUUGGAGAAAGAAUGCUAAAUCUGAACUUGAACAAAUAUUGAGUGAGGAUUGUGAGGAUGAGGAUCUCGAGUUCGAUAUCUUGAAUUGGUGGAAAGAUAAUAGUUUCGGUUGCCAAUACUUUCGCAAAUGGCUCGUGAUGUGUUGGUUGUCUCGGUCUCUAUGUUGCUUCCAAAUCUGCCUUAGUACCGGAAGACGUGUUCUUGACCCAUUCAGAAGCUCUUUAACUCCAAAGAAUUCUGCAAGCCUUGAUUUGUACUCAAGACUAGUUUCGGGCAUCGAAAAUGAGUUGAAUGUAGAAGAAAAAUUGGAUCUUGAGGAAUUUGAAUCUGGUAAAUUAUCUUCUUUCUUAUUGACAACCUUGAAAUAUUUUUUCUAUUCAUAAAUGCAAUUAAGCUACUUCAUUCUUUUUUUCUUUCUUGAAUAAUAGGUUUGAUCAAAGGAGGUACAGAAGCCACAAUUGUUGAUGUUUAAAUUCUCUAAUGGUGAUUCUGAUUGGUGCUCAUAGAAAUUCAAGUUUGAAAUGUUGUCAAAUUGAAAUGUUGUCUUAUUUGUGUGAAAGGCACUCUGGUUAUAUUUGUUUACCAGUAUAAGUAUUCUCGUAUGAAAGACUGGAAUUGUUUGAUAAUAUUUGAUUUGUAUUAUUUACUGGAAUUGUUUUGUAUUUGAAAUUUGGACUGGAAUGGUGUAUAAGUAUUGGAAUGGUUGUAUAAGUAUUCUCGUAUGAACUAUGGAGUAGUAGAGUUCGUGAUUUAUGGUAUUGGAACAAUGGAAAGGCACUCUGGAGUCUGGAAUGUGGAGUUGAAUAUGGAAUUGUUAUUCAGUUUCAUCCUUUCCUCUUGAAUUUGAGAUAGCCGACUUGUUUUUACUUGUGCAUUCACUUUGAACAGGUUUUCCGUUUUUUAACAAGAGAGGAGAGGGCCAAAAAAAAAAAAAAAAGAGAAUUCGGUGAAUUCGGAAUUCACCAAAUUCCGAAUUCAAUUCAGUAGCGAAUUCGAAAUCGGCAUUAGCCAUUUUGAAAUCGAAUUCGGUCGGGAAAAUUAAGGCCAAAAUUUCAAAAAUUUCCGAUUUCAAACUUCCGAAUUAUCAUUUUCGAAUCGAUGCACAUCCCUAAUUUUUACUCUGUUUCUUCUCUGUACCUGUUAAUCCACAACAUGUAAGACUUAUCCAACAUUGUAUUUAUGCACAUGAACUAAUACAACACACAUACAUCAUGAAGUCCAAAUACAACAUACCAAUUUCACACUAACAUUUCUAUUCUAUUUAUGUUAUGUACCUAUUCAUCCACUACAUGUAAUACCUAUCCAACAUUGUUUUGUUGCCAUAAACUAACAAACUUGUAACAUUUUUUGCACGCUGAGUAUGACACACACAACAGUCUAUUAUUCUGCCUAAUGUAUUUAUAUUACUGCCACUCUCCUAUCACCAAAUUCCAUGCAAUCCAUUUCAUCUUUUAUGGUCCUAUUUUUCAAAUGGGAUUCAGGUCACAUACAAGAGGUAGCACUUUCACAAUACAAUAUAAUAUGUCUUCGUACCUAACUUUUGUUAUUUUCUAGUCUUUUUUCUAUACUAUGAACUACAUACAUCAUGUUUUGACUUUGUUAUUAAUGUUUUACACCUUAACACACCGUAACAUUUUUUCUCCAUGUCACUUUUUAUUCAAAUAAGAUAAUACUCAUCCAACGUGCUAUGUGAACUGUCCUUCACUGAAUGAUCUUCUGACUAUUUGGUUUCGCAGUGUAUGAUACCCUUAACACGUCGUACGAUUUACUUAGCACAUAGUAAUUACAAUCUACAUCCAUUUUUUCCACCUACGAACUUCCAAACCUAUGCACACAUUUUCUCAAGCAAUUGUGCCACAAGAUUUCCCACUUCUUUCCCACUCCUGUUUCGACGCUCAAGACUAGCACGUAAUACUCCUUUGACGCUGCACUUAUCAAUUACUAUACACAAAAUCAUAUUCACGUAACAUCUCUUUAUGCAAUCAUCAUAGUGUACAUCAAAAACAUCCACAAGUAAAGUCCUUCCACUUUUUUGUCAAACUACGCACAUUACUAUCACUCUAGGCUUACUCAUGUUUUAUUUGACUGCUUUGUGCUCGAUCAUUACUCGGAUCCCACGAUCUUCCACUUUGUAACUUGGGUUCACCUUUCUUCUUCUUUUAGUAAACCCUAAUCACAAAAAAUUUGUUCUUCUGCCACCACUUCUUGCUUCUCCUUGCUGUGAUUUUCCUUUAACAAUGCCACAGUUCCAUAGCUUUUCGCAAUGUCACACGUAUGUUGCCAAUCUCCUAUUUUUCUCUGUUAUUUUUCUCUCGUAUCUUGCCCUAUUUUUUGGCAGAUGUGGAUUUCGGCAACUGCUUCAUUUUGGAGGAAGUGUAAUUGGGUCUUUUCAUUUUCAACUAUUCAUUUUGUGCGGGACUUUGCUAAUCCUCGGUGCUGACGUUUCGUAACAAAUCCAUUAAGGUCAGCACUUCUUCUAUUUUUUUUUACCUUCUCACUAAAACAAAUGCGUCGUUUUUUGCCCCUGCUAAAGCUUCCUGACGUGGAUCAUUUCUCACCUUUUGUUGUCACUUGUGAGGAGACAGUUCGAGAACGGUCCAUCUGAUGAUCGUUCCCGCCCCUAAUUCCAGCACUAAGGAACCUACAACUUCAAGCGUCCAAUUCAAUGAAAAAAUAUAUAAAAUUGAAACUGCUCAUUUUCAAUUUGAAUAAGGAUAAGGGUAAAUGUGCAUCACAUUUUCAAGAUCUUCAUUUGCUUCUACAAGGUAAACUUAUAAAAUUUGAGUUUUUUGGUGAGUAUCAUGCUAACAAAAAUGCUUUUAGUUGUUUUAUGAAGUUUUGCUUAGGGUUAAAUGCCGAAAACCUCCAUGAACUAUAGUAUGAGUUGCACUUUGUACCUUGAACUAUUUUAAUGAGCGCUUUACAACAUUGGUCAACUAAACAAUGAUGAAAAAAUAAGUCUAGCCAAGUAAUUGAUCAAGUGACCGAUUUAUCCUCCAUUAAAAGUUUAAGUGACAAAAAUACUCUUUUAGCUAGAAAAAUUUUCACUUUAGAAAGACUAAUUUUAGCUUCAUAUUAAAAGUUUAAUUGAAAAUAUUUACAUAAAGGGACAAAUAUGAAAAAAAUUUGAAGAACUACUGUUACAAUUUCUAAAAUCUCAUCAUCUUGGUUAGCACAUCAUAAUGCCAUAUCUUCACGUAAUAGCAAAAAUUACCUGAAAUCUUACAAGAAUUUAAAUGAAGUAUACCCAAAAAAGAUUAUAUGAAUUUAGCACAAUUAUAUCAGCAAAGGUUCAAUACUACACCCAGAUUAGAACUGGGAAACAAAAUAAUGCACCUAGAAAUUAAAAAAAUUAAAUUAGUUUUAUGCAUAUAAAAAAUUAAAGGUACAGUUCAAAGUUAGAGAAAUAAUUGUCAUUCAAAAUGACCUCCUCCCCUUCUCCCUUGAUAUAUUGAUUUUUAUAUGUUUUGGUAGUUGAAGGUUGAGAAAUUAAGAAUUGAAAAGUUUGCCUCCUUUCGCUUGUAUCAUAAAUACAUUUCCCAAUUUACCUUUUAUAUUUCCAACCACCUUUUUAUCUCACAUACAUCACAUCACAAAAAGUGUUAUAGUAAUUAUUCUAAAUAAUUACUUGGAAUAAUGCUCUAUCCAAACAAAGCCUUUGUUUUCCUUCAUUUCUUUCUUGAGCCGGUCCGUUUGUUUGUUUAUAAAUUCAGCUGUCAAACUAUUUAUCCUGUGAGUCAUUUUCCUAAAUUGCCAGUUAAACUUUUAAUGGAGGAUAAGUUGGCUAUUUCACUAAUUAAAUAAAUGGAGUUAAUUAAUUUUUCUGUCAAUUUUUAGAUGACUAAUAGGGUAAAAUGACUAUUAAAAUAUGUGUGUGAAGCACAAAUCUUAUAAUAGUUAGUAGGGAUUUUUUUGCAUUUAACCCUUAAUAAAAUGUCAAUUUCAAUGUAAAACAACCAAAUUGCCAACACCUCAUUAUUGCAUUUUAUCAAUGUAAUGAAGAACCGCAAAUAAUGAAAAAUUUUGAAUAUAUCUUUAAUAAUAGGUCUGAAAUAGGAAUUGGAGUACAACAUGACAUGUCAUCUUUCUUAUUUUUUAUUUUUAAGAAAUCAUAUUUCAUAUUUUUGGUAAAUUAAUACUUCAAUUUAUAUAUAUAUUUUUUGAUAAAUAUCUACUACUUUUUUUGGACAUACUACUCCUUUUUUUUUUCUUCGAUAAAAAUAUCUACUAUGUUUCUUAAACCUAUCUGAACUAUAUUGAGGACAUUUAUUUUCUACACAAACAAAAAGUUAUUUUGUCAUUAGAACAUUUUAUGAAGUCAAGUGAUACCAAAACCUUACGAGAAUUCCUAAUUGUAGUAUAUGGUAAUUUACUUUAGGCCCAACCCAAACCGUUAUUAUUCAAGUUCACUUUUUUUUUCCUUUUCUUUUCUUUUUCCUCUGAAGAAAAUUUAAAUAAUAUAUAAAAGAUUAAAUGCAGAAAAUUUCUAUGAACUAUUACGCUAGUUGUACUAUACACCCUAAAUUAUUUUAUUAGGCACUUUACACUCUUGGUCAACCAAAAAAUAAUAAGAAAAUUAACUGCAUCCAAAUAAAUUGAUGAAAUGACCAAUUUAUCCUCUAUUAAAAGUUUACAAAUAUCAAAAAUACCUUUUUUGGUGGAAAAAUAUUGCCACUUUAAAUGGAUUAAUUUUCAUUUUAUAAUAAAAUUCUAAUUGAAAAUAUAUAACAAUAAAAUAUAUGAUCACUUUGAAUGAAAGUUAAAACAAAAGAAGUAGGAAAAAGGGAAGAAAGGGAAUAAAUUGAAUUCAAAAGUCUCAACAACCCUAUUUUACUACAUAUUUCAAGUUAACCUAUGUAAGAAAAGAUUGCUAUCAAGGAAAAGGCACUGUGAAGUCCUGUUUAUUCCUCUAAUUUUCUGCAAUACUUUCAUUUUAUUUCUAUAUGCAUAUAACAAAUUAAAUAAUUUAGGUGUUUUAUUGAAACACCUGACCAAUAUUUUGUUUACGAAAGUAUGGGUUUUAUUUUACGUUUGGUAUUUUAAAUCUUUGUUAUAAUUAUCGUGCUAAAUUCAUAUGAAAAUUUUUCGGUUUUACUUCAAUUUUAUUCUUGUGAAGAUUUCAAGUGAAAUUUUACUAAUUAUAUGAAGCUCUGGUAUUAUGAUGUGCUGAAGAAAAUUAUGAAAUUUUAAAAAUUACAAUAGCAGCGAUUUUUCCAUAUUUUCCUUUCAUUUGACCAAUAGUCUUAAUUCUUAUUCAAAGCGAAGCAACAAUACACACACGCAUACUUUUUGUUAUAUAAAGUGAAAAAUUAGUCUAAUUAAAGUAGUAAUCUUUUCCACCAAAAUCGUAUUUUUGCCAUUUAUGUUUUUAUUGGAUAAUAAAUUACUUGAAUGAAAUUAAUUUCGUGUUAAGUGCCUAUUAAAAUAUUUUUAGGGUGUAAAGUGCGAGUAGUACAACAAUUUGUGGUGUUUUUUUUUUUUUUUUUUUUUUAAAUUUUGCAUUUAACCCAAUAAAUAAGCACGCUAAUCGAGCAAAUGCAGAAAAUGCCAGGAGUCAACAUUCAACAAUAAAACUCAAGAAACGUUGCAGAGGUUUCAUCUCAAUGGGCUUUCCUGUCUAUUUCUCCACAUAAACCCCAGGUUCUUUAACUUUUGUAACCCUUCUUUUCUUUUCUUUCUAAUUUUUUUAAUCUUUUGGGUAUAAACAGCAUAAAGCUUUAAUUUUUCAUUCUGCAAGUUAAUAGUUUUUGUGAAUUGUUGAUUGAAUUAUGGUUCUAUGGAAAUUUUCAGAUAGUGGGUUGUAAUUAAAAUUGGAGAAAUUUGAUUUAAAUUACUUGGAAAGAUUGAAAAAGAUAAGAACAAUAAAAGGAAGAGGGAGUAGGGAUGGUGCUGGUUUUAGCAUUGGGUGAUCUCCACAUCCCCCACAGGGCACCUGAUCUGCCUGCAAAGUUCAAGUCUAUGCUAGUACCUGGAAAGAUCCAGCAUAUAAUCUGUACUGGCAAUUUGUGUAUUAAAGUAAGUAUCUUUUCUUUCCCCUUUUACUCAUUCAUUUAUUUGUUAAUUGGUUCUUGAAAAGUUUCCAGAGGUAAGCUAGGCAAGGGUGAGAGACCAAUGGGUUUUUAGGACGGAGUUUUAGUUUGAUUUUCAGUUUUUAGUUCCAAUUUUGCAGACUGGUUUUUUUAAGUAAAUUGUUGUUCGGGAGUGAAUUUAUCUUAGUUCCUUUGUUUUGUGGUUUAGUUAGGAAAUGAAAAUUUAACUUCCAAGAAAAAGCAGGAGCUCGUUUUUGGUUUUGAAGGAAUAUAAUAAGCGAACUGUACUGUACUCGGUCAACAAUAAAAGCUUCUCGUACUGGUGCAGUAUUCAUGAGAGGUGAUGCAGAAAAUAUGUGACUUGGAAAAGUAAUACUCAGUGAGGAUUUAGUUCUGCUGCUGACAUGUAGUCUAGAGAGUUAAGAUGUUGCCAUAGAGCUAAGAUAUUGUGCAUAAUGUCAUAUUUCCACCAAAAAAGUUUUCUUUUGGCAUCAAUUGUAUUUGAAAGUUAGAGAUGAACACUUAAUUUUUUACAUGAUUUGCCUUUCGGUUAUCUGAUAUUUUUUUGGUUAGUUUUUGUUUUAGGUGAUUUAACAAUUUCUCUAAGUUUUUUGUCCGCAUUGUAGUUCUUCUCAGGUACUACCAUUUAAUUGACUACAGAUAGCAAUGUCCUCAAAUGCAUGUAAACUUCUGUAAAUACUGCACAACAAUUCACUUGCAUUAGUAGUAGCCUAAUUGUGUAAAUACAUUUAUGCAUUGCUGUCUAGAUGCAGUUUAAAACUUAUGUGUAUUUAUUCACUUUAUGAACUUUGAAUGCCAACUUUUUCUGUUAAACACUUAAACUUGAAAUGCUGUUGGAGAGUCAAAGGACGAGUAAAUCCAAAAAUAUUUUGAGAUUUGUUUAAGCUGCUGUUUGAGCUUCUGGAAAAGUUUAAAGCAGUUUUAACUCCUCAAAAGACUACUCAGCAUUCAGGUUGAUUGUCUUUAUGGUUAUUGAUUAGUGUAAUUUUUGUAAAUUCAAAAAAUUCAUCCUGUCAAAUACUUCUUACCAAUUAAGGAACAGGUUAAGCGGUCUAGGAAAAUUUAGAUUUUUAUAUUAGGCAAUAAGCAUGGUGUCUAAUUGGGAGUCCUCGCCACAGAAGGAUAAGCAUUAGCUUAUGGAAAGUAAUCGUGUAUCUUUUAUUAUCUGCAUCUUGAAAAUACCAUGAUUGUGCUUUUGAUAAUGUGUUGUUCAUGAGCUUCCCUUGGUUAUAAAAUCAAUAUUACCUCUGAAGGUCGUUUCAAAAACUUUAUGUAGGUUCCUAGAAGUUCUUCUUCUUUUUCUCUUAAUGAACUCUUUGUUGCCUCAAGAUGGUCCUGAAAUAUGUUGAUUUGCUGGAGCAUUUCCGAAACUUGUUAAGCACCACUUACAUUUCCAUGCAAUAAUUUUUUUUUUUUUUUGGAGGGGGGGGUGUUUAUGCAGGAGUGCAUUGCUGCCAAGUAAAUCAUGUGUAUCUAGAUCUGAUUCAUAUAGGAAGAUCUCAAAUUUUUUGGUCAGAAAUCUAACAAGUGAAGGCUUAAUAAACAUCAGUGCCAUGGUAUUAUUAUUCCUUUUUUGAUAAGUAUGGGCCUGAAUUAUUUUUGCAAGUUGAAGAAGGGAAAUUAGAAGAACCAUAGAGUUUAGUUUCAUUAGAAAAAGAAAGCUUUUUUAUCUCUGAUACUCAAACAGUGUAAUCAGAUAUGGUCAAAUUGUGGAGAAGUAAGUAACCAAGUAAAAAGUGUGGUGGGGAGGAACUGUCAAAAAUCUUAAAAAUUGGGAAUUGGCCAUAGAAAGGGUUCUAGGCAUAAAAUUUUUCAAUACAGAGUGAUUUCAUUGGGAUUUUAUCUUGUCAUCAAAAUCUUAGCCUAGAGAAAUAAUGAAAAUUUAGUAAAGAUCUGGUCUUAUUAACAUAGCUGAAAGGGUGAAAUAUUCAAAUUUCUCAAUCUUAAUUUGGUUCUUUAAUGAUAUUGUCUAGUUAUUUGAAGCUGGUUUCUUAUAAUAUAAGCAAAUCUUGGAUAAGAUUUGAUUUAUAACAUUGAAUAGUUUGGUUUCCAAUUGUUUACUUACUAAGUACUUGAGCAGCGCUAAAACGAGCUUAGCUAUAUUGGAAACAAUUAAAAAGCUCAAAAGUGGCUGGAUUUAGUUUAUGAAUCAAAAUUUAAAUACAGUUUUCCCCAGAUGCAAGCUAAAUUUGAAGUAGCUUUGAAAUUGUAAGCAGCAGUGUAGUAGUUAUAAAUCUAUCGAAAUGAAGUUCUUUUGGUUGAUAGUUGGCAUGUUGGUUGAACCAAAGCAAUACCGAUGUCAAUUUAGCUGCUACGUAUUGUUCUCUGAGGAGGAAGGCAAGAUAUCCAUAAAAACUUGUUAGGCCAGUACUGAUAUAAUAUUUUUGAGAAUCAAACAGCUAUAUUGACAACUGGAUGAAGAGUAUAAAAUGCAAGAGUAACAUUUUGCUUCAGAGCCAUUGGAGGUUCUUCUCGUACCUUAGAAGUCCCCUACUGCUAAGCCUUACUGUCAAAGGACAGGUGCACUUUAGCAGCGGAAGAACAUAUGGCAUGCUUGCAUACAGCCAAUUGGCUGCAGGAGAUACUGGAUGUUGAGCUCAAAGAGACAACCUUUGGGUGUCUUUCAGUCUGAAAGAAGGUUCAUAUUGAUAGAGACUUGGAAAGGAGAGAAAGAAAUAUGAGUAGAUAAUGUGCAUGAACUUUUCAAAGUUAGAUCUCUAUUUCGUAUCCGCUAUGAUAAGUGAGACAUGAAUGAUUUCUUUGUAGUGGGGAUGCAUUUGUUUAGACUUCAUAUGAUGCUCUGUUAAUUUGCCUACUUUUGAAACUAAGGGUCUUAGUGGUAAGCAAUUCUUUUCUUGAGUCUUAUUCGUCCAUUUAGUUGGUUUUGCUUUAUUUUGAUGUACUGAAGUUAAAAUUUCCCUAUAACUGUAUACAUGAGGAGUUGACGGACAUGAGGAUAGCUUGCUUAUGAUUUGGUUGAGUAGGAUGUAAUUUUCUGCAAGCUGUUGCCUAGAGGAUCAUCCAUGCAUACAUUUCUAAUUCUGUAAUGUUAGAAACUAAACUUUCUUUUAUUCCUUUUUGUACAUUUGGUAAUUAUUCAGCUGCGAACGCCUGCUUGUUUAAAGAACAUGCCAAAUCAGAGGGGAGAGAUUUAAAGAAAGAAAAUUAAAUUAUAUAUAGAAUGGAAAUAACUCAAUUGGAGGUUUCUAUCGAUUAUUCAAGAGAUUAACUCUGACAUGCUGCCACAAAAAUCUUGCAAUUUUGGUGCAUAGGCUUCAUGGUUGCAAGGCAAUUUUUUUUUUUUCCAAACUGAUGAAGUUAAAUCUUCAGUUCUCGAAAGCACUUGAGUAGGAUGUUUUACAAACACUCCUUAUUUUUUCCCCCCAGUAACAAGUGGAUCAUUGAUCCCCUUCUAUUUAUCCUAAUGCUAUGAUUUUUGGAGUCAUUCGUAGUGGUUCAUUUGGAAGUUCAUUCAAAUGUGUGAUUUCCAAUAGCAGGUUCCUUCCUGGUAGCUGGCUUUCUGACUUUUGAAGCAUGUUUAUUACAUUUGGACAAUAUCCAAUGUAAUCUUAGGACUUGGUAUAAUCUUUAUGUAAACAUUUUUCUCUCACUUUCCCUGUAAAGUUUCGAAAUACAAAUGUAUUUUGCCCUUUUUUCUUAUUUAUUUUUAUGUACUAUCGGUAUGUGGCUUCUAGCAGAACUAUCGUAAUGUUUGGUAUGCUGUUUACAGGAGGUUCAUGACUACUUGAAGACCAUCUGUCCUGACCUGCACAUCACUAGAGGUGAAUAUGAUGAGGAAACACGCUAUCCAGAGACCAAAACUCUAACCAUUGGUCAAUUUAAACUUGAAUAUCCAUGGCCACCAGGUCUGAUUUCCUUUCUUUCUUGUGAUUCUUCUGCUUUAGUUGAACUUAACUUGGGAUUGUGCAUUGACCUCCUGGUCAGGCUGACCUCUAAUUGGUAGUAGAUGGAACUUCAUCUAACUAAUUUAAUAUUUCAAUAGCAGCUUUUGUGCGUCCUCUUCAGCAUUUGCUAUAGUGGUAGACUUGAUAGCAUCAAAACUGUCUCCUCCCUUGAGCCUAAGAACACUGCCGCCCCCCCUUUCUCCACCUCAGCACGCCAUAUGAUAUGCCAACGUAUAGGUUUCUGGCUGCAAAUAUAAUGCUGGUUUUAAUCUGAUCUUAUCAUAAUCUUUCUGGAAUUUUGCCUUCUGAAGGUUAUUCCAUGGGGGACCUGGACUCACUGGCCAUGCUUCAGAGACAGCUGGAUGUUGAUAUUCUUGUGACUGGUCAUACACAUCAGUUCACAGCAUAUAAACAUGAGGCUGGGGUGUAAUAAACCCAGGAUCUGCCACUGGUGCCUACAGUAGCAUCACCUAUGAUUCAAUCCUAGCUUUGUGCUGAUGGACAUCGAUGGCCUGUGUUGUUGUCUAUGUUUAUGAACUAAUUGAUGGAGAGGUAAAGUUGAUAAGAUCGAUUUCAAGAAAACAACAGCAUCUGCAAACUCGGCUCACUGAUGACAUGAUGCUGCUGUUUUGGACUACAUAAAUUUGUUCAAGCUUAGCGGUCCAUUUGCUUGUGUGUAUGUUUGAGCUUUAUCUUUACUUCAAUGUGGAUUUUCGUGCGUGCCCGCUUCCUUUUUCUUACCUUUUUUUAUACCUUAGUUCGUCCGAUGAUAUUUUGAGAGGCUGUAAUUAGAUGAUAAAAGGAAUGAGGCUUUAUUGGAUGGUUUAUUCAUUCAUUUAUGAUCCUUUAUGACGCUAACUCCCCAUUCUAUCUUCAUGAGCUUUCUUUACUUUGUACCAAGUAUAUCUCAGUGUAACCAGCUACUGCUGCUUCCC
rnacentral:lncRNA from 1 species